UUUUUUUUUUUUUUUUUUUCUAUAAAUGGUGGUGCGCACGGUAAAACCAUACAUAAGAAAGGUAAGAAAAGAGAGGAAGAAUUAACAUCACAAGUAGAGACCAACCAUUGUCUGACUCAUGAUGAAUAGACCAUUGUCUUUAUUAUCAUUCACAAUGCAUAGAUACUAGUUGAAGAUGCCUUUCAUGUGUCUCAUAUCAAUUACAUUAUACUUAUCCCUUACAUUAUUGUUACAUCUCCUUCAUGCACAUUAAUCCAUUGUGUCUAGACAUUCUUGAAAUAAGACUACCUUCUAUAUCCUUCUACGUAUCUCAAUAUCAAAUCAAGAGUAGUCAAUAGACUUUGUGUUGCUAUUGCGUAUAUUAAAUUUCAGACGGAAAACUUUUAUGUAGAUGCAUUGGUCGCUAACAGGCCAACUUAUUCAUGAAGCCACUUUGAUUAAAUUAGAUUAGUAUUUUUGAUAAUCUUCUUGAAGGAAAAAAAAAAAAAAAAAAAAACUAACUGGUCAUCUUCUUGAAAGAAAAAAAAAAAAAAACUCAAAGCUUUUGAUCCAAAAGAGUGGGUCUGGCCUUUUGAUAAGAUGGAGAUGCGAGACGCAACGGAUAUCCAAUCCGCCAAAGAGUGAUCUAGCCUGCAGAAACCCAGAAUAGGUAUGGACCUAUUUUUGCAGUCCAUCUAGUCCCAUGAACCAAACUAGCCCGUAAAGGAAUCGAGUCCUACAGGACUUCACAUCAAGGACCGUUUUAUUUGCGUGCCAAUAGCCAUAUAAUUGUUUUACUUCAUAAUCUUUAAAAAACUUAACCUCUCAGCCCUCCCUAACCUUUUUCCUGGUACCAAGACUAAAACCUAUGUGCAUAGUGCCAACACACAGCUCCUACAAGUCUCACAACUGACCCAUCUAGAAAAAACUAUGCGAAAAUUGCACAUGAAAACUAUCAAAGAGCAAACAGAAAACCAAAAAUAUUGAAAUUUAAACCAUCAGCAUUUGCGGACCAAAACCAGAUACAAAUGCAGUUAUUGAACAGGACAAUAAUGAAAAAUCUGAUACAAAAAACUGGUACAUACUAAUAGACCAUAAAUUGAACAGCCAUAACUACAUCAGAAGGAAAAGAAUAACGAUAAACAACCCAAACAAAAACAAAAUCAAAAGACACCUCGCCAGCAUCCACCACGAUCACAUCUACAAUAUAAUUGUUGGCCAAAUUGGAUCCUGCAAGAAAAUUUUCACUUUAAAAUCCCAGAUGAAGCUAAACAUGUUUCUGGUUACAUACACUCAACGCAACAUGUUUUGUGUGCCUUCAAAAAAAAGCAUAGAGAUAUGGAACAAAAACAGAUUUCCUUGUGAGCCAGAAUAAUUUGAUAACAAGAGCGAAAAGUGAAGAAUAUAGAUUUGAUUUACGAAUUCCAGCAUUUAAAAAAAAUCUUUUAUUGUAGCAAAACUUUCCAUAGGUGUUUUGGGGGUGUAUUUUGGAGUAUUUUUAGAAUUUAAAAUUUUAGUGGGCUAUUUUUCAAAAUUCAAAAAAAAAAAAUUCACCAACCACCACCCUUCCCUCCUCCCUCCACCACCACCAUCACCCUCACCCUUUUUCUCCCUUCUCUUUCCUCUCUCUUCCUCCCCCUCCCUUUUCCUUUUCCUCUCCCCCCUACUCCCCCAUCAACCACCCCUCUCUCUCUCUCUGGUUGCACCAGUGCGAACUAGAAAGUGACCCCCUUCCCUCCCUCCCCUCUUCGGUCUCUGGUGGUGACCAGCGUGACCAGAUUUGGUCUCACAGGUCGCGACCAAAGAGGGGAAGCUAGGGGAUAAGGUGCUACUCUGGUUCACGUCGGUGCAGCCAAAGAAAAGGAGGGAGGGAGGGGUGAAAGGUUGAAGGUAGGGUAACAAACAAAUCGAACCGUUCGAAUCAAAACUCGACUCGAGUUCGAUCAAUAUUGAGCUCGAAUUGGUCACAUUAAACUCGAGCUCGAACUCAAUAUCAAAAUAUUAAUCUCGUUAACUCGCGAGCCAACUCGUGAACUCGAGUAUAUAUAUAUAUAUAUAUAUUUUUAUUUAUUUAUUAUUUUAAUAAUAAAAUUACAUAUAUAUUCUUAAUUUUUAAUUAUUUAUUGAGAAAACUUAUUUUAUUCAUUUUUAAAAAAAUAAAAUAAUUAUUUUUUAUUUUUUCGAUCUCGAGCUUUAGAUUGACAGUUCGUUGAAUUCGAGUUCAAAUUUGAUAAAAUUAAAUCAAGGCUCAACUUGAUUAAACAAAAACUCGACUUGACUUAAUUCGUUUAUAACCCUAGUUGAGGAGGUGGGUUGGGAAGGGGGAGCGAACUAGAAAAUGACCCCCUUUCUUUCCUUUCUUCUCUAGUGGUGACCAGCGUGACUAGAUCUGGUCUCACCAAUUGCAACCAAAGAUGGGAAGUGGGGGAUGAGGGGUUACUCUGGUUCGUGUUGGUGCGACCUGAGAAAGGGAAAGAGGGGUGGAGGGUCGAGGAGGUAGGUAGGGGAGGGGAAAAGAAAGAGAAAAAGGGAGGAGAAAGGAGAGAGAGGAGAGGGGAGGGGGAGGGGCAGCGAUGGCUGUGGAGUAAGGGAGGAAUAGUGGACGGUGGUGGUGUGUGGUGGUAAUGGGUAGAAGAAGAUAGAGGUGGAAGGUUUAUUUAUUUAUUUUAUUAAUCGUAUAUGAGAUUUGUAUGGAUUAGGUGUUUUUGGAAGUGUGUUAUUAUAGUUUAUUGAAAAACUUGUUUGUGAAAAAAUGGCAAAUCCAUAGAAACCCUUUUUCUGACAAAACAGAAAAAAAAGGCAUAAGUAACUAAAUUACAUAUCCAAAGACCAUAAUUAUCUGAAUUCCCUUUCUUUCUUUUCAUUAGUAAAACAUUUCAUCUUUAGUUGUUAGUUUGUAUUUCUCCUCCUCUUUUGUUGGUGAGAUAUGAAGUCCAAAACUUCAAAAAAAAAUUAACAAAAACUUCUAUCAACAGCAUAAUCAUCAUUGAAUCAGGAACUCUUUAAAUGAUGUUUAAGGGAAUAUAUCAGAUUGCAACUUUUGGACAUACAAGAAUGCCAACUGAUAACUCUCUCAGAAACCAAACAAAAUAGUUAAUAAACAAGAUGAAUUAAAUUUACCAACAACUGGAGCCCUUGGUUGGGUUGUGCUUUGUUGACGAGACCCGCUAGAGCCGCCUCUGGGUUGAGCUGGCAAUGCAAGUACCACCAAAGCUCCAUCACUCGAUAAACUUAUGUUCACGUUACCUUCCAUUUUAAACUUUUACAAAACAGAAUUUAAGGAACUGAAUUUUACUUUUCCAGGAAGGGAUUGGCAAAUAAGCAAAGGAAAAUGACAAAGAACUUGAGGAAGGUAGGAGAAGUUUUAGAGGUAUUUUUUGUGUUUAGGGAGGCCAGGGGAUUGGCGUCAGAGAGGUGUAGCGUGAGGUCACACCGAAGUAUCUUAAAAGCAUAAAUUUAUCAGACUGCACUCCAAAAUACUCGGCAAAUUAAAUGUGCCUACUAAAUUAUUGUCAGAUAGCACAUUUAAGAUCGGAUUCAAAUAACUAUCCUAUCUGAGAAAUGGUAACUAAAAACUCUAUAUUUCGUUGCACACACACAUAAAAAAAAUUGGCAUCUACUAAUUUGACCAUAGUCUCCGGACAUAUGGUGCAUGAUAUCAAGGUUAUGAUAAUAAAAAGAGUCAUUCGUUUCAAAUAUUGAAGGUAAUGAAAAAUUGGUCCCUGAUGAAUUAUAGAUUUGAUAACUUGUAUGAUACAACAUGGACUUAUUACACGAGUUCUCCAAAUCCUAUCAAUAGAGGUUUGUAGCUUCAUUUAAAUGCAACAAAAUUGGUUUUGAAUAGAUAGCAACAAAUUUAGUAACAAAUAAUUAUAAAAAAUGAUGAAAACUAAGCAACCAUGUUGGGAAACAAAUAAAUGUUGGAGAAUGAAUUGGUAGACACCUACUAAGCAAGACAAGCUGUCAAAGAUUGCGCUAAUCCAAGAAUAUAAAACAAGUGCAUAAACAUUUAGCAUAGUCUUGUCUAUCUUACGAUGGAUGGAGACAUUCACCUCAAUUGUUCCAUCCACAUAAACUUCUCUUCAUUCUAUUCCCUCCAAGUUAUGGUAUGAAUUCAUUUAGUAUUGGAACUAAUCUUUUACUUUUCCUAUGAAACGGGCCCUCUUGUCCAAUAAAGAAAGCAUGUCUUAGAAACCAUCCUCAAAUUUUUAAAAGCAAAAAUGCUUGGAAAAUAACUCUAUUAAAGACUUGCUAAACAAUGGGAAAAAACAACUGUGGUAUCAUAAUACGGUAAUUGAAGAACAAAAGUUAAAGAAAACGUACGUGCAACUGAAGUGAUUGAUCGCCACCAUUUACUUUCCUAUCUAUUCAGCCUUCGAAUUAAAGUUUCCGGUAAUAUUUCAUCAAGAUGGGCGGAAUUAGGGUUGCUGAUUGUGGUGGAUGGUCCAUAUGGAGGCCCUUAUGUCGGCCAAAAUGCCAUUAUUUCGGACCAAUCAACAUAAAAUUUGAGCGGGGGUUAAACCGGGAGUCCAUCAAGCGGUCAACAAAAAUAAGAAGAAGAAUAGAAGAUCAUUAGGUUGGUGAGUAGGCAGUUGAGAGAGAGAGAGAUUGGACAUAGUGUCGACUACAGUGGUACUUUUCCGGAUGGCAUAUUACUUACUCCAACUUUUGCGCCAACUUGGUCAGAAGCUGCCUCAAGGACCCCCAUAAGUCGGAAGCUCUGACCCAUGAGAAGGUCCAUUUAUCCUUUUCCAAAUGGGUCGACGGCAAACCUUAAAAGCCCAAUAUUUUUCUCCUUUCCCCCAUCUCUAUCGCUCUUUCUUUUUCCUUUUUUUUUUCUCUCAGCCAUUUUAUUGGAUCUAUGGUUUCCUUAUUUUGUUUGAUGUUGCUUAUUUUUUCAUUGAAUAAAGGGAUAAUUUCAUAAGUCUCCCUUGAGGUUUCUGACAGUCUCACUCUCCUCUCUUGUGGUUUCAAAAAUAUCAGAAACCUCCCCUGAGAUUUAGGAUUUUAUAACAAAAUUAGACCAUGAUAUCAAAAGUGAACAUAAAAAAGUGUUUUCAAGAAAGAGAGGAAAUUUUGUUUCCAUAAAUGCCCCUGAGAUAAGUGUAUAAGUUAUAUUAGUGAAAUAAUAAAAAUUUUAAAAAACCAAAAAUAAAUUAGAAAAAAAGGAUAAUUUCAUAUACAAUAUGUUAUUCAUCAAUAAUAUUAUAUCAAAAGCUUUUACUAGAUGGUUAUUUGUUUCAAUUGCAUAUUAAAUUAACCAUUAGUGCUUAUGAGAGUGCAUUAAAUAUUUAGUAGAGAGGUAGUUUACUUCAAUAAGUAGCAUGUAUAUAAAUACUUAGUGAAUGUACAAUCUGAUUGAAAUAAUGUACACCGUGUUAUUGACCAAGUACGAUGCAUAGAAAUUGUUGAACAUGCAUAUUGCAAUUAGUCAUCGCAGCAAUAUGCAUAAUGCAAUGGUAUGUAUACAUUUGGAAUGGUUAUUGGUGUUUUGACCCACUUGUGCAUCUCCUUACAAGUUGCAGUGGGUAUGUAAUUUUAUCUAUAUGACUAAUACUAAUUUGCCUAUAAACACCUUACACGUAGUGAUAUAUGAGGUAUAAUCAAUUUACAAAUAUAUACAUUAUGUUAUAUGUUAGUUACUUAACUGUGUAUAUCUAUAAAAGGUAGUGUAAUGAUACACAUAAAUUUGAAAUAGUUAGGUGUUAAAAAAACAUACAUCAUGUUAGGUGUUAGUUAUUUGACUAUGUAUACAUGUAAAAGGGAGAUUAGAUAUAGCGUAGAAAAAAGCAAUUACGUGAGUUGGAAUGUAUUUGUCCUGAUAAUCACGAAAUAUUAGCUGACUUGUGAGGUUAUUUAAGUCUUUUUGGCCACGAUGAUGUAAGAAAUGGGACCUAAAUUCUGACAUGAGAGGUUUGUGAUAUUUUUGAAACCACAAGAGAGGAGAGUGAGACUGUCAGAAACCUCAGGAGAGGUAUCUGAAAUUAUCCCUUGAAUAAAUAGGUUUUUUUAUCUGUUUCUUUUUUUCAUUUAUUUUUCUUUUUUGAUCAAGUUUAAUAAGCUAGACAUUUAAAUCUGGGACCUUUUUUUUCCUGUCUCUGCAAAAGAGGGUUUCUUCAUGGAUUACCAUCAUGUUAUUGUCAUGAUAUAAACCUAGUCAUCCCAAUCCUGAGAGUUCAAGCUCACCAUGUAGCAAAUGCAGUGCAUAGUUGGAAAUCGCUCCAAUAGGAGUAAGACUGAAAUUGUGUCCAACAUAAUGAUUAAAUUUGUAAUUCAAAUUCUGAUUCUAGUUUUUUUUACUGCAAAUUUGUGCUACUAAUUGUGGAGCAACCAUUGCAAAAGUGCACACUUUACACGAGAUCAACUUACUCUUAACAUAUAUGCACUACUUAAACUUGUGAAACAUUAGUCAAUAGUACCAACUGCUGAGCAUUGACCUGUUAAGCAAAUGAAAUGCAAAUCAUGAGACCUUUUCUCUUCUUAUGUUUAGGCGUUUAGCUGUUUCUGCCUCUAAGCAUUAUGUGAAAGAUUAUAUGAUGAACUUUGUGGUCCUUGUGCCAAAAUUAUGCAUCUUUAUACCUGCAAUUGAAAGGCACAGCAACUUUGUGGCUUCUGGGCUAUCCUAGGAUGCAUAAUCUUGUCUCCUUGUGUGUCAAUGUCGCAUUGCUGGUCACCAACAUUUUUUAAAAACAUUUUUGAAUUCUUGUCCUUGAGUUUUUUUUCAAGAAAUUUACUUAUCAAUGUGUCAUUGGUUUGUGAUAGCAAUUUGUGUCAUCCAUAACACUCUUGCACAAGUAGUUUAUAUUUGAGGAAUGAUGCCAUCUGGUAAGAAGUAUGUGGUAUGCCAGCAGCAUGUAUUUCUAUGAUGAUUGCACAUUCCAUUUUGUCCAGCUGUAAUGGAUUUAUUGAGUUUGUUUGGAUAGAGAGAAUUUGGUUUGCUUAAUUUAUUCUCACAAAUCCCAAUCACCUUUUUAUUUUCCCAAUCACCUUUUUAUCUCACAUACAUCACAUCACAAAAAGUGCUACAGUAAAUAUCUCAAAUAAAUCAUCCAAAUAAACUCUUAUCCAAACAAACUCAUUGUAUUCUAGUAAUUAGUUUUGUCAUGUUGCAUCUAAUUGUUAGCUUUUCAGUCUUAUAUUUCUCUUUCCAAUGCAUAAGUUGUCUAAUCUCUAAUUCAAAUAUACAUUUGUCUGUUCAUUAGCCAUCCGCUCGGAUACUCCAGAACAAUGGGCUUGAUGGUGUUGCAGCAAAGCAAGUCGCUUUGGUGUAGACAUUUAUUCUAAACACAUGUUGUUUGAGUUGUACCUUGGAUCUCCAUUUCUGGGUCUGUGGUGCCCUUUGGACUUAGAAUUUUUGUUUAACGGGGCUUGCAUGAAUAUUAUCCCUUUAUAAUUUGGCUAUCCCCAACUUGGAUCUUAUAAACUGCCUGGGUUUUGAAUGGAAUGAAUGCUUAAUGUCCAUGAAUUUUUCUUCUUGUUCUUUUUUUCCUUCCCCUUUAUGUUUGUGAACGUAAAAGUAGUCCUUGAUGGUAGCUCGUAGGUUUCUUGUCUUCUGCUUUAAGUGAUAGUUGCUCUGAGUAAUGGUUGUUGGAUUUGUAUUUUCUUCCUAUGCUUACCUUUGAUAAUUUUCCUUCACCAAGAUGUGUUGGGCAUCUGACAACAAAGGGAUGCCCAGUUGUUGUCCGGUCUUCUAUAGGAUGGAUAAAAGAUUUAAAUUCCGACACUGAGAUGGAUGAAAGGUUUAAGAUCUCAUCCUAGGGUUGAAUGUUUGGGGGUAGAUUGUUGGAUUUUUCCUAUGAGCUAACUUUUGUGGUGCAAGAGCCAUAUCUACUGUGAAUAUCAACUCACACCCUACUCCUUCCACAAGGAGCGUGGGAUAAACUCAAUGAUUACAUCCCCAACUAACAGAGUGUUUUCUCCACAAUCAAUGUGGAAUAAACUCAAUAAUUUUCACUUGUCAAUAAAUACUGUGUCCCUUCUAUAAUUAAUGUGGAAUAAAUCCAACAAUUUACAGAAUUUCCCCCUCAAACAUAGUUCAUAUCAACUAACACCCUACUUCCAACAAUUUCCUUCUCACGUAUUGUGGAUUAGAUCACCAACCAUUUAUUCAAGAACUGACGCCCUAAUGAUGCCAUAGAUGAGCAGCGUAGAACCAAUUUGGAUAGAGUAUUAUUUGAAAUAUUACUUAGAAUAAUUACUAUAACACUUUUUGUGAUGUGAUGCAUAUGAGAUAAAAAUGUGGUUGAAAAUAUAAAAAGAUAGAUUAGAAAAUGUAUUUAUGAUACAAGUCAAAUAUUUUUUGUAAAUCUAAACUAUUCAAACACGCCCAAUAUUUAUCCACACAGCUUUCUUAGGCUAUAACAAGAAAACUAGCCCUCUGCUCCUAGGGCUAUUAAUUGGUCGGGUAAUUUUUUUUAAGUAUGGGUUGAGAAAUAAUUCUAGUAUUCGGAUUCAGACCCGGAUUCAUUUACUCUAACAAAACUCGGAUCUAUUUAUUCUAACAAAACAGCGAGUCGGAUACGAAAUAUAGGAUUUCAACCCGUAUCCGAACCUGACCCGAACAAUACGUUAAUAAUUAUAAAAUAUAAAUAUUUCUAAAUACAUUCUUUUUACCAAAUUAACAAAAGUGUUUUUUUUUACCAAAUUAACCAAAUUACCUGUAUCUUAGAUGAAGCAUCUAAGAAAUUAGGAAUUGAAAGAGGCAAACUUGUUUGAUCAGAAAUAUAUUCAUCACAAAUUGCAUAUAAGUGCUUUUUGCUAAAUAUUCUAAGAUCAUGUUGGACAUUUUUGCUAACAUAGAUAAAAGAAAAUGAAUUAUACAUGUUGGAUCCUUUUUUUUUUUUGAGUAGAUCUGGAUUCGAUUUGGGACUCGUCGGAUCCGGUUCCGAAAUCUUAAGCACACGAUGCAUUGGAUAUAUGGGUCGGAUUUGGGUCUAAUACAUUAAAAUGGAUUCGGGUCUAAUACAUUAAAAUGGAUUCGGGUCUACAAUUUUCAAUUCUGACUCGAAUUCGACCAGUUGAUAGGCCUAUUGGCCCCUCCUUACUCUGCUAAAAAAAGAGAAAAAAAAACGACGACAAUAAUAACUUGAUAGUAACAUUUUCUUUUUGUUUGUUUGUUUUAAAAGUCCAUUUGGAUUACUAUAUUUUGAAUAUUUUGUAGAGAAAUAUACCGUAAUAAUGUGAUGUGAUGUAUGUGAGAUAAAAAGGUAAUUGAAAAGAUAAAAAAGUGUAUUGAAAAUUGUAAUGAUGAUGUAAGUAAAUAUAUUUGGAAAAAUAAUUAGCUGUCCAAACAAACCCAAUGUGUUAAAAAAACAUAAAAAUGUUUUGGAGAAAAAUUAUAAUCCAAACGAGCUGGCUUUUAGCCUUUUAGGGUGCUGCUCUGGUCUGGCCUUGGGCUGGCGACCCCAACAAGCCUAACGAACCUCAAACUUGUGCACAGUAGGUAUCAUCAUCAUUUGAAAUAAAAAAGGGUAGUAGUAGGAGGAUUAGGUAUUUCUUUCUGUUGGCGUUGUUGCAUAUAAUUGAGAAUUAGAUCAGCAUCCAUAUACCGUGUAUCUUUUUCUAUAGGCCAUUUCUUCAAAUCUGAUUACUAGUAGUUUUUUUCCCCCGUUUUAAUUACUACUGGUAGAAGUUAGACAUCCCUAAAUUCCGGCAAAAAAAUCACAUAUCACAACUGGAAGCUCCUCCACAUCCCCGGAUCCGGAUCUCUCUCAAGCUCAUCAACUCCGACGACGACGACAAGACACUAGUCAACAAGCUCCACCCCAAUCCCCUUACUCCUCCUCCUCCCUCCCCGCACAAAUAAUUCUACUGCUAACUGGUACUAAUUGGUGUACUUUUUCCCCUUUUUGUGAGCAAAUGGCUUCUGCUAAAUCGUCGUCGCGGUCAAGGCAACCACCAGCUAAAACCACCGCCCACCCCAAAGACUCCGCCAAUAAGCUCGAGGAUAAUCUUAACCUCUUCAAAUCCGAUAAUUUCGACGCCGAUUCCUAUGUUCAUUCCAAGUGUAAUUCUUUCAACGAGAAGGUCCCCCCCCCCACCACCCUCUCUCUUCUACUUAUAUUUCUAUUUUCUUCUCCGUUUCUCUAAUUUAAUAUCUUCAGGAAUUUAAUUACUGCUUCUUAUUGUUUGGACCAACUUAAAGAUUCUUCCUCCCUCUACUGCAGCUCUUAUUGUUUAGACCGCGUAAAUAUUAAAUUUUAGCUGUAAGGAAGGAUUGUAGCUCGUUUCAGAAGACACGUUGCCCACAUAUGACUAUAGAACAACGGAAAUGCGUUCCGAGUUCUUUUUGCCCAAUUUUAUACCACUACUUCCUAACAGCGUUCUUGCCAAUAUUGGGAAAUGGAACAACUUACCUGCUGCGCUUUGGAUGGUUCAAAUUAUUGAAAUUGCGUGGCUUGUAGUUUGAUAACCGUCCCAUUUUUCAUACUCAGCUUCGACCUACUCUUUCUGUUUGCUCUAAUCAUGUCUCUUUUUAUUUGGUCGUGUUUCCACCUGUACCACAUAUGUUGCUAUAACCAUUGGACCCUAAGUUGACCCUCCCUCCUACAUAACUUUCUGUUGAUGAAUAUCAUUUAUAGAAAAGACAAGGCCAAUCUACAAAGUUGUUCAAUCAUUGGCUUAGAAUAUCUUGACUUUGAGAUGGGCUCGACCGUCUAAGUAUUACCAAUAUGCUUCAUUUCCUCCGGCGUAUACCGCAAUUGAGGAAUUUACCAUUCAUUCAUUUUGUCUUUUCAGUACAAUUGCGAUGCUCAUGGACAUUCUGUAUAUUUUAAGUGCUCAAUAAAUUAUCCUGUUUGAAUUGCUUCAUAUGUCAGAACAGCAUACCUCAAGUAGCGAUUGGCCUAGUGACCUAGGUGUAGGACUAACGACACUGUCAUUGCUCUUCAAAAUUUUUGUCCUCCCUCGUAUUUGGUAAUUUGGUUGUUUAUGUAUAUACUACUUAAGGAAAGUGGGAAAAAGAAAUUUGAAACUUAAACUUUCAUCACAGAGUGUUCAAAGAAGGCCUUUGGCUGCAAAAUGAUGCUUCACAUUCAGGUUCCAGUAUCAUCUUAAAGUUCAAUUUCACUUAGUGCACGUAGAAAAUUCUGUCCUAGUUACAAGAAUUGCCAUUAGCUGUUUGUUGAAUACAUACAUACAUACACAUGUGUCUGUGUGUGUGUGUAAUUUACCACGAUAAAUGCUGCCCACGUGCACAUGCUAAAUUACAAAUAUUAGUUGUAUAAAUAAUCAAACUUCUAUCGGGGGGUAGCUAAUCAGAAUUGUGUGGAUUGUGGUCUGGCAGAUUGCAUGUGAACCAUCAUGCUUGUCAGGUUAUUUGUGUACUGAUUCUUUUGACAUUAGUGAGUAAUUCUGUCAUAAUACAAUGGCCUCACAAGUUUUGGGGGGACAGAUUGUGCCUGGAUAGUACAGUACGCAAGUUACUUCAGCUUAAGUAGCAAUGUAAUUCCUAGAUGUCAUGAAUGUUUUUAAUUGCAACAUUAUAAUUUUGCUGCAGUUAAGAUUUCUCUGUUUGGUAUGUGUGUGAUGCUUUGCUCCGCAUGAACGUAUCAGAAAUUUCUGUGUUCUUAAAUGCUGGUGUGUUUCUGUUUGCAGGAAAUAAGGCAACUAUGCUCGUAUCUUCUAGAUCUGAAGAAAGCUUCAGCUGAAGAGAUGCGCAGAAGUGUCUACGCCAAUUAUUCAGCUUUCAUUCGGUGAGCCCUUGGUUAUGUUUGCCUGGAUGAUAAUAAAGAUUUCUUUCGCAGCACUUACCUUUGGCUGUGAAUGACAAUAAAAGGAUCUCAAAUACCCAUAUUGGCAUAUGGACCUGCAACAGAUGGUACAGAAUUUAGGUCCUACAGUGAAAGAGAAAUUGUUCUACGAAAGCUAAUACUAUUGAAUUCAGUGGCAACCGGACCAAGAAAAACAAACUCUGUAAACUAGGAAAGACACUGCUCUGAUCUGGAAGUUUUAUUUGCGACAAACUUCACCGAGAACAUUUGCGACAAACUUCACCAAGUUCUCCGUGCUCAUUUAACAGCCUUAUAGCUGCAACGAAGCAGAGGCACCUGCCAUUUUGAUCGACAAUGUUUUUAAAAGACUGAAGCUUCUUUUUCUAUCAAAAACAGUCAUUUCCAUGUUUCUUUUCUUGGAUUGUCAUAUCUAGUUGAAGAUUUGAAAUUAUUCAGCUGAAAAACUGACACUUGCAUUAAUGUUAGAGAGACUGAUUUGUGUUGUCUUCCCCCAAUACAUGUUGCAUUUAUUUGAAGGUUGAAUUCUUGUUUUAUUGAAAUGAAAUCUUGGGUAGCACUUUCUGGUUUCAUUAAUUUGAUUAUUUUGUUCGCCAAUUUCAAUUUCCAGUACAUCUAAAGAAAUAUCAGAUUUGGAAGGUGAGCUUUCAUCAAUGAGGAACCUGCUAUCUACUCAGGCUACUUUAAUUCACAGUUUAGCUGAAGGAGUUCAGAUUGGUAGCUUGUCUGACUCUGCAGCUGAAGGUUUGGCUGCUAAUGGCUCAGUUAAUGAGGAAGUCACAGAGCCUUCAGAACUGGAGAAAAGGUUAAUCGAGUUUCCUGAUCUUCUUGAUGUGUUGUUAGCCGAAAGGAGAAUAGAUGAAGCAUUGGCAAGGCUUGAUGAAGGAGAACGCAUAGCAGCUGAAGCAAAAGAAUUGAGAACUCUGAGUCCUUCUGUGCUCUUGUCUCUUCAAACUGCUAUUGCUGAACGUAGAAAAAAACUAGCUGAUCAGCUUGCUGAAGCUGCUUGCCAACCUUCUACCCGUGGAGCUGAGCUUCGUGCUGCUGUUUUAGCUCUUAAAAAGCUUGGGGAUGGUCCCCGUGCGCAUAGUUUACUACUCAGUGCACAUUACCAGAGAUACCAGUACAACAUGCAAAGCCUCCGUCCAUCAAGCACGUCUUAUGGAGGAGCGUAUACAGCAGCCCUCUCGCAGCUGGUGUUUUCAGCCAUUGGUCAAGCAGCCAGUGAUUCUUUGGUUAUUUUUGGUAAGGAGCCAGCUUAUGCAUCUGAACUUGUGAUGUGGGCUACCAAGCAAAUUGAGACUUUUGCACUUCUUGUGAAAAGACAUGCAUUAGCCUCAUCUGCUGCUGCUGGGGGUUUGAGGGCUGCUGCAGAAUGUGUUCAGAUAGCUUUGGGCCACUGUUCAUUGUUGGAAGGCCGGGGGCUUGCCCUUUGUCCUGUGCUGUUGAAGCUUUUUAGACCUAGUGUUGAGCAAUCUCUGGAUGCUAAUCUAAAACGGAUUGAAGAAAGUUCUGCUGCUUUGGCUGCAGCUGAUGAUUGGGAACUUGUUUAUCUUCCAGCAGUGACACGUCAAUCUGUCAGGCCAUCCGGUUCAGCUAUGGCAACUAUGGCAUCAUAUCAGUAUAAGUUAUCAACUAGCGCUCACCGGUUCAAUUUAAUGGUCCAGGUACAUAUUCUUUUGCUUUGUUUCUUUCAAAAAACAUUUGGGCAUUUUUUGUUGUUAAAUUUAGUUUCCUUCAUGUUUCCAUUAGGCCUGUUGCUUUUGGACUUGCUUUCUAUAGUCUUUAUGUUAUUUCUUUAAUAGAUCUUUUUUAUGGAAAAGAGUUUACUAACCAUGUUUAGAUCAUGAGAAAGAGUGGGAUUUGCACUCUCUAACUUGCACGCAGACUGCAAUCUGAUUAGUGCUACUACACCUUCUGGCAUAGAUUGAAAUAUCUUGAUGUUGUCAGUUCUUUGAAUGUUCUUGUUGAGGAGUAUUGAUAAGCAGGACCGAGGUAAAGAAAUACAACUGUCUUUAUGAGCAAUAGUUCAUUUUCCUUAUAUUUGUGUCUUCAAUGUUUUAGUAUGAACAAUGUGGCCCAAGAUCAAGGAAAUCAUAAGAGGUUCACCUAUCCUUUUUAAUCAUCUGACAUUCUGCAAAGUUGCUGAUUUCCCUACAUCUUCAUGGAAUAUAUAUAUAUUUUUAUCAGUGAGGUUGAAGGCUAGUCUAUUGGAUUCUGGCUGCUUAAUGAUCCUUUUUCAGUGGACAAAUUGAGUGUUUCUCAGUUUUCUUUCAUCUGCUGAUUCAUGGCAUUCCGUUGCCUUAUACAUCUUGGAUGCUGUUUUCAUGGUUUUUAUUUUUUUAAGUGAGGCUGCUGCUUUAGCUUCCUUGUGACUUUACAGAUUUUAUUUUGGAAUUUAGACUGAAGCCUGCAGGCAAGCAUGAUUUUCAGGGAAAAAAACUGCGCUUGGCCAUGUAUUCUGUUUGUUAUUUACAUGUAGUUUAUAACCAUUUUAACAACUGUUCACCUGUUUCUAUUGUUUGUACAGGACUUUUUUGAGGAUGUGGGACCCCUGCUAAGUAUGCAGCUUGGUGGUAAAGCAUUGGAAGGUCUAUUUCAGGUGUUUAAUUCUUACGUAAACAUGCUCAUAAAAGCAUUGCCUGGUUCCAUGGAAGAAGAAGCCAAUUUUGAAGGCUCAGUGGAUAAUAUUGUUCGAAUGGCUGAGACUGAAGCCCAGCAAAUGGCUUUGCUUGCAAAUGCAUCCUUACUAGCUGAUGAAUUGUUGCCUCGGGCAGCAAUGAAGCUUUCCCCACUGAACCAGGGCAAUUACAAAGAUGACCCUCGUAGAAGAAGUUCAGACAGGCAGAAUCGUCACCCUGAACAGAGGGAAUGGAAGAGGCGUCUUGUGAGCUGUGUUGAUCGAUUGAAAGAUAGUUUUUGUCGCCAGCAUGCUCUAGAUCUUAUUUUUACUGAGGAUGGUGAUAGCCAUCUUACUGCAGAUAUGUAUAUUAACAUGGACGGAGAUGUAGAUGAAAUAGAAUGGUUCCCUUCUGCAGUAUUUCAGGUUCUUUCUUUUUCUUUCUUUUUUUUUUUACCUGUUUUUCUUUUGAAUAUUCAUUUCCCUUCUUUCUGCAAUAUUAAAUGCGUCCUUGACACAACUUUGUUGCUCAUGUACAUUUUUCCUUAAGCAUUUGCUCUAGAUUUUCUCAUCUUUUUAGUAGAUAAAUUAGAUGUUCUAGUUUAUGGUCUUCCUCAGUUUCAACUCUAAAUUGGAUUCCAAGUCCCUUUACAAAGAUGCACCUCGAGGCAUUGUAACGCCUAAGACAUCAUAUCCUAACAGGGACUUCAAUGAUUGAGGAGGUUCUAGUAGCCGAAAGAGGGUUUUCAUAUGCAUGUUUGAUUAUCUGUUAAGUUCUGGCAUCAAGUUUUAUGUCGUGUGCAACUUUGGUUUUGCCAUGUUCUUUAUCAUUGAGAAGGGGUUUAAUUAUGUCAAUUAUUAUAGAAUAGAAUUGAAGUAGCUCUCAAGUUUUGUUAUGGGAAAGGUGAUACUAAUAGAAUUUGAGUUCUGAUUCUGUGUAAUCAUUCUCUGUGAUCCAGGAACUUUAUGCAAAAUUAAACAGAAUGGCCUUCUUAGCGGCUGAUAUGUUUGUAGGCCGGGAAAGAUUUGCAACAUUGUUAUUGAUGAGGCUCACGGAAACUGUAAUCUUGUGGCUUUCAGAAGACCAGACCUUUUGGGAUGAUAUUCAAGAAGGACCUAGGCCUUUAGGUCCUCUUGGUCUGCAACAGGUUUGCAAUCAUUAUUUUGGAUAUGCGUCUGUGCUCUUUUGCCUGAACCCAUUAGUCAUUUCACUGUUCAUUUGUUUGCAGUUCUAUCUGGAUAUGAAAUUUGUCAUGUGUUUUGCUUCUCAAGGGCGGUACCUGUCUAGGAAUUUGCUUCGAGUUCUUAAUGAGAUCAUAAAUAAGGCAAUGAUAGCAUUUUCUUCAACGGGAGUGGAUCCAAAUAGGUAUGAUAUUGCAGACUUAAACUUUUUUGUUCAUGUAAAGUGUCAACAUAAUUGGUUUCUCUUUUCAUUCUGGUGCAUUAUGUGUGGGGAGCACAUAUUGGUAUCAGAAAAUGGUUUUAAAAUCAGUUUGUGAAGAUAUCUUAACUUAGUGAGUGUGACCACGAAAAAAUCAUUCAAAUCAAAUAACUUAAAAGUUCAGAGCACUUUGAAAUAUCUUUCUUGAGGUUGGGGUAAAAGCACCAAGGUGUUUUUGUUCCAAUGUCAAUAGACUAGAACACAUUUAUGGUGAAGUUGUAAAUUUUUAAUGUUCAUGAGAAAAAACAGACAUAUUGACAUAUGGUCUAGUAUAGGGUACUAAGUCUUUCUGGAUGUGGUCUUUUCUAUUUUUGAUGUAUAAAAGUUUGAUGUGGUAGCACACUUUCUAAUAUUUGAGAGUAGCCAAUGUUUAUGCAUUUCUUGGUUACGCUGUAUUUCCUUGCUGUUUAAAUUCUAUACCUAAAACUCUGUCCUUGAACAAUUUUAGAGUUCAAAAUUGGUAUUUAAGUAGUUAUGGGUAACUGUCAUGUGGGACUCCUUGUCUACUACGAAGAGUGUAUUCGUGUAUGUAAAAUGAGUAUAUGUGCAUCCUUUUAUGAGUUUGUAUGCUUCUUUAGGUGCAAGUAUUUUUCUACAGUCCUUUUUAACUUGGUUAGACUGAAAACUGACUUCAAAAACUGUUUGCUAGCGUUCUUCCGGAGGAUGAGUGGUUUGUUGACAUUUGCCAAGAAGCAAUAGAAAGGCUUAGUGGAAAACCAAAAGUUGCAAAUGGAGAACGGGAUCUCAACAGUCCAACUGCCUCCGUCUCAGCACAAUCAAUUUCAUCUGUCAGAUCUCAUGGGAGCUCUUAAAGAACCAAGAUUUAUCAAUUUGUAAAGGUAACAAUAGCAACUAUGGUUAGCCCUCGAGAGACUAUUGUACUCACAUAAGCAAACACCCCCCUUCCCUCCCACCCCGCUUCCCCAUUUCCAUAUCAUUCUGUAAUUUGGCUCCUGCAUAUUCCAUUCUUUCUGCCAUUAGUUUAUGGUAGUGUCAUUCUAUAGUUUUAUGUUUGCCUAUGGUUAGGAAUUCUUUUUGUUUCCGUGUUGGGGAAAGCAGUCUGUAUAUGCGGAUUUGACAAUUCGAUUCAAAAAUUCAUUAUAUUCUUUGACCAUUCGAGGAGUUUGUAUAUGUUGUUUGACGAUUCGAUCCAACGUUCAUUCUAGUCUUUAUGCAUUCUGUUGGCAAUUGUAUUGUAUGCUGAAGCUAUUGGACGUAAUAAAGAUACGUAGGUAAGACUAAAUUAGGUACUUGUGAUUAAUCUGAGAUAUGUAGCAUGCUGUGUCGAAUUUAUGAACUGCCUUAGCAGAGCGCAUCAGGAUGGUCAGUUGUUAUUUUGGAAUCUUUUGUAUACCGGGAUUCGUUUGUUAGUGGGAAUUUGGUGACAGUUCUGAAAGCUAUUGGACCAUUGACAACAUUAGUUCUCAUCUCCGGAUACUGACAACGGCUCUAUGCAUCCUUGCAGCAGGAUGAUGGUUUAUCUGAAUUGGAGUUUGUAUGUAUCAACUAAAACCCAAGCUGCUAAUCGAGAUGGACGAUUCUUUGACUAUUCAACUCAUAAAUCCUAUUGUUUCUCGACACGAGAGGGUAAACAGUCUGCAUUGCACCCUUUUCAGCACAAUAAACUGUAUUUGCAAAGGGUGCAUUGGGAUAUUAACCUUGAGGACAAAAGCCUUGCGAGUCCAUAAUGAAAUGAAUGGUUUCGUUUUGCAAGGUUUAGCAUCCAGUCGUACUUGCACUUCUCUCCAGUUCCUUUCCUCGUAGCAGCAUUUGUGCCAUCGCGGAAUCGAUGGUCGGAGCCUCAUGAUAGAGUUUCUAAUCAUCUUUCCUUAAUCUUUUAGAACUUUACAGCUUAGUAAAGUACUUUACAGAUAAGAACCACUGUGAUUGAUCAAGGGGAGUACUCUGUCAGGUUUAAGGAUUCAAAUCCUGUACGUGACAAUUGGGGAUGGGAGGGUUUUGACCAAAAAAAAAAAAAAAACCUUUACAGCUAACAAUAAUUGCAACAUCUGCUUAUGCAACAGAUUGUUUCCCGAAGCGUACUUACAAAAAAGAGUUUUUAUGAACUACCAAACAUAUGCAAUAUAUCAAUACAACAAUGAAGUUCAGAGCAAUUGUUCAAAGGAUAUUAUUAGGAAGAUAAUACCUUCUCCCAGCACUGAUAAGGACAUUUUUUUCACUGUCUACAUUACGCAUAAGUUCUAGUAACCGGUACUUCACAAGCCAAGUCGCUGACAGAGACUUCAAUCGAGGUUUAGUGUUCCAAGUUCCAACUCGACUAAUUUAACUACUUACCAAACACACCCAAUAUAAGAACUGGUCAUCCGCAUAACGUAACUAGGAUUUCUUUCGAAAUUUAAAAUGGAUACCAUCCCAACAAUCUUCUCCAUCAUUCUGACCCGCAUAGAACUUACCUUGAGUGAUGCGAGAUUACUUGGGGUCCUUCAAAACAUUUUUGUGGUGUUAGGAUGCAUUGUUGCAUAAGCCGUCAUCAAAUCACCAGUAAUCACCACAGGAACACUUGCCAUCCUUGAAAUGGUGGAAACGUUUGUUAUCUCUAACAAUCAAUUCCCUCCCGACAAUCCUUGACAUGAUCUUGAUGGCAUUGUGACAAUCACCACAAACACGAAGGUUCUUGAUGAUCCGCAAAGGUGUCCUGGCAGGUGUACUUAUCAGACCAUAUGCAAUUGCCAGACGUUCACUAUGAUAAAGCAAGGCCUGUUCUUUUGCCUCUUGAUCAAUGUCGUGAAGCACAUAUCUAGUAUCGGGCACAUAAGCUUGUUGUUUCAUAGCUUCUCUCAACUUCUCAUCGUCCUUGUAGAGAGUUGGGCUACGGAACUCCACAAUCCUGUUUCUGCCCUCAAGCAUGUUAACUGCAGACUGCUUCUUAGGCGGAGGCGUUGGAAUCUUAUUCUUAAUGGCCUUUGAAGGCUCAAGAGAAACCAUUAGUUCUUCUGCACGGUCUUCAAGAUCAAUAUCUCCAUGUAUGCGCGCAUAGUUCAUCAAUGCCUCCCAAACAGCUGCUGUUGGUUCAAAUGGAAGUUUUGCAAUGAACUCCUCAGCCUCCGCAAGAUGUCCACAUUUAGCAAGAACUCCAAGAAGCCCCAAAUAAUGCUCGAUUCCGGGUUCAAUGCCGUACUCUGUCUUCAUUGACUCGAAAUGCAAGAAACCUUCAUCGAUUGCAUCAGCACUAGCACAAGCAUCCAUAACAGCAAGAAAAGUCUGCUCGUUGGGAUGUAACCCCAAUUUCCUCAUCUGUUCAAACAUCGCCAAGCCAUCAUCUCCCAAACCGUUGAUGGCAUAUCCAUUGAUCAUUAAAUUCCAGGAAGCCAUAUUCCUAUCAGGCAUGUGAUCAAAAACUCUUCGGGCGUCAACCAUACUCCCGCAGUUAAUGUACAUAUCGAGCACCUUAUUAUUCAACAGAAGAUCACUCCUGCAAGUCGAUCUCAAGAAGUAAUCAUGAACUUUCUUGGCGUCCCCAUAGUUCUUUGACUUCAUACACAAGUCAAAAAGGAGAUUAAAACAAUGAGCAUCAGCAGCGAUUCCCUCCUCCAUCAAUUUGAGAGCUUCAGUAACAUUACCCGCCUCGCAGAGAUUUCUCAAAUCAACAAUACUCAAAGGAGCAAACUCGUCAGUAACAACCUGCAGCCCUUGACCGUGAGAUUGAAGGUUAGCACGGUUCUGAAUUCCCUGCGGAGUAAACCUAACAGACUGACUUUCGUGCUGAGAGGAUUUCCAUGGACUUUGGUCCUGGUAACCCUGGUUAUAACCGUGAUUAUUCUGCGGCUGAACCAAACCAGCACGUCCUCCUUGAUUUUGAUUAGGAAAAUUUUGAGAGUCACGGGGAACCGGGGGGUUCUGCGGAUAAACCCUCUGGUUUUGCUGAAACCCUCCUCCCCCAAAACCUAGACUGCUAUUUGGAGCAGCAGUUGUUGGCGCAGUAUUGCUGACAUUUCCGUGUGAAAAAUGCUGAGGAGGAGGGGGGGGCGGGGACGGCGGAUAAUUGUGUCUAGGAUUGACGUUAUCAUUGGAGAAGUGGUUAAAACUAGCUCCACGACCGCCGCCGCCACCGCCACCCUGGUGGGGAAUGGAAUGUGGUUCUGAAUAACUCUGCCCAGGAUAAGAAGAAGCAGAAGCAGGGUUGGACAUGGGGUGAGGACUUCGAUGAUGAUUAUUAGGAUACCCUCGACGAUUGUGGUCCAUCUGAUUCUGACCACCAGAUGUUUGAUAAUUUGCAGGAGCUGCAGGGGCAAAAAAUUGAGAAGUAGAAGUAGUGAAAUUGUUGCGAGAAACAAAAGUGGCAGGUUUUAGGUUAAGAGUUUCGGCGGAAAGCUGCUUGGAAAUGGAGGAGGAGCGGAUACUAGGACGUACCGAUGCUGCCGCGACGGAGCAAUUACAGAUGAAGAAAAGAUGAGGAAAACGACCUCUUCGCAGACUGGAUUUGAGAUUCAGAGACGCCGCCAUUGCAGAUCACUCCACCCCUAACCUAUCCUAACCCUAUUUGCGUCAAUCUUGGUUAAACCCUAAUACUCCUAAACCCUCUCUCCGAAAAUGGGAGGUUUUUCAUUUGGGGUUGGAAAUGUCGAAGAAAUAUAUUUAUCGUGGCCGGGUUUCUUUCCGGGGGGAGUGGGGAGUUCUUUUUGUUUUGCGAUUAUGUAAAAAAAAAAAAAAAAAAAAAAAAAAAAAAGAGUAGACAAUAUAAUAUUUUUAUGGGAAAAAGAAAAACAAAAGCCAAAUAAAUCUUCACAUCUCACCAUAUACCCUUUUCAAUACCUCUCACAGUCAUAACACUUUGAUAUCUCACAUCACAUCACUUAUAUUCUUACAUUUAAGAGGCAAAAAAGGAGUAAGAAUUAGGGCUCUUACUGCUUAGUGAAAGAGCCCUUUUCUUUUCUCUUUUUUUUUUUUUUUGACCUUUCCUGACACAAAUUAGAGAGAUAAUUCUAAAAGUCCUCCUUCUCGAUCACUGAUCCAACUCUAAUGGUUAUUUUUUUUGUGAAUUUAGAUGUAAAGUUGAAAAAAAAAAGACCAGAAAUAGAAAUAGAAUAUGAGAGAAAAAAGUGUUUCAUUUCAAAUGGGAGCGAUGAAUAAACUCUAAAUAUAACAUGUGAGUAAUUAUUAGUGUAAUUUUCCUUGGUUUUAAGCACAAAAGCUAAAAAAAAAAAACAAAAAAAGGAUUGUAAUUGCUGGUACUUACUAAUCAACCUUUACUAGAAAAAACUUUCAAAAUAGUUUUGACUAAUCCAUAAUAUUAAUAAUGCUCCUAAAAAUCUGUAACUUCAGUACUUCACAUAAAAAGUAUGAAUCAUGAUCAUCCUCAUCAUGAUGUGAGUGGGGAUAACACUUGGUGAAUUUUUCAGAUACUUGGGAAACAAAAAUAAUAAUAAUAACAUGAUGGCCUCUAAGCAUCUGCGACUGUCACAGCAUAUCUGUACUGCUACUUUCUAGUUUUAUCCGAGGCAGAGUUAUACAUGGUAGUAAUUGCUUUCCAACAAAUGGGGAAGUCCAAUUACUCGAAGAGCUUGUACUAUCUUUCUUCUGCCGUCUCCGUGACUAUUACUAUGGCAUCAUGAAUUGGACUUGCAGGCUCUGUUGCAAUGGAGAAGCCUUCAUCAUGAGAGCAAACGCCUUCUUCUUCAUGGUGCUGGUGGUGGUGGUGGAAAAAGCUAAUUGCUGGGCUUGGGGCAAAUUCAUGAUUACUCCCCAGAGAAACUACGUUAACAACUGCUGCUUCGGCUCCUGUGCCUUGCUUCUUGGCCGCCCUGCUCAAGUCCUUCCUUUCUUCAUCAAAUAUUUUUGCCAUUGCAGAAAGUUUCUGGACAACUGAACCAUUAGAGACGAGAACUCCCCUAUUCUCAUAGAAGAAGAUAAGCAAGAAUAUAGCAAGAGCUAGUGAAGAAGACAAUCCAGCUAUCAGGAAAAGCCCUUUAAAACUAUCCAGUGUCAGGCUGUCGGAAGUAGCCACUGCUCCAUAUUGCUCCGAACAAUCUGUUUCUUCCCCAAACCACUCCUUUAGAAUUCUCUUCAUUUUAUCUCCCUCGGUCACGUUUAACACUGCCCUUGAUACAUCAGGUACGAGGGGAGAACCCUUUGGAAAUGCCUGAAAGCAUUCGAGAGCAAUGGAGAUUAACUAAAGCUACAAAUCAUCAACCAUACCAUAUGUGAUCAAGAAAUAGAUGAUUAAUAAUCUCAGAACCUUUUUAGUAUCAGGACUUACAAAUCCAAAGCCAGCAGUCUUGAAUGUCGGACCAACCAUAGUGUACUUUCUGCAGUACUUUGCCAGAAAGAGCCUGAUAUAAGGAAGUUCAUCAACAAUUCCAUCCACUCCUCCAUUUCUGCUACCUUUACGAAGUGCUUCAUCGUACUCUUCAAAUGUGUUGUAGUUUCUAAACUGGGAGGCAUCGAAUUUCUUACUCUUGAGCAGCUCAGUUACAAAGGAACCAGUUUGGUAGCCGAUAUAUUCACCAUUUUUUAUCAGAUCAAAAAGAUCAGUAAUAGUCGGUUGAAGUUGUUGCACUGUCAACAUUGAUGUCAGGCUGGCCGUAUAACUUGAUGUAAGUACUAACACCACAAAUACCCAUAUGAUUACUACAAAUCUUGAUAAAUUGCUCAUGACCUUCUCUUCUGCAACAAAAGAAUGAAGGUUGCAUUUAAAACGAUAACGAGGGAGCAACGAUGCAUUUAUAUGAACCCCAUUGAUUACCAAAUUCAGAUAAACUCUAUGUCCAAUCACUCAGUAAAAGAGUGGGGAAACAAAAGGAUGAAUUGCACCUAUGAUGGGACUUACUAUGAGCAAAAACAAGCGUUGAGAAGGAGAACCAGAAUAUCAUUCCAACUUGCUUCCCUGGUGGACCUCGGAAUUCUUCAUUUAUACGAUGCUCAAGUACCCAAACGACAAAGCCAGUGAAAAUGAAAAAUGCUCCAGUAGUCAGCCAGAGGUCCAUUGUUAGCGGUUUCAUGAAGAUCCAGGCGUUCUUCCUCUCGUCAUCCUUAAUUCGAACAAUGGUGGAAACACCAGACUCUGUGUAAGGCAACGUGAAAUCCACGAACCUUGAUCUAUUUGCUAAUAUGGUCACGUCACCAACCACCGCAUCAUAAUUCUGAUAUCAGCAAAAGUUUAUUAAGUACACAUUUCUCUUCCAAAUAAAAGAGUUAAUAAUGUAGAACUCGUGUAAAGUCACACAAUCCAAAUCAACUUAUAGUACUAGUUUGCUGUCUAAUUAACAAAUUUCAGCCUUACCUCGAGAUAUAUUUGAUAUACAAGAUCAUUGUAAUCUCCCGCACUGUCACCGUCAGGGGUUUCAAAAGGAAUAAAAUCAUAGGAGGCUGCAUAUGGGAGGGACAUCAUGACCUCUUUGAAUACAUCCACACAGAAACCAGUUGCAAUGACAGCAUUUGUUAAGGGAUCCUUUUCCACCUUCACAAAUUCUGGCAAUCCAUUCUUGACCGGAACUCCAACCCUUAACUUCUUUUCAUGACCUGUUGGCAUUUCCCAGCCCUUAGGAACAAUGUUGGACUCACCCGGCCAUAUAAUGAUACCGAUAUUGUCCUUACUAGACUCAUGUACCAAUUGAGCUUCAUUUGGUUUCAGCUUAUCUGAAAUGCCAUAAGUUUCAGUCCAGAACCCAAUCUUCCUCUCCCCUUUUCCAAUUACAUUCACAAUCUCGAAAGCAGAUGGCUGUAGUUGCCCCUCAAUAAUGUGAAAAUCGCCACUCAAUCCAUUGAAUCUGAUAUUUCGGACAGAUUCAAUGAGCUCAGCUCCCAUUCCUGAAGUUCCAAUCAUAUCCAAGUCCGAGAGGUUCUUUCCAUUUAUCACCGCCUUUUUCUUGGAUUGUGGUUGAGCCAUAUUAACGGCUUUCUCUGUCGCCUUUGCUAGUGCGAUCACGGUGUCAUACGCCCAUAGCCCAUAAAUAUUUAACUCGAACCUAUCAAUCUCUGGAUUCUCUUCCCUGAAUCUCUUUCUCCAUCUCUUUGUAAAGAUAUCCAAUUUACUUGAUCUAGGGACAUGAGGCUUCAAUCCCAGUACCCCUUGCAUUGAGUCCACGACCGCAGGUUUAACAGAAUCCAAUAGACUCGUAAGAGCCUCUGUAAUGAUCCAGGCAUAGCCCUGGCUCAUCAUCCCCACUUCAUUUGCUUUCAAAAAUAACCGAGAAGCAAGAGAUGGCAGCAGAUGAACCACAAAGACCCUGGUCUGCAUGGUAAUUAACUUGUAUAGCUCUUCAAGAAUCUGAUCAUCCGAAGCAGCAGGAGAUAUGACACUUCGAUAGGAAACUAUGGUAUUGCUUUCUAGCAUUGCAUCAGUCAAGAAGGGAACUAUUCCACUACCAUAAAGACUGUCCUCAUAGACAAGGACAGCUUUCCUCCAACCAAAAGUUUUAAUAAUCUCUGCUAUGGCUGUAGCCUGAGAGGACGAACAAUGUGCUGCUCGGACAAAAAACGGAGACUCUUUGGGAGAAAGAGAUGGACUUGCGGCUGACGAAAUUACUGGAACUUUGGCUUUGUUCCCGAGAUCGAUAAUAAAAUCUGCUUGUGCCGACGUUUGAGGGCCUAAAAUUGCCUCGACUUGGACAUUUUUGAGGAGGUCUAUGGCUGCAUUCAGAGAUAUCAACGCAUACUUUAAGUAUCAAUAGUAAGCAGUGGUAUAAUUGAGAGAGAGAUUCGGGAAACGAAGAGCCAAAACAACAGAAACACUCGAAAGGGUGCUUUAGUUUUGCAUCCAAAUUAAGGUGGGGAGGGGGAUAUCCAGUACUAUAGUAAUGUACCUGCAGAAGCUGCUUCAACAGAAUCAGAUUUUGAAUCUCUGAGGUGAGCGACAAUCCUAAUGGUAGUGUUAUCCUGAAUGUUGUUGGACCGGUGAUCUUCAAGUGCCAUAAGCAUGGAGGUUUUGGAAAUCUUUCCCACCAGGGUGUCCAAAUCAAGGAUUACCCCAACAUCAACCUUCGUCGCAUUUUGACCAUUCAGGAGGACGACCCAGAAGUUAAUGAUGAUCAAAUGUCGGUAAAGGAGCUUAGUACUACUUUUUACAGGAUUCUGCAUGAGAUUAUCUAGUCAAAAUAAGUAGUUGAGCUCAACUAACAUUCAAAAUAUGUCCAGAACCCCCCCUAUCCCCUACCUCCCCCACAAACAAUUGGCUGGAUCGAGUGUGAGAAAGCAAAGAGCUGAAAGAAGAAAUGAAGACAAGUUUAAAGUUGUUGGCUAAAGUAGGGAUCCUCUGUAUACAUGUGGCUUGAACGAAGUCUCAGCGGUUAAGAUAGACUGUAUACUUGUGGUUGGAACAAAAAUAUUUGAUCAAACAUGGCUGCAGUGCGUAGAAAUCAGUAUGGCUCAAUGAAUCUUGACCUGCUUUGUUGUGGUCUACGACUGAUCAUGAACGUCCAUCCCAUUGCGUGGACUGAGAAUGGUUGACCUUCAUGAGAUGCAGAGCUGCCAAGAACUGUCCUUGUUGUCGCAAUUUUAAUUUCCUCCUUUGGGCCUUUGAUUUGACAGGGAUGGCAACGGGGACGGUUUUGGAGGACCAGGGCAGGAACGGUUAUAGGUGCAACCGAUUCAUAAAGUUAUAUGUAUUUUGCACACGAUAUAAAUUUAUUUGUACAUGAUAUAACUUAUUUUUCAUAAUGUGUAAUUUUAGAACAAAAUUUUGUAAAUUCCAUACAUAUUGUUAAAAAUGAAGUACAAGAUGAUAUCCGAAUCGUAUAAUUUUUUUUGGCCAAAUCUUGACCGUAAACUGUUCAAAAACGAUCAUCAAACCGUCCCUGCCCCAAAUCUCGAUUUUGAUAUAGGGACCUCUUCUCUACAAAAAUAAAAAAAAAAAUUCCACAACCCUAAUAUAACAUAACAUGUUACUUAAUUCAUAUAAAUAUAUUUAUAUAAUAACAAUAGCAUAGCAUUUAUUUCAUAUUAUACAAAUAAAGACACGUAUGGAUAUUAUACAUAUAAGGAGACGUAUGGAUAUUAUUCUAGAUUAAAAUUUAGGUGGCCAUUCCCGUCCCGCGGUCCCCACAGUUGCCAUCCAUCCGUAUUUGACGUUGCAGCUCUUUCCCAAAAAAAAAAAAAAGAAGAAGAAAAUGCUAAUACAGGUCGUAAAUUAUUGAAGUUUGAAUGGAAGACGACACAUUAACUAAACCAAACAGGUCGAAGUACAACCUAGUGUGCCGGUAAUUUGAGUUUGGUCGUUGGAGCAGUGAGUGGAGAGUAACAAUUUCCUCUUUCUCUGCCACCACUCCAUCCUUGGUCCUCUCAAUACAAAACUGGGUUCAUUCUGAUUCUGUUCAAACAAAAACAAAAACAAGAACAAGAACAAAAACAUCCACCGAUUAUGAACACUACUACUCAAUGGGAUGUGGGGAGUCAGUUUAGUUUCUAUAACUGCAUACUAAUGGAUUUGAUUUGCUUCUACAAGUAGAAGCAGAAGCAGAAGCGGGGUAUGCAUCUGUGAGCUGCUUCACUACAUCUCUCAUUGAAGGCCUUUUGCUCGGCUCCUUCUCCGUGCAUCUCAGUGCCACUAAAAGAACAUUGGUAGCCUGCUCCAUGACACUCGAAUCUAUAAAUUCAUCCAAAAGCCCUGGAUCAACUGCAUCCUUGAUUUCUUCUGCUUCAUUCCAAACUGACCGAACCCAGCUCACAAGGUCUUCUUCCCCUUCCCCGUCGUUGAAUGAACAAGAAGGAUCUAGCAGUGGCUUCUUCCUAGUUACCAACUCCAGCAGAACGACCCCAUAGCUAUACACGUCCGACUCCUUGCUCUUUGUUGUUGUGAAUGCAUUCUCUGUCAAAAUUGUCAAAAUACCACAACCACCAGUUAGUACCCUGUGUUAAAAAAAAACCAACACAAUCUAUAAAGAGUUUGGCAAAUGGCAAUGGCACAAACACAUUACAUUAAUUACCUGGUGCUAUAUACCCGACAGUUCCAAUAACUGCGCUGCAUGACAUGGAAGCUGCUUGUUGUUCAUCGAGAAGCUUGGCAAGCCCGAAAUCGGAUAUAUGAGGCUCCCAUUCAGAAUCCAACAGUAUGUUCAUAGGCUUAAUGUCUCUGUGCACUAUUGCGGGAUCGCAGUCAAAAUGAAGAUAUGAUAGUCCUUGAGCGGUGCCGAGCGCUAUCUUAUAACGAAUGCUCCACUCCAAUUGAAGAGGUGGAUUCCGCUCGUGAAGAACGUCGUGCAGGCUUCCAUUCUUCAUGUAGUUGUACAAAAUCAAGCCAUAGUCCUUUCUAAACCAGAAUUCUUCCAACUUGACAAGGUUCCGGUGCCUUACAGCUCCAAUCGUCUGAAUUUCUCUGAUCAUACUUUUGCUUCCACCCCUACUUCCCGCCGACGAAACCUUCUUUACGGCAUACACUCUACCUGAGCUCAAUGAAGCCUUAUACACCGUUCCAUGCGCGCCCCUCCCAAUCACGUACUUACCACUCAGGUUCUCCGUGGCUUCCAUUAUUUCAUUGAGCAGCGAAGAAGCACCUCCUUCAGCAGCAAUUGCAUUUUGCAGUUUAGGUCCUUUCCUCCGCAGGAACAUGUAAGCAAGCCCACCGAGUAGUGAGAUGCAAAGUAAUGAUGACCCCAGCGCUAUCAUUACCGUUCCUACUUUGCUGCGGCCUCUUUUAUUCUCCGAUUGAAUAGUGCAAGGUCUCGAGAAACUCUUCUCCGUACAACUCGAGCUGCCACCUGAAAGACAAUUGACGCAAAGACCCAAAUUUCCUUCAAAUGAAGAAGGAGACGAGUUCAGGAGCUUGAGUAAUGUUGCAGGUACUGGACCAGCAAAAUGAUUGUGGGAGACGUUUAUGAACACCAAUGAGUGCAUGUUAUCAAGGACCCCUAAGCUUCCCGAUAGAUUGUUGGAAGAUAUAUCCAGAUCUUCCAGCAUGUCUAAUCUCCCGAGCUCAGGAGGAACUUGACCCAUCAAUCUGUUACUGCUCAAAUUCAACGACCUCAUAUUUUCACCAGCCUGCGGUGAUCCAACUGAUGCCGGAAUGCUUCCGCCAAAUGAAUUUCCUCCAAGAUGCAGUGUUGAGAGCCUUUCGAAUUCAAACAGAAAAACUGGGAUAUCACCCGCAAAUCUAUUCUCACUCAGACCCAAGGUUGAUAACUCUGUCAGGCUCCUAAAACUGGCUGGAAUCGAGCCAUUUAACAAGUUAUUACUGACUUCAAGUUCCGAGAGCUUUUCACAGGUGGACAGUUGAAAUGGCAAUUCACCUUCCAAACUGUUGUGAGAUAGAUCUAUGGCCUGAAGCUCCACAAGUCUUCCUAGCUCGGGAUGUAUAGGCCCAGAGAGUUUAUUCAUGGAUAGGUCAAUAGAGGUAACUUUUGUUAGAUUCGCCAAGCUUAUAGGUAUUUCCCCACUCAAGUUAUUGCUGCUGAGGUUUAUGUACACAAGGUUGGGAUUCUCUACAAAGUCAGGAAUGAUGCCAGUGAGAUGAUUCUGUUUGAGAAUCAGCCUCGUUAAAUUAGAACAGCUUCCGACACCAGGCGGAAUGCUGCCUCGAAAAUCAUUUUGGCCCAAGUUCAGCUUCCUCAACUGAUUUCCAAAGCAAAGAUCCGGAGGAAUAGGCCCCGUGAAUCGGUUACUAGUUAAAUCUAUUUGCACUAAGGUGCUGUUAAUUCCCAGUCCUUGAGGUACAACUCCAGUAAACUGGUUUUCGAACAGAGACAGGUUCCUUAACUGCUUUAGUUCGGUGAUUUCGAUGGGUAUCUCCCCAGAAAGAUUGUUUUGAUAAACUAGAAGAUUCUGAAGGCUUUGAAUCUUCCAUAUACCAAGAGGGAUUUCGCCAGUCAAAUGGUUGGUAAAGAGAAACAGGCUCUGCAGCUGGCUGAGCUUUUCUAGCUCAACUGGAAUUUGGCCUACUAGUUGGUUUUCCUCUAUCCGCAGAUCAACCAAGGACGCGCACCGUCCCAGCUCCGGUGGAAUUUCUCCUGACAGCCUGUUGUCCGAGAGAUAAAGAUUCAUCAGGUUUCCUAGUUGGGCAAAAGAGGGAGGAAUUGGGCCGGUUAAGGCACAACUGACAGCAGCAAAUUGUGUUAGGCUGCUGCAAUUUCCCAAAGCUGGUGGAAUGCUUCCCGUGAAGUUGUUGAAAGAGAAAACAAAUGUGUCCAUCUCUUUGCAGUUCCCGGAAACGAAAGGAACGUUGCCCUCGAGCAUGUUGCUGCUUACAUCGAAAUAAACCAGGUGCUCAAGACUGUCGAGAGCGUCCGGUAAUGAUCCAACCAACUGGUUGUCACCCAAAUAGAGUUCUUGCAAGGAAGUGCAGUUUGCUAUGGAGGGCGGAAUGGUCCCUGACAAGUGAUUUCCGUAGAGCCACAGAGACACAAGCUCGCUGGCGUUUCCAACAUUGGAUGGGAUGGUGCCGGUCAGUCGAUUGGUGCUGAGGUAAACGGUGUGAAGGGCUGGGAUGGAAAACAAGGAGCGGGGUAGGGUACCAGUCAGAGAAUUGUCGUACAGGCUUAAGUAGGAAAGACGGUACAAGUUGCCGAGGGCGAGAGGCAGUCGUCCCGUGAAGUUGUUGGAAGAGAGAUCCAAGUGCUGGAGACGAGUGGAGUUUCCUAGUUGGGAAGGAAUUGAACCAGAAAAGGCGUUGAAGCUCAAGUCAAGUACGGUCAAGUGAUAUAAACGAGAAAUUUCAGGUCCCAAUUGGCCAGAAAUGCCAUAGCCGGAAAGAUUCAAAGAAACCACGAAGAAUUGAUGACUGGGGUGGCAUUGGACUCCAACCCAAGAAGAGCAAGGGGUGGAAUGGGAAGCAUUCCAGGUAGAUUUGAUGGAAGGAGGGGUAAGCGUCCAAUGCCUAAGAAGUGACAAGAGAGCGGUUCCAUCUGAAUUGAGAGCAGAUACGGCAUAUACAGAUGCGGACAAGCACAAGAAACGCAGCAAACGAAUCACAGCAAAUAUUGCCAUCCUUUUUUCUUUUUUUUUCUGUCUUCGCUUCCCUUUUUAUCCCAAAAAACGAAAAGGAAGGCAGAAAAGCUACGGGAAGAGACGACAGAAACGGUAGGGAAUUAUCGAGAAUUAAAUAGUUACCCUGAAAAGACAAGAAGAAGAAGAAGAAGGAAGAGGAGGAAGAAUGAUUGCAAAGAUGAAUGCGGCAGGAAGCUUACUAGAAUACAUGACCCCAAGUGGAAAUAGGAAGAAGAGUGAUGAGGAGGAGGAGGGUGGUGGGAAGAAAGCAUUUGAGUUUUGAGUAGCAGCAGCAGUAAGCAAGCAGAUGAGGUGGAAGAAAAGGGGGGCGGUGGACGGUCAUGAAUGUUACGAGGCAUCGGCCCCAGCAGCAGUGGCAGUAGAGAGCAUUGAGAGCUGAAUGAGAGGAAGGGGGUUGGUUUGUUUAUUUUUAUAGGAGUUAACGGACAGACUACUACUACUCUACCAUCCUCCUCCUAUUUAUUGUGUUGUUGGUUAGGAGGAACUUUUUUUUAUUAGUAGUAUUAGGAAUUUAGGAUAGAAUAAUAUAAUAGUAAUUUAUUAUUAAGUGUAUCAAAGACAGCAACUACUAAACGACUCACUCGAAACGGGAAGACAGACAACACAGCCCCUAUGCUAUGCUAAUGCUAAUGCUGCUCCCUAAACCCAACUUCCUCAAGUCUUCCCUACUUUACAAAUCCAAUCAAUCAAAAUUUGCAUUAGAAUAAUAGAUGAUGAUCACCUCUUUUUGCUCUCUUUUGACCCACCACCAGUGACCACGCCGGCCACCACCCAGCCCCAUCAUCCUUCCACCGAAUUUAAUUCUUUUUUUUUUUUUUUUAACAAUCCUCCUGUCUCCGUCCUCUUUUUUCCAGCUUCUCACAAUUACUGCUAGGGCCCUAUUUUGGUUACUUGGGAGAAAUCAAAUAGGCAGAAACAGUUUCUAUAUUUCAUUACCAUACGAAUCUAGUAAUGGGAACUGGAGAAUGAGCUUGCAGGAACUGUCUGCCAUUGCCAUUGCCAAUGCCAUCCACCCAACCACACAACACCGUCUCCACUCUACCCGUACGGACUCUUAAAAAUUUAUAUAACUUUCUGGAUAAUUAAACUGCUUGGACACAAAUUUGUUGGUUAGCCUCCUAAUUAUUCACAUCCCAGUUACUAGUUGGCCGGAAUCUUCCAGCUUUCGUUCCGUUUUCUUCAUGUUUGUUCCCGUCCCCCCACAAUAGUAUCGGUGUUAGAACUAGGGCUAAAAAAACGUGGACUAAUUAAAUCAAGGUUGAACAGCCUUUUACUUUUGGUAAAAUAUCAAAUUGGGUUCGAGUUUGAUUUGAUUAACAUAACAUUGAAAUUUACUUACAAGUAAAAAAAACUCAAGUUACCAGAGUUCGACUCAAGGUCGACUUGAUCAUUUAAUUUCAGCUCAACAAAUAAAGAAAUAAUCUUGAACAGAAUUUCAAAUUCGUUAAUAUGAACGUUCGAUUUCGUCAGGUUGAUUUACACUCCUACUUGGAACCGCUUCGAUAUCUUUCAUAUACGUCACGCAAUAACAAUAAUGUGGACCGGCGUUCAUUUCCAUAUUUAUUUUGUUUUGCACGUUGUAUGAAUUUUUCAAAGCAAUUCCUCCUUAGUGGAAGUUGUUGGUAAGCGCAUCAACAAGAAGAGGUGAUCCAACUAUUUCAUGCUCAAUUCCUGGAAAAUGGGGUGGGGGAUCAAUUUCUGACGCAACCUUCGGAUGCCAAACUCCAAACUAGAAAAUUGAAUUUGGGCUGCUCUGCUGAAAUUGAAAAUGACUCGUCAAUCACUCACACUAAUAAAGCGGAGAAGAGGGGAAGCAGCACAGCACCUCUUCUUACUCGGUUUCACACACCAAUGACCAACCAAAGUGAGUCGUGAAGUGAAGGAAGGGGGAUUCCGUUGACGUACGCGGUCGCGGACUGAUUUCUUUCCUUUUCUUUUCUCUCUCUCUUUUUCCCCAGGAGCAAAACCUUUCAAACAAAACGAAGCAGCAAUCAGUCAGUCAUAAAGAAGAUGUGGUAAACGGAGUUUCACAUUUAUUUACAGGAGUAGUGGUUGUGGGUUAAAAAGUUCUAACCCACUAAGGCUCCAGCUGAAACUCUUCCUCAAUUAACUCGCAUUUUCCACCUCAUCUCGCGCGGUGGAAGCAGGCACAUACAUCACAGCCACAGGAUCCAUCAUUUCACACACCACCACCAACACAGCCCCCUCCCAAAACCCCCAAAUAUUUUUUAACUUUAGGAAUAACUCAAAAAGAUUUAGUAGUCAGUGAUUAUGUCUGAAGUCUUAGGAGAUGAUCUUUCACUCCUGCGCCUGCAGAAAAGCAUUUAUUAUUUUACCAAACUUAUUAGAGAAUUGCUUCAGACAACCCAAAUUGUACCGUUUCAGAAACCAUUCCAGUAAAAUAUAUUAUUGAUUCUCAAUACUAUAAACUUUUCCCCAACUUAACUAUAAAAUCAAGAUCAAAAUGAGAACAUCUAGUUAGCUAAUGUGAAAUCUAGAUUAGGCUGUUUAAACCAGCCGACGAAGAAGGGCCACAGUCGAUCAGGAACCAAAAAGGUCCUCUGACGUCGUUUGGUUUUAGGGUAUCUUCAACGUUUAGACCCACGACAGACAGAGGUAGGGGAGGAAGAAAUCCUUCCGAGCCUCCUUGCAUGCUAACAUCAGGGCACACGGAUAACUCAGACUACACAAAGCGCAGCGCCGCACUUUGCCCAAACUUUUUGAGUCGAGACAUGAGAUCAAUUACAAGAGACGUUGAUCUACAAAACCUGAAAUUUUACAAUCACAGGGCUAAAACAAAAGAAAAUAAGCGGGGCAACGAACAGAAACGUCCAACAUUUAUUGCUAGGGUAGAUAUAUACUUCAAAUCUUUCUUGUUUCAAUAUUCUCCCUCCCUCCCUCCAUCCCUCCCUCUCUCACUUCACUGCGCUAGACUUCAAACAAGUUGCAGGCAGAGAGCUGGGAAGGCCUCCUAAGCUCAGAGCCAACUUCCAGCCACGUAAAACAACAACUCAACCAGAUGCCAACCUCAAACGUCUAGAAUCAGACUGUCCUACUGGAGUUCUGGUAUCCAGCAACUAGAGCAGAUCACCAAAAUGAACAGCAGCUCCAGCAACAAUUGACCCUGCAUAACAACAAUAGAAUGGACAACAUUCCAGAUUCUUGGAUUUGCUCAUCAUGCAAAGCCUGGACGCCAAGAGCGUCAUAGAGCUAAUGAACUUAUCUUAAGCUUAAGCUUUCAUCGAAAGAUGCUAGUGACAGCAACGUGAUCUGAGUAUAAUUAUCAUGACUUAUGAUAUGGGUUUCUAAAAUUUCCAUGUCAUGAUGAUUGUGCCUGGGGAUGAGCCUCAGUUCAUUGUGACAUAGCAUGGCAUGUGGUAUCCAUGGGAUCUAUAAUACAUAUUGAUGACAUGGAGAAAAUUGGUUUGCAAGGCAACAUGUGUAAAAGAAAAGCAUUCCUGACAUUGUAAAGAGUUGAGGAGUGAAAACCAUAAGAUUCAACAGCUACAAUCCCAUGCACCCUUGACAUAAUAUAUAGAAACAAAAGUCCUAAUCAAGCUAAGAAUCAUUCUAAGAUAGCAUUGCCGGAAUGCAUAUGUCCUGCAUAAGCAAAAUAUAACAUGGCCCAACAAUAUGUUCAUGAGACCAUUUCGUGCAUUCAUUAACAUGUAAGAUGCUAAUGCUGAUGACUUGAUGACAAAAUGGAUGCAUGCAACAGCUGCACGAUGCAUCCUAUCAUAUGUAGUGGUUUGUUUUGCUCAGAGCAUAAAGAACAGAAUACAUCCCCUUCCAGCCAGUCAGCUACUGGUAGGUCAUAGUUGGCACGGCUCCAUUAGCACCGGGAGCAACUGCUGGAUGGUUGGAAUCCUUCCUUCUCCCAAAUGGGUUCUUGGAAUACGUUUCUAAUAUUAAGAGAAAAACAAUGGCCAGGAUAAAAGGAGACACAAAACUAUGUAACUAGCUAGAUUAAGAAAGCAAGAAAAUGUUGAUAUAAAUCUAGAGAGAGAAUGAGGAUGUCAGAGUGUGUACGGCCACACACAGUAGAGACACACAUGCAAACUAAGUCCAGAAAAAGUCAUAUACAAAGGAUAUUGGAUCCGCAUGCCAACCGAACCAGAGCUAGGUAUGACAGCACCCUGCAAAUUAUGAUGCACAUUGGUAGCACUAUUGACAUCCUGCAGAACAAAACCAAGAACUCAAAUGACAAUCUAAGAAAGGCAAACAGCUAUAAGACCAAGGAAUUGCAUCAGAGAGCAAUUGCAUCCUCGGAUACUCACUUCAAACUCAAUGAAGCAGACUGUGUGUCUUUCCUGCCUCAAUACCUUCAUCUGCUUAAAACCAGGUUGUCUAUGGUCAUACAAAACAAAGCACAAGAAAUGAAUUAGUAUCACUGAAGAAACAUUUUCGCUUCUCUCAACAUCUUAAGAAGAAAUAAAAAAUGAAAAAGAUGCAUACGCGCUGAAAAGACUCCUGAGCUCUUCCUCAUUUAUGUUCUCUCCAAGAUUUCCAAUGAACAGUGUGUUGCAUGGCGGGUUGUCCUUAGUGUUCUACAAGACAGCAACAGAACUGCCUCACAAAGGGGAAGCAGAAGAAGAUAAAGAACAGAAAGUACUCAAAAAUUAAUAGUACCGGGAACUGCGCCAGACUGGAACCAAAACUGAGAGCCGGAGAGGAACCGUAGGUAACGGAUCCGAUUCCGGUUCCAGUUCCAGUUCUCUAAAAAUAGAACCAGAGCCAUCUAAAAAAUUUGAGGAAAAAUAAAGCUUGGGCCAAGUCCAUGCUGUCCAACUUGGAAAUAUUCUUAAUUUCUCCAAAAUCCUGUAUCUAGUCUUCUAUUUAAAAUUGUUACUAACAUUCAAUAGUGUGAGGUGAUGAAUAUACAGAAAGCAAUUGCAAUAACCCACCUUUCAAUAAGCUUCCUCUUUUACCCUUUUUUUCUGGGGGAAGGACAGGCAUAUUCGCAUUCAUGGGCACCUUGCUGUACUUUUCAUGAAGUUUCUAUCAUUUUUUCUAUUCCUUAUUCAAUAAUAAUAAUAAAAUCAAAAUCCUACUUUCUUCUAUAUUUAUUUUCUUCACAUCUGCUUUAUUUUAAAUAUAUUGUCACAUUAUUCUCGCAACAGGAACAGGAACCGGAACCAAAACCAGGACCGUAACGGGAACCAGAACUGGAAGUUUCAGAACCCAUUACUGGGAACUGUCAUAUAAGGUGCGGUUUUGGUUCCACCAUUCCAAGGAACCGAAACCAGUAGUUCUAGAACUGUAACCGCAGUUCUAAAACCAUGGCCAUGUCUACUCAUGACGACUUCCCCCCAUAUAAAAGAUAAGUGAAUCAUUACUAUUUUUUGACCUAAAAGCAAAAGAAAGCACUAAAUUCCCCUACAUCAAAAUUUCCAGUAAUGUCCUCUCUUCAUAUGCCCAAAGAUUUAUGCAAACCCAAAAAAAGACAAAAGACAAAGUUAACCAUUAAAAAGAGACAGACUUAGGAUUGGAGCCAAAAUUUAGUAGAUAAUGUAGUCUGAUUGAGCUUUAUACAUUCAGCCUUCUGAAUAAUGACAUUUUAUACAUUAAUCAAAGAUUCUGGAACUCGUCAUGCUUUGCCGUGCUGGCCAAGGAGACUUUCUAACUACACAUAUUAUGGUUUUGAACCCUUACAGGCGGGCAUUUUGACUUUGCUCCCUGACAUAUAUCCAAUAGCAUGAAAGCAGAUGGAACAUAAACAAAACAACGAUACAAACUAUCAGGGUGCAAAAUUCAAGCCAUAUUAUCUGUCUAGAACACAGCAAAAUUGCUAAACUAAGAGACAUGUAUCAAAACAGAAUAUAGAUGUAGGUCACCUGAACAGGUACAUAACUGCUUGGAGCCGAAACAGGGGCAGGAGCAGGCAUUGGUACUGGAGCAACAGGAUAACCAGCAUAUGGAUCAUAUGGUGGGGGGGCUGGAGCCAUAUACCUAAGCCAUACAACAUAAUCUCAGCAAACCAAAAUUUGAUAUCUACAGGCAACUUUGGACAAUCAUCAAACAUAUAUUCGACCAAAUAAUGCACAUGAAGUCAUGCUUCCAUGCAACAGAAUAACUGUGCAAGGGAAAAACAGGCAGCGAGAAAAGCAGUUUACCCAUGGGGCCCCCAAACAGGUGCUGGAGGAGGAUGAAAAAGAGAUGGACUUGAAUAACCUGUGUGCGUAUAAUCACCACCAGUUCGCAAUCGUUUACUCUGAUCAUAUGCAUUUGAGUCGGCAACUAUCCCUGCAGAACAAACAGAAAAUACAUAUCCAAAUGGCGAGAAAAUUUGCACUUUCAGAACCGUAAUACUGAUGUCUGAAGUUAGAUGGAAAAUACUCACCCCUCUUUACAAAAAGAUUCUUCUUGGCCAUCUCAGUGUGCAAUAUCGAAUUUGAUUCGGCAUCAAAAACCAAAUCCUGUAGCCCAUAUACAUCAUUUGCCCAAGAAAACAAAAAGGAGAACAGUUUUAAAAAAAAAAAAAAGAAGAAAAAGAAAAAGAAGGAUCAACUAGUAGAAUAGGGAUAACAGAAGAAAUUGGAGGUGCAAUUACCCGAAGGGCAUCCUUGGCAGCAAUAGCUUGCUGAGGAGUGGCAAAGAGGGCAAAUCCCAUGGGAUGUUCGCCUUUGAAGUUGACCUGAGACGCCUCGUAUCCCGGCAACCAUCUCAGUAGGUUCUGCAGCUCUCUCUCCUUGACGUCCUCAGGCAGCCCAGAUAUGAAAAUUGUCCGAACCUUAGGGGAGAAGCAAAAAGUUUCAAGUUUCACCCCCUUUUUUUAAAUCACUUUCACCGCUACUGUAAUAAUUCGUCGAUGGAAAUCUUACCUCAUCGAUGGGAAGGCGGUUAUGAUUAUCCAUGGGGAUAGGAGCAGGGUGAGGAUGCGGUGGGGGUGGAGGAGGAGGAGCAGCGACUGGAGGCGGAGGAGGAGCUGCGGCCGGAGGCCAUUGCUGGUGGUAGGGGUGAAUUCCGGCACCAGCCAUAAGAAAUUGAGAAGCAAUUGUGAUUCUCCGCUAUUAGGUCGAUCGGAAAUAAACCCUAGCGGUCCCAGGCAAAGGUAAGACAACGACAACGACGGCUAGUGCUGGACCACCACCAAAACCACCAACGCAACGCAACUCUCCGAUGGAUUUGAAUUUUGUACUGCUACUUGCUCGAGAUUUCUUCCUCUCUUCUUCUUUUUUCCUUUCUCGGUUUGCUAAUUUUCCCUUUCCCCAACACCCCAACCAAACUACUUUUUGGUUGAAUUACUGUGGAGAGCCGGAGACCCGGUUCCUUUUUGAAGUUUCGACUAGACCCCUCACAAUUUGUCUGUUUUAACUUCUGCGCCUAUACUAAGUUCCUUUUGGAAUUUUCUCCCUACUUUAAAUGAUUUUUUCGAUGAGUUUACUGUUUAAGGGUCAAACUUAGCUCUUAUUGUAUUUAAAUUUUAUCAGAACAUAUCUACUCUCUCUACUCGACUCUGAGAUGUUUGUAAAUAAAAUUUUACUAUCAACAUUGUUUGAUGAAAAUAUAAAAUCAUUGUAAAUCAUGAUUAGGAAUUCUGUAAUUGCCAGCGACAGUUGUGGACUUAAAUUUAUGUAACAAAUAUAUGCACGAGCAUAUUAAAUUUAUGUGGCUCCAAAUUAUUUACCUGCAUUACAAAUAUAAUUUUCAACGCACUUUUUUAUCUCACAUAUAUCACAUCACAAAAAAGUGUUACAAUAAUCAUUCCAAAUAAUAUCGUAUCCAAACACACUCAAAAAUCGGAGAACCGAUCUAGAAAAUACAAUUCAAUGUGCAUGCACCACAAUUAAUUAAGUGAGGCCAAAUACACCAAACAGAUGGUAAUAGGCUAUCAUUUUAUUUUGGCGGGGGAAUUAGAAUUAUUUAGAUAACAGAUUUGAUGAAAAUCGUAGGGGGCCUAUGUAUGAUCAAGCAAGUGUGGUGGCGUUGGCAGAAGUGUCGUCCAAGGAAACAACAACGGCUUACAGAAAACCUUUGAAAAAGGCCCAGGAGCCCAAUAGAGUAAGUGUACAAAACACAGCCCAAACCUGAGUCUAUUGAUCGGCAUCUUUAGUUUAGGAAGUGAAGAAAGCGGGGGAGCCGUCUGUAGUUAGGGUUUUCGGGGCGCAGAGAGCAAAAGCUGGUUGGUUGAAAGGCGACUGAGCGGGAAGCAGCAGCAGCAGCAGCCAUGGCUAGCACCAAAGUUCAGAGGAUUAUGACCCAACCUAUCGUACGUCGUCCCUGACUCCAAACUCACUUUCGUUUCUUCUUUCUUUCCUUUUUUUUGUUUUGGCCUGAACAGUUGAUUUUUUUUUGGGGUCUAAUUGGGUGCGGAUGCAGAACCUGAUAUUCAGGUUUCUUCAAAGCGUAAGUUAUCUUCUUCCUUUUUCUUCUUUCUGUUUGUAAUUAAACGCAUAUUUUGUUGGUCAAUUGUUCAUAUUCAGCCUGCAAAAAACAAGUUCAUGUUGGGGAUUACUUGUUAGUAGUGUAACGUCCAUUCUGUCGACUUUGGCAGAAAGCUCGAAUUCAGAUUUGGCUCUUUGAGCAGAAGGAUUUGAGGAUUGAAGGCCGCAUCAUUGUAAGCCUUCUUUUUCCUUUUUUUUUUAAUUAAAAUUAUUUACUAAUCUUGCUUCAGGUUAUUUAUCCAAUUUCACCUUCGUUUGGGGUUUUGUUGCGGCAUUAUCUUAUCUCUACUCCUUUGUUCCACAAGAUAUUACAGUCGAAGGGAAUGCUGAUUUAGUGUCUUACAGCUCUUGUUCUUUAUUUUGACAGGGUUUUGAUGAGUACAUGAAUUUGGUCCUGGAAGAUGCUGAGGAAGUCAACAUAAAGAAGAAGACCACGAAGCAAUUGGGUCAGUAACUGAAAUGUGCAUUUUUUUCCAUCCUUUACCUGAUUUUUCAUGCUUCUUUCUUUGAAUCACUUCUCUGGUGUUUAUAUUGCCUUUGUUUAGGGAGGAUACUUCUGAAGGGGGACAAUAUCACAUUGAUGAUGAACACGUAUGGCUAAGCUCUCUCUCUCUCUCUCUCGUGAAGCCCAUGUAUAGAAUAAGCUAUCCUGAAACACAUAAGACCAUUGCAUUUUCUUGAAUUUUGCUGAUUUCAUAUUGCAUUUCGUUUUUUGCAGGGGUAAAUGAUGUUCCUGGCUUUGAUGCCUAGAUGUUCGUGAAUGUUUCAGUUACUACCAGCGCACUUGGAUGGUUUAUUUUCAGUGAUGAUGUAUUCUAGAUACUCAAUAGCUUUUCUCUUAUUCAUGAAUUGGGCAAUGGCUUCAAAUUCAAUUGCCUAUUAUGUUUUCUCCUUCGUCAUUAGCCAAUUAGGGAUAAUCUUUAGGCUCAUUAUUAUUUUCGUUUAAGUGUUGUAUUUCCUCUUUUGGGAUGCUGGGACUACUUGCUCUUAUAAAAAAUUUUAACAUGUUUGUGUUUUGAGUAGUAGUUCUCUAAUGAUGACAAUGGAUUUGGAGUUUAAGAAGAGAUGGUAGUGCCUUUUCACUUGAUCAUCCGAUUGUGUCUUUUAGGAUGUUUUAAGUUUUCUUGACGUUCAUUUCAUCCGCAGCAACUUGGUAAAUGCCAGUCCUUUUUGUAAGCGCAGUCUGGACAAGAAACGACAUUUGGAGUUUUGAACAAAGAGCUUACGAAACGUUUUAGAAAGUGGUGUUAGAACUUGGAAGGAAGCAAAGGGUCCUUUUUUUUUUGGCUCUUCUUGUCCUUUUGCAGAGAGAGAGAGAGAGGAGGGGUGUGAUGGUGACGGUAACGGAGGUGGAGGUGGAGGCGGAGGCCAAGGGGGGGCGCGGAGUUAUUUGGGGGUAUUCUACCUAUCGUGGUUGACUAUGACUAUGUCUUUGGAACAUAUGAUCCUAACUGAAAGGAUUUAAAUGAAGCUUGAUAGAACCUCAAAGUUGGUAACUCACCUGCAAUGGUUGUUGAAUCGAAUUGUUUUAACUGAUAAGAUAUAGCGCAAGUUGGAUCACAGAUUGGGAAAGGCUAAAUGGAGAACACUAGUGUGUCAGAUCUAAAUAUUUUCUUGAAUGAACAUUUCGUUCACAUAUCAUGAAACGAAGAUUGAAUACGAAGCAGAAUGCAUGAAAUUUUAUGAAAGGGCCGCCCGCCCCACAGAAAAAACACAAAAUACAAGCCAAUAUACAGCAGUAGACCGCAAUUGAUGUUCCACAAUGAAAACAAAGCAACAACAAUCACUUCCUGACAUUUUGCUACAGAUAAUUAUAUCCCUAUGAACAGUUACAACAGGGUUUCCGUGAAAACUCACCUUCUGGAAGUAGAUAGAGCGCAACACAUGGUUUUGGUAGCAGUCACCUUUUGUUCUCAAAAUAAUCCUCAGAAAGACACCAAAACAUGUCACCAGCAAAAGCGCUCUACAGUUCAAGGAACACGAACUCUUCAACUGCAGGCACUUCCCCCACCUUCUUAAGGGUAUCCUUGUCAGGUUCUUCAUCUACUCCGAUGGCCAUGAUUGCCUUUAUCCUCUUAGCCGUCCUUCCUACGCUCAUAAAGCUGACAUUGACAUUGCUCUCUCCAAGAAUAUUCCCAACUCUCCCAAUCAUUCCGGGUUGAUCAACUUGGCGGCACAGUAUCAGAUUCCCUUCCAAACUAACAUCCACACUAAAUGAUCCCACACCUGUUAAAUGAGGGAUUCCAUACUUCACCUUGCCGUCGAUGCUAAUAUUUCCUGUCUCUGACAAUGCGCUUGCAAAUUUAGAUUGAACAUUGCUAAUUUGAACUUGGAUUGAGUCGACAGGGUACUCAGGGGAGGAGUCAACAAAGACUCGUUCCUCGCUAAUCCGAAGGCCCUUCUGUUUUGCUGUGAAAUCAGCAUUUACCAGGUUUACAAAUGAGAUGGAUAUUGGCUCUAUAAUGCCUUUCACUAUCAUGGCCCUCAGAAGCCUGGUAUCCAAGUUGUCCGGGUCCCGAGCUGAUCUAUAGACGACCUUCACAGAUUGGAUGCCACUCCCACCAGCUACUAACUGCACAGCUAGUCUUCCUAACUUCUCAGCUAAGACAACAUAGGGAGCCAACUCUGACAUCACCUGAGUACAGCAGCCAACCGGAAGACAAUGAAGGAGGGUCAUAGAAACAUCAAUGUCUUCUAGUGAUCACCUCAGCCAAAUGGAAGACAACAAAUAAGGGUCAUAGAAACAUCAAUGCCUUUAAGUGAUUACCUCAGCAGGAACCAUAGGAGCAUUUACAGCAGUUGCCGCAAGUUCCCCUUUCAAUGCACCAACAACGGCCUCAGCUAUUUCAACUGCAACGCCUUCCUGAAUGUGUUUAAAAGGAUGAUAAAGUAAGAAAUGACAGUCAAUUUACAGUUGAAAAUAAUCCCAAAAGAACAGAAAUCUAUACUUGUGCUUCCUUUGUGCUUGCUCCAAGAUGUGGUGUAACAAUGACAUUCUCAUGUUGCACCAAUUUACUAUCUUUUGGCGGUGGCUCCUCUGUGAACACAUCAAGUGCUGCCUGUUGCAUGCCAGGAUAAAAACACGGCUGAGUGGUAGAACGAAGCACCGGAGUUUGGAUUAAAGUCAUACAAAAUAAUAUCGCAAGCAAAGGAAAACACACUCUUAAGAGAACUUUUUGUAACUGACAAAGGUACAAACUGAAGGCUAACCCAACUUUGACUGUCACAUCUGAAAGGUUGAUAUAUGGAAAAUCUAACCUGUAAAACCAAAAGAAAUAAGAGUUAAACCGCGAUGAGCAUACCUGUGCAACUGUACCGCUGUCAAGGGCCCUAACUAAUGCGUCUUCAUCAAUGACACCGCCCCUUGCAACAUUUAUAAUGCGUGCUCCUUUCUUCAUCUUUGAGAAUGUUUCGUCAUUAAAUAUCUUGGAAGUAGCAGGAGUAAGAGGCAUGUGAAGUGAAAUGAAGUCCGCAGUAGAAAUUGCCUCAUCGAAAGAGACUAAAUCCACACCAAUGGCACGGGCUCUAUCUGCCGGGGCAUAGGGGUCAUGUGCAAUAACAUUCAUACCAAGGCCUUUUGCUCGCCUUGCAACUUCAGAACCAACUUUUCCAAAUCCCAUAACAGCCAGUGUUUUCCCAACCAGUGAAACACCAACGUACUUGUUACGUUGCCAUUUUCCUGGAAAAAUCAUGGUUUUUGCACGUUCAAGUAAAAUCUAACUACAAUAAAAUGCUGUAUUGGAAAAUCACAUUGCUCUGCAAACUUGUUCAAUUCCAAUUUGAAGCUCUAAACUACAUAUGUCCAAGCGUAACCGUCAAUAUGAACCUUAUAGUAGAAGACCAAAUUUGAAUUCCGAGCAAAUAUGACAUUGUAUUGGCAGCAAAAUUUACUAAAGGCACGACGUUGUUCUAUAACAGUUGGUGAAUCUGCUUAUGCUACCUAAAAGCAAAUCCUCCAGUUCCCCUUAAAAGAACAGCUGAUAUCUGACAACCACAAUAUCGGGGUAAACCAAGUAAUUUGCACAAAUUGUACUUAUUUCAUAUAUCACCAAGUAUUUAUUUCAUACUCUUGGAAGGCUGUCGCAGAUUUGGGGUAAUUCGUAGUCAGAAUAACUGAGCAUAAGCCCAAACUUCUGUACAGAAGUCAGUUCCGACUAUCAACAGCAUGGAGACCAAAAACUUAAAAACUUCGAAGGGCAGAAAAAAAAAAAAGAAGCAACAUGGAGAAGUAGGAAGGUUUGACGAGUGAAACAUCAUAAACUUCUGAUGUUGCAGGAUCAAAAACUGAGCCUACUAGUAACAGCCGUGGAAAGUAAAAGAGAGUAUCAAGUGUACAAGAAACCCACAGCUGCUAAUAUAUUUACACCAAAAUACAUGUCCAACGGUCUGUCAGUACGUAGCUGCCGAGUAAGCCAAAACUUGAGCACAACGCAUGGAAAAAAAAUAUUAUUAUUACCAUACAAAAAGAAGAAGACGGAUAGAAACAUCCGAUCCCAUCCAACAACUAUUUUAGCCGCGUUUUUAAAAACUGAUCUGAUCCAAGAAAAUAUUUUUUUUAAAAAAAAAAAAAAGAAGAAGAAGAAAGAAUGAAUGAUACGUAAUAAUAGUACUCCACAAGAGUCGAGUAAUUUUGCACAUGAAACUGAAAAUUUUGGUUUACCAGCUUUCAUGGAGGCAUCAGCCUGAGGAACAUUGCGAGCCAUGGAAGCAAGGAGGGCGAUGGCAUGCUCGGCGGCAGCAAUGGUGUUGGCGGUGGGGGCAUUGACGACCAAGCAGCCGAAUUCGGUGGCAGCCUGCAGAUCGACAUUGUCAAUUCCAACACCGGCACGGCCGACGACCUUCAAACGGCCCUGAGCAGCCUGGAAGACCUGUCGGGUGACUUUGGUGCCACUGCGGACGAUGAGGGCGUCGCAGAGGGAGAUCUUGGCGCAGAGGUCGUCGGGGGACAGAUUGUAGGAGCAAUCGACGUUGGCAAAGGUGCGGAGGAGCUGGAGGCCGGCUUCUCCGAGCUUCUCGGAGACAAGAAUGGUGGGUUUGGGAGGGGUAAGGAUUGAAUCACGGAGAGGGGUGGGGUCGGAGAAGGAGAUGGAGGCGGAUUCAACGGCGGUUUUGAGAACGUUGAGAACAGGAGGAGAGGACCUAUUUCUAUAUGGGGCGUAGAGGAGUUUGAAGGAAGCAGAGUUGUUGGAGGGAGUAGGAAGGAAGGAAAGCUUAUUAGUAGGAGUAGGAGAGGAAGGAGGUAAGUCCGAGGAUUGCUGAGUUAUGAGUUUCGUAGAAAUGAAUGCUGCAGCUGCUGCUGUUGCAGAGGAAGCCAUCUCCGUUAUGCGGAGCUGUCUUCUUUUUCUUUUUUUUCCUCGCCUCUCUUUCUCUCUCUUCAGUCUUUCCGGUGCUCUGCGUAGGCACUAGGCAAACAAAAUGGUGAGCUUUCUCGUAUAAAUAUUUGCCCCACGCCCGCCAUCACAAAUGCCCCUCUCCCCCCCCCCCGGGGCCCGGUUUAUGUGUUUUAAUUGUGAUGCUAGACUGUAGAGCAGUGGUGCUCACUGGUGGUAUGAUUGCUGUGUUAGCAUUUCUUUCUCUCUCUCUCUUUUGAUUGCUGUGUUAGCAUUUCUUUCUCUCUCUCUCUUUUUUUUUUUUGGGUUUGGCUAUUGGGCUGGGGUUGGGUUCCCUCUUCUAAUCUCUAAAAAAAAUAAAAAAUAAGAAAGGGUUGUUGGAGACGAUCAAUCCUGUCAUACGUAGUAGUAUGCAUACAAAGUCCAGAGAAUUGAGUAGGUGUGGUGGGUGUAUAAAUAGUGGUGCGAUUUUAGGUAAAUAAUGCCAGAGAGAGGAAGAGCAGUGAGGGAAUAUGCGGGGGUUUGGUGGAGGACGGGAAUCGGGACAAAAUUUUACUAUUGCAGCUUUCCACUUUAAACAUUUGUUGAAUUCCAGCAUCAUUUGAGUCGAGCCUAGGACAAAACUUAAAAAGAAAAAAAAAAAACACACACACACACACACAACGAAAAAGAAGAGCAGCGUGAUGAAUUCGCAGCGAAAAGACGACGAUUUUGUGCUACAGUAAUUCGUACAAUAAGUAAGCGAUGACGCAAAUCAUCAAUUCCUAUAACUCUAUAAUAAGUAACGGAUGACAAUUGACUCUUCGCAACAUUUCAAAUGCCCUUAUCCAUCAAUUUGGACCACCAAGACCUUGUUUGGACGACCAUUUUUUCAAAGAAAAAUUGCUACGUUCUUCGUGAAUAUAUUUUUCAAUCAUCUUUCUAUCUCACAUAUAUCAAAUCGUUACGGUAAUUUUUUUACAAAAAAAAAAAGUCUAGAAAAAUGCAAUCCAAACUUCAUUUCAAUUAUAAUUUCUACAACUCUCUAUUAUAACAACUAACCGAUAACACGAGAAGUUAUUUUGAUACCCUCUUCUUAAUCAAAAAACUUGACUAUUCCACCAUGUGUGUUUGUGCCUUGUAUGGAUGGCACUUACAUUAUUGAUGCAACAUGGGCAGUCGGGCGAUCCUCCUUCGCUGGUGCCUAUGAAGGUAAGGUUUGUCGGUGUUAUGUAAUACUGACCGGAUUCAAUUUCGAGGGAGGCAAGGGUGUGUGUACAAUUUUCUUGAGUAAGUGGGGGGCAAAGUGUGAUUAAAACGUACCACAAUUAUGCUCGUGCUUCUUGUUUUCUCACAUUUUCUGCUGCCAGUAUUUUGUCGUUGGAACUUUAGGGUGUUGUUGGCUGUGGAUCGGUCACCGAGGAUUUUCUCCACAAGCACGCAAGGGGGAGGGAGAAUUGAAGUCGUCGUCGUCAUUUUAUCGCGCACGUUUGUGUAGUUAUCGAAGUGACAGAUAGCUUGAAGUCGUUGUCUCGUCUUCCAGACUAACGCGCCAUCGUCGAGCUUCUUCGGCAUUGAUGGAGCUGCCAGAUUCCACUCACAAAAGUGUACGAGUAGAAGGAUGGCCACCCCUUUCCUGAGGAUGCAAUAGUUGUUUGUUCCCCGCAAAUUAUUUUCGAUACGUACAACUGCUAAAAAAAACAAAAAACAAAAAAAAAGAAAGAAUCUUUUUGUGGAACUAAUGAAUGUAGUACAUUCAUUAUUUACAACAAAAACCAGUGGUAGUAAAUUAAAAAAUAAUACAAAACAAUAUAAAAAAUCAAACAAUUUAUGUGUACACGGUUAUGUUUAAAUAAUAAACAUGUGUUUUAUUGGUCGUGUGAUGUUAGUAAUUGAGUUGAAGUGGGUUAGCGAUGAGAAGUUAUUUGAAGAGUAAAAACGAAAUUUUUAGAGGUGAUGCCGGAUUGUUUACACCAGUUCUCCUCCUGCUCCCACUUUAUAAAUUAUAUUAUUAAUGCUUAGUCACAUAAAAAACGAUGUGUGUGCAAUUCAUAAAUACUUCUUUUAUGAAAUAAUUUUAUAUAAAAUUUUAAGUACUAAAGCAAAUGGUGGUAUUUCAACCUUUUUCUCAUCAAAUGGUUGUUACUUUAGUAGUUACAAUGUUUAGAGUGAGUCGUUUUGUCAAAAUAUGCUUUUAGAUGAGUUAUGGUUAGAAAUGAUUAUAGAUAGAUAUAACAAAAUUUGUAAUGAAAUGCUUCAAAAUUUUUAGAUAUUUAUUGACUAAGCUCUGCCUAGAAGUUAUUAACUAAAACAUAACAGAGCAUUGUGGGGUGGUUUUGAUCUAAGAUAUUUGAGGAUGAGGAAAUUUUUCGGACAGCCUCUAAACUAUUGCUUUCAUAUGAUUUUGACCCCAUUAACUAUAAAUUGUCACAAAUAAGGCAUUUGAAUAAUAAUAAUAAUAAUAAUAAAAGCUUAGUUUAAGGAUUUCUAUCAAUUUUAGCCAUUAGAGGUGAUGGGAUUAGGGGUAAAAUUGACUACAUAAAAAAAUCAACCCACGAAAAUUACCUAAAAAGUUUCGUUGACUGAUUAUUUCAUCAAAUCAGGGUUAGAAAAUGUGGAAGGUGAAAGGCAAGGAAGAACAUUAAAUUCCAUAUUAUUAGUUAACUUAAUACAGUUGGUUUUUUAACCAAAUAGUAGGUUAAAUUUUUUUUUGUUUGAAAGGUUUUGUCCCUAAUUUCUAUAUUUAACGCUCAAAAUUGAUAGAAACCCUUGAACUAUGCAUUUUUUUGUUUAAGAGCUUAUUUGUCACAAAAUUAUCAUCCAACAAUUUCAAGUUGGAAGAAACUUAUUUCUUCUAAAAAAAAAUUUUUAAAAAAAGUAGUAAGCAAUAGUGAUGGUGUAUCACUUUCCCAAUUGAAUGGAAUGUCUUGUUAUUUUCGGUGGGUUGCUCCGGCGGGCCAGAAUAAAUGAAUUGAAAGUGGAAACACCAAUAAUACUCUCAUCGGCCAAUCACGUUCUGCCAAGCUUCUUUCCUUCUUCAACUACUUUUGGACUCCUCUUCUUUUAAAAAGAUAUAUUGAACAGGUAUUCCUCAUAUAGGACCACAAAAAAUGACUUGAACAAAUCAAAGUCAAUCAACCAUUCCCAAAAAAAUUAUUGGGAGCUCGCGGCGCCUUGGCUGGUCGUCAUCAUCAUCAUUAUCAUAAUCAAAAUGUAGGUCUUUGCAAUUUGGUUAGUAGUACUAUUAGCAUCCAUAAUGAUUUACACACAUUCUUUCCGGGUAUAAUCCAUGUGUCACAUCAGCAUUUACUAUCUCCUCUUUUUAUUACACUCUCAUUUACAAUGGAUUCACAGAGUAUAAUAGCAUGAAUCCACAUGCCACAUCAACAUUUCACUAUCUCCUCUUUUAUUAUAUUUUCUCUCCUCUUAUUAUUUUAAUAAUGCACAACUCAUAACCCAUAAAUAAAUAAUUUUAUUAUUUUAAAAGCAAUUAUUUUUAAAAAUAAAUUAUUGACGUGACAUCUCAAAGGUGAAAAUAUCAUAAUAAUUCAUUAUUAAUUAAUAAUACACUAUCUACUGAAUUUAACUCCAUGACAUAAUAUUAAAAUUAAAUAAAAUACAAAUAAUAAUAUAACGAAUACUACUUUUCAUUAUUAUUGCCUCCGAAUCGUUCCAAAAUAUGCUCGACCAAAUCCGACCGAAGUUGAUGAUGUACUUCCUGAUCACAUAGUUCUGCAUUCCUUUGAAAAUAAUGGUGAAAAAUUUUUACUAAACCUCGAGUCACAGAGAUUGUUGGUUCUUCAUCAUCAUCAUGCUAGUUUCUUAUUGCAUUUCUCUCAUCCCUUCUUUGAUGUUUUUUUUAUCAGGUGGGCGAACUUCACGUGUUUCAUUAUCAUCAAUGCCAAAAUUUUGAAUCUGCAUUGGACGAAGAAAUGUAUGUCCCGUUUUCAUCGGUCCUUAUCUUUUGAAGAACGAUGCAUAGGAGAAUCUACCUUCCAUUUCAAAUCAUUUUUUUAACAACACCUACAUAUGUUCAUGUAAAAAAUACUUCUUAUUAUUAUGAUGAAAUAGCUCACAUGCGUGUUGCUUGAUCUGAUCAUCAUUCCCACGUGCUAUGAUGUUUGCCAACCAAUCUGUUGUAAUAUUGGUUGAACUCAUUAACCAUCCGACUCAACCAAUGUCACUAUGAUUUCACUACUUUAUAUUUUCAUGGUAGUUCAGAUUUUCGAUUCUCAUUGAAAUAGUCGACGACUCGUUUCCAUUUUGAGAGUUACUCACAAUGCUGCAAUUUGAAAUUGUGAGUCAAGCAUUUGCAAGCAUUUGUCAUCAUCCACACUCCAUGGAACGCGUUUAUCGUCAGGUUCUUCCACCGCCUCAUUUGUGAGAUUUAUAUUUUCUACCUCACGUUGUGUUGAAUACGGCGGAAAUUGAGAAUUCGAAAUUGACUCCGUUGGUAUUGCAUUAUUUUGUUGACCGGCGAAAUCAAAAUCCUUCCUUAUCUCCGACGGAGUCGUUGAGCCUCCACAACCCAUACCAAGGUUAUAAUACUCCGGUGUAUAGUGAUUUCUCAUAGAAGAAUUAAAAUAAUUAGGUGAAGGAUACAUGGGAAUUUGAUAUGGAAAAUGUGGUUAUAAAUGUAUUUGGACUAUUUAACAUAUUUCUAAAACUAUUGAGAUUCUCAUCCAUAAUGAUAAAAUAAUGAAAUUUAUAAAAUUAUGUAAAGAGAUUGAAAGUAAUGAAUAAGGGAGUAGGAGAGAUAAUGUAGUAAACAAUUGUGAGGUGAAAUAAAAAAAAUUACUUUGUAUAUUUAUAGGAAGUAAAAUAAAUUAUCCGUUGCUAAAAUAUAGUCGUUGUAAAACAAGGACGUUGUAAAAUGAUUGGCUCAAAAAAUGACCGUCGUAAAAUGUUUCAAAAAAUGACCAAGUAAAAUGCUGUCUCAUUUUGGCUAUAUUUGGAUGUUUGCUGGUGUUGUUAUGCCGUUUGGGUGCCAUAGCAUCUUCCAUGACACGCAUCAUCUGUAUUGUACGUGUAAUCUUCGCGGCACGGCUUGAUGUAACGAGGGCAUUAUACCCCCGUUAUACAUUGCCUUGGAUGCUCUAAGUAUACAUACCACCCAACCCGACCAGCCGGCACAGCGCAGCACUGCACAAGCAGAGGAGUAACAGAAAGGGUGGCCCACCGCCAGACUAUUCCAUAAUUCAAAGUUUCAAACCAUUUGAACUUUCCAGCUCCGGGGGGGGCAAGGGCAACCACCUCUCUAGGAUUGAUUCGAUCAGGUCCAGCAAAUAGGAGAACGUUGAAUGUAGAAGCACGGAAUAUGCUAUUGUUUGAUUGGAAUUGGUUGCUAAAUUAGAAGAAUUGGAACUUGGAACAGAGCCAGAACACAAAAAAUUUCUGAGGCUUACUUUUCCUGACCCUAAAACUGCAUUCUGAAUCCAUCAUUAGCCGAUUGACAAAGGAAUCUCAACCACCACCGCUUCUUAUUCCCACCCUAAUGGUUCAAGUUCCCAACCACUGAAUGGUUUAAAAGGAAAACAAAAAAGAUUUUUCUUUCUCGUAAUUUAUUCUAUCUGGUUACAGGGUCGCCAACAAAGCUCAACCUUUUACAUAUCCUAAGGUACAAUUCACACAAGAGUUACAGCGGGCGUCGAAAGAAGAAUCAUCAACCUGAAAAACUUCAAAGAGCUGCGAAAUUCAAACGUAUGAGCUCUUUCAACUUCUUAAAUUUGCAUUUCUUUUUUACUUUUGAAAAACAUAUUAUCAACAAAAGUACCCAUCUCGUUGACAAAACCAAACCAGAUGUCAGCGGAAAAGCCAAUAUACAACAACAGCAGAGAAAGUAGUAUUUAUCUAAUGCUUUUAGCUUGGCGAAGAUAGAAAUGAUCGAUCCGAACAGCAAAUGAAGUCAAGCGCUUCUUCUAUCUCGUUCGCUCCCUCAGAAUCUUCAUGCCAACGUACCUGUCGAAACACAACAACAGGAAAUUAGUCUCUGUCUUUUAACAGUUUCUUUUAAUCAAUCACCAUUGAACUCACCGGCCCAGCAUUAAAAGAGUGGCUUGAGGAUUAGUUCCAGGUGACACUGUGAAUAUUGAACCAUCAACAACUCUAAGCGCCUGAAUUCCCAGAACCCUGAAGUUUCUGUCAACCACCUUUCCUACGAGGCAGCCGCCAUGGUAAUGCCAUAUGGUAUUGACCGUUCGACGACAGAACUCUCCCAUCAGCCUGUCGUUCGAUAGAUCAACAGGCAAUGGUGGUCCUAUGUACCUAAAAUCUCGAUCCCCAAACAACUGAGAGAACUUGAAAUCCUCCAUGGAGCGGCUUCUAAGUACAUCAGCAAUCUUUCUCGUCCCAUUUACGCAUCUCUCAGUAUCAGCAGGGUCACUGAAGUAAUUGAACCUUACUAUAGGGUUCACCCUGACAUCGGUUGAUGCCAAUCUGAGAGAACCAGCUGACAGGGGUCCAACAAUCUUCUCCAUCAAGGUUGCAACGGUAAAAUAGACGGGAGAAGGCGGAGUCCUAGAGAAAAAAUUGUGAGCACGGGAAGCAAAUGGAAUAGCGUUUGAGGCAGCUUCAAGAUAAGCCCCAGAAGAGGUAAUUCCCACCACCUGUAUCAAUGAUUGUUCAAGAGGCACCGGGGGCACAAUGGAAAUGCCAUUUCUUGGAUUGUCAUAUAGGAACUGACCCACGUAAGGAUGGUGAUGCACUACAGGUAUUCCCCACGAGGAGAGAUAAGGCCUUGGUCCAAUCCCACUCAAGAGCAGAAGCUGUGGGCUGCCAAUAGCUCCUGCAGAAAGCAAAACUUCUCCCAUCUCCCGCAGCAUUGCAUGGUGGAACCGACCCGUCUUGUCUCUGAAUACCACCCCAAUCGCUGAUUGUCUGGGAGCUGCAGAAGCCGGUGAAGAAGCGAAAAGAACCCUCUCAACACUAGCGUAUACAGCCACCUUAAUAUUAGAAGGCUUUGCAUAGCUAAGAAGAUCAGCAGCACUGUGCCUCCUACCAGCGCUAUCAAAAGUGGAACCCCCAAUCUUGGUGCCUACAACAUGGUCCAAAGCAAACCCAUUGUAAGGACCGAUUCCAGCCUCCAGCAAUCCAUCCCUAAUGGCAGAUUGCCAGAUCCUGAGUUCAGGCCUGAACACAAUGGCCUUCUCAACCCACUUAUAGGAUUGAUUAACCACCCGAAGAUCCCAGUUGAUUAGUGAAUUCCUGAAGAAAUCCGGGUCGGCUCUGCUGUAGAAACCAGCAUUAAUUGCGCUACUGCCUCCAAGAACUCGGCCUCUGGCGUUGGGAACACCGUCUUCAGAAGUAAAAGCUUGAGCAGGGGAAUCAGUGGCAUCAAGAUCGACGAGAGUUGAGAGGAAACCUUCUUGGGUCAUCAGAUUAGGCAUGCCAUAAGGAACACCGCCUCUUUCUAGAACAAGAACUCGAAAAUUCUCAGACAAUGUGGCGGCCAGAGGACAGCCGGCGGUGCCUCCUCCAACAAUGAUGUAAUCAUAGUAAUCCUCCGAUGGCAUCUCCGUGGCAUUGAACACGAAACCCAUGUAGCUUGGACCUGAAAAACGGCAAAAAUGUGAAUCAUCAUAGGUCAAUUAUUUCAGGAAAAUGGCUGAUUCAUCAGAAAGUUGAAAGAACUUGGAUGGUGUAAAAAAUGAGGAAUCCAGAGAGACAGAGAGAGAGAGAGAAUUACUCUGCUGGGAAAGUGAUUUCGGCAAAGAAAUGAAAGCGGCAACCAUUAAAAACGUCAGAAUUGGAGAGUAAGAGUAAGGAAGUUUAGCCAUUGUUGCCUGGUGACGAAGAAAGAUUGGAUUUAUUUAUGUUUUUUUCUUUUUCUUGGGUGUCGUUUUUUUUUUUGUUUUGGAAGAGGGGGGGGGGGUUUCUUGAAAAGCAGUUGGUGAGGCAGAGAGGAAGGGCGGCGGUGGGUUUUGUUUGAGUUGUUGGAUUCCGGUAAAAGCAGCAGAGGGAGGAGGGACUAGGGAGUGGAGAAAAGAGUCACUGCAGACGUAUGUUUUUGGCGGGAAAUUCAGUUAGUUUAGUUAGCAUCAUCUCUCAUCAGGGAACGAACCACACCGCCUAUUGUAUCGGAUUCGGUGGCGUAGGAAAGGCCAAAUUAUCAUAUUCUCAGAACGACGUCGUUGGUGUGCUGACUCGUACUAGUACCGUGUGAUAUCCAGUUGGGAUCCUCUAUGCCACUACUCGGAGCAGUUGGGAUCCUCUAUGCCACUAUUCGGUGCCAAAUCUAGUGCCAAUCCUACUUAUCACGUGAUGGUAGAAGAAAUUUAAAUAAAUAGCACAUGACAAAUAUAAAAGUGACACUGAAUUAUCACUGAAAAAGUGGCACUGAGGAUCCCGUGUGAUAUCAUAGGACUAUUUAAAUUCCACCCCCAACCUUAAAACCCAAUGAAAAAAGCGAAAAAAAAAAUAAGUUAUACCUAUUCCAAGAGAAGAAAAGAGAAGAAGGGUGACUGGGGGAGCAAUAAAGGGAAUAACAAAAAUGUUUGGGCUAGGCCCAUCAUUUAGCAAACAGGUCCACGAUUGUAAAAAAACAAUCCAGUGGCCGGAGUUCCUGUCUCGACAGUACAGUUGCGGUGUGGAUCAUAUUUGGCCAGCCGCUCGCCUACAAUUUGUACAGUUACAAGAUUUUUUUUUUUUUUUUUUUCCUUUGUACAGGACGGAGCAGACGUUCAGGUUUCUAAUGACCAGUAGUAAAAUAGAAAGGGCUGAGUUGGGAAAGGGUGUUGGGUAUUCAUAGCUACAUACAUUUGAACUCCAACCCUCGUACACCAAAAGUAGGUGGUGAUUUGAAUUUCAUGUGUCGACUGGACAGACACCAAUUGGCACUUUAGCUGAAGCUUUUGGUUCUGCAAUAAAAUUGUCUUCGUCCAGGUAUUUUCCUUUUUCAAUUUUUUCUUGCUCUCCCCUCCCCUUUCUCUAAAUGCUGCCUACUACUAAAAAUUGUACCACAAUUUCUCAUCUUUAUGUUGUUCAACGGACAAGAUUAAGAAAUCAUAAGUAAAAAGGGACAACAUUAAAAAAAGAUGGAAACUUUUGAUUAGGGUUUUAUAUUUCGAUGUUUGUUUUCCUCUAAAUUCGUGGCCGUGGAUGCUACUCAUCACUCUAUCUGUUGAGAUAUCAUACUCUAUUUUAUGGGUAUUGAGGACAUACUGAGUUUGCUUCGGAAAUUGGAAAUUAUCCUGGCUGCCCAUGUUGUCGCUCUGUAUCUGUAGAAAGAUCAAAUUUUGUGGAUAUAGAGACAUAACUUAUUUUGCCUCUGAAAUUGGAAGUUAUUCGACCCAUGUUCUGAAGCAAUUCUGCGCCUUUACACCACUAAUUAGUGCUAGACGCACUGCCAUAUUGUUACCAAAUGAUUGAACCAAUACAUUGAGUUAAUUGACCAAUUGAUUGUACGCUUUCGGGAGGUAAUUGAGUUCAUGCCUUGAUCUGGUAGCAUCCAAUUGAAUUUCAUACUGUGAUCUGGUUGCAUCUUUUCUUAUACGGAUAGAUAUGUGGCAAGUACACUCUGCUUUCCUGAUAGUUGCAAAUGAAGAAGUAUUAACUCUUUUGUGAAACACAGUUCUCAUAGUAUAGUCAUUAACAACUUUGUAGUGGACGGAAAUUCAGUCAAUCCAAUGCCUAAUGUCAUUAUGGAAAUCUUUCCUCUAGAAAUUUAAUUUUUGUAAUUGUUAAGAUAUUGCAUUUUUGAGGAUUCAUGUCUUGGAUCUGUAAGCUUGGCUUGUCAAUUGAAGACUUCCUGGACAAGGAUGGAUUUAAUAUAAACAGCAUUUCUCUAGGUCUUCAGAAUUGGAUAUCAUGAAUUUUUUUGUUUUAGAAUUGAUGGAAUCUUACUUGUUAUGAUCUUGGUUAAGAUUUUCCCAUUUCACAUGGAUUUGAACGACCUUAACAAGGUCUGGGAAGUCAAACCUUUAAGGAGGACUCGAGAAAAUGAGGCCAGGCAAAUUCUUGAAAGAGUAGCUAAACAGGUGCAACCCAUUAUGCGCAAACGGAAUUGGAAAGUCAAAGUUCUUUCUGAAUUCUGGUAAUGAUUUUGCUUUACUUUUCCACAUUCACAUCUCCAGUUCAAGGCAUUUUCAGCAUUUGUUGUGCCACUUUGCUGAUCAAAAGAAUUUGGUUUGCAGCCCAGCAAAUCCGUCUCUUUUAGGUCUUAAUAUAGGAGGGGGUGCAGAAGUUAAGCUGAGAUUGCGCCGACCGAACAAUGAGUUGGAUUUCUUCCCAUAUGAUCAGAUUCUUGAUACCAUGCUUCAUGAGCUCUGCCACAAUCAAUAUGGUCCCCACAAUGCCGAUUUUUACAACCUUUUGGAUGAAAUUAGAAAGGUGGUCGUUUAUCUUAGUAAAGUGAAAAUUCCAACUUGAAACUGCUUCUCCCUUAAGUACUCCUAGUAAGUAUUUGCACAAUUGGAAAUUUCUUUCCUGCUGUCUGGGUUUCGGAAUGGCAGGAGUGCAAAAUUUUAUUUAUUUAUUUAUUUUUUGGGGUGGGGUGGGGUGGGAGAGGACGGUGAGAGCUGGUUUCAAUUACCAUUCUUUCAUAUGUUUAUGUUAGUACUGGGAAAGAUCCAACUCUGAACCUUUUUUUUUUGGCUGAAGUUCUCCUAUUUUGUCAUAAAUGGGAAUUUCUUUUCGUGAUGUCCUGGCACCUUCCUUUAGGUUUUGGCAGGCUGGGAGUUACCUUUUUUGGUUUUUUUUUUUUGGGGGGGGGGGGGGAUUGGUGGGGAGGUUUGUGGGAGGGGUGACACCUGGCUUGAUUUUCCAUUUUGCAGUUCAAUAUGUAGUUCCGUAGUCUCAAUAUGAGUGUCGAUUGUUAGUUUUUCCUUCAAUUGACUUGCUAGAUAAUUCCCCUACAACUGAUUUACCUAAUUAACAAUUUUCAGGAAUGUGAAGAUCUUAUGGCUAAGGGAAUUACAGGCACUGGGCAAGGAUUUGAUCUCCCUGGUAGACGACUGGGUGGCUUUUCCCGUCAGCCUCCUUUGUCAUCACUCCGGCAGUCUGCAUUGGCAGCUGCAGAAAAUAGAGCUCGGCGUGCAGCUAUUUUGCCAUCUGGACCAAUGCGACUUGGUGGUGACAGUAGCAUUAAGGCCGCCCUGAGCCCAAUACAAGCUGCUGCUAUGGCUGCAGAAAGGAGAUUACAUGAUGAUGUGUGGUGUGGUUCCAAAUCUGCAGAAAGUGAAGGAUCUUCUGAAAGUUCUCAAUCCUCUACUGUGCGCGAUAAUGAAUCUGAUCUGAUGUCAAAUCUUGGCAACGCUCAAAGCAGUGGUACUAAAGAUCUUCAGUUGUCGUGGCAGUGCAGCACUUGCACCUUAAUAAAUCAGGUAAAUGUGCCCAUUGCUUUUUCCUGUACUGCAGAGCCAUGGAGUUUUCUCCAAUCAAUUUUCUAGAAACUGCCGUGUAAUUUUAAUUUACAUGCUAAUGGCUGUAAAUGUCUUUUUUUUUUCCAGUUGUUGGAUAUCUGUCUAUCCAGAGCUUAAAUGCAAAAAUAGAAAAAUAAGAAAAACAAAAAUGCAUCUGAUAGUGUCUGCGUAGGUUCUUACAUGACAACCAUAUCUCUUCGUUAAUGGAACGGAUAUAAAUUCAUCUCAAGACCAGUCCACCUCGACCUUUUGCCUCUUUGUUUCAUUAAUUAGGUACUCACUUUCCAGAUUUAAAUUUUACAGCCCCCGGCUCUUAUUUGUGAAGCUUGUGGAACGAAGAAAUGCGCAAGCAAUGGAACAAAGUCAAAGGUUUGGUCUUGUAAGUUUUGCACUCUAGACAACAGUGUUGAGGUUGAGAGGUGCUUGGCUUGUGGGGAAUGGAGAUAUUCGUAUGGUCCACCCACAGUACCUCUGUUGGAAAAUGCAUAGGUACCUGGAAUUGGGAAGUUUAAGUAUAUUAGGGAGAAAAAGAGACGCAUUUUCCGCAAGCACUCUACACCAUGCUGGUUAAGAAGCCUUCAGAUCCAAUCCUUGUCAGUGAACUCCAAUUGCACAGAGGUCUGCAUGGGGUAGUCAACCUGGGCCAACAACAGCUGUGUAGUUGUCCAGCAUGUUGAUGUAUGAAAGCCAAGAAUUUUGUUACUUAUUCUGCCGUUGAAAAAAAUGUCCACGUGUCUCUCACUUCCAAUCGUAAGACACUCUGUAUUUGCUACAUAAAGUGUGGAGAUACGAAUGUAAAAAUUAUGCUUUAGCUGCGAAAAGGACAGUUGUUUGCUUUUCGUGUUGUGAAUUAUAGGCUACCUUCCAUCAGUUAUUACUUUUCUUCUUAAAGAUUGGGCUCGCUCCUGGUAACAAGCUGCUUGCGGGGAUAGCACUGGAAAAAGGGCAGGCUGUUUUCUUUCCUUGUAUGCUUGGAUCUGAAUCUUGAAUAUAGUAACACACACACAGUUAGUUACCUUGAACAAUGGUUAGCGUUCAUUAGUGGGGCAACAAAAAGGGGAAACUGCGCGCGUUUGUUACUUAUUUUGGGAUUUUGGCAAGAGACAGGAUUACCAUCAGAGUAGCAGGUUUCGUUGGAGGGUCUGAUAGACAAGCGCAAAAGGAGCUGGAUGGAUGGGUUUUAGUUAGAGCCAGGCAUAGGUUACUCGGACGCUAUGCUGGAAGAAGAGCAGGAGUGGGAAGUGCCCAGUUAUUGAUCAGAGGGAUUUAAAUAAUAACGGUGGUGUCGUCUCGUCAUGGCAACAAUGUGGGCUGGUUGUAAAGGAAAGGAUCAGAGUCGGACAGAAGAAAUGCAGCAAGAAAGAUAUUUGGUAGAAGCAGCAGCGUAUAGAGAGACGGAUCAACUCAAGUAAGGACAUCUUCUGAAGCAAGGAGUCGGGAGGAGAAAUCGAACGGAUGGACAUCUGGCCUCUCUGGACCUUACCACAUAGUACGCCGUAUAAUCAUACAUACAGUAUGACGGGAAGUCUGCUUCUGCAUCAUCAUCCUGUUUUUCAAAGGCGGUAGAGCCAAGUGUAAUCAAUCCUCUAGGACGGGACCCACAAGCACCAGUCACCCUCGUAAACCAUACGCUUCCUAUCAAUCAAAGAGUAAGUCUCAGUGUGAAGAGGUUUUGGGCAGUUGGGGGAUCGAGAAUUUCUGUCCAAAAAAGAAAAAAAGGGAGUUCCCGGCCCGGUGGAGCGGCAACCCAUCCAUUCCUUGAUCAAUAAGAAUUAGUAAGCCUGCGUCACUUUUGUCAUUGUUCGAAAGGUCAACUCCCGUAUGUCCUUCCUUCCUUGCUUUGACCAUCACCUCUCCAUCCAAUCUCGAAUAUCUCUCCAUCUCAUCUCUCUCUGGGGACUGACUGCGGAGAGAAAAUAUAUCUUUUUUUUCCCCGAAACGAUAGAAGGCAGGCGGAGAGGAAAUAUAUCAAUGCAUCAAAUUUGUUGAUCAAUUUCGUGUGCGCGCGCGCUCAAUUAUAUUAGGUAAGGACGCGCUCACACACCAACCCCCACCACCAAAAAAAACAAAGCACAGCACGAAAAACAAAAUGCUGACCGCAACGUGCCAUCUAUUUUUCAAAAUGAAGUUCACUGCUAAGUAGUCCACCGGUACUGCUACAGGCAGGUAUACAAAAUAAAGAGGAGGAGGAGAAGGUAAAAGCCAUAAACAACAAGGGAGGGGUCGUUUCUUUGCUUCUUCCUUUUUUUGCUAUUUUUUGUAUAUAUUGUGGCGACUGAGGAGUAGGAGGGGGGGGGGGGCGGGGAACUUUGGGGGGCGGUGUGAAAGGGGGACGUAGAGGAAUCUUUUUUGGACAAGGCAGAAAAAAGGAAAAUGGAGGGACCUGAGAGGGAAGACGGGCUUUUCAAACUUCCGACCAAAGUUUAAGUUUGACCUUUAGUCCUUCGUUUCAAAUCCUCUCUGUCUCUCUCGUGUUUAUACGUACAACUACUACUACGUGCGUGUAUAUUGAUGCAUUGAUAAUUUAAACAAAUCUUUGACUUGCUUGAUGAAAUUUGUUAUCAAUUUGAUUGAAUUAUCGAUGCAAUAAUACAUGUGAUAGUUGUAUAAACACGGGAUAGAGAUGAUUUCAUAAUAAAAGAUUUGAAGCGCUCAGCCUUAUAUGCCACUCCGCUACUAAUUAUUAUUAUUUUUUCUCAAAAUUAAAUUAAACAAAGAGAAAAGGUUUAGUGUAAGUCAACUCCUCUGCGCUGUCCGGGGCGGGGCUUCUUCGAUACUCACUGACCUCUCUAAAGUCCAAGGAGCCUCUGCAGAAACUUCCUCCAUGUAACGUGCAGCAGCAGCAGCAGCAAAUGUAGCAACAUUCGUCUGUGAAUUUGUAACACCAAAACUUUUUUUUUUUUUUUUGCUUUAAUAAAUUUGCAAAUUGUAAAUAUAAAUCAUGUAGAUACUGCAAAUAUGUUGGUUGGUACGCACUUGAGAUGAAAUUUGAUUCAGUGGUAAACUAUACGCACAAUUCAAUUUAAUAAUAAUAUGCAUCUAUCAAACAAUAGUUAUUUUUUCCAUGCAACCAUUCUAGUUAGAUUUGAUCCGCCAAGAUAUUUUUCACGAUUAACCCCAUCAGACAAUUCUAAAAAACAGACAGCAGUAUUUUUUAGUAACUCUGAACUCUCUCCCUCCCUAGUAUUCAAUUUUUUUAUUUACUAUAGUAAUUGGCUAGUUUAAAGAACGUAAAAGCCAAAAAAAAAAAAAAAAAAAGAGCCAGGUACUCCAAAUUUUAAGGUAAAAAAAAAAAAACCCCGUUGACUCGAUAAACUUUCUGAGUCUCUCGAAGUUUGCUUGGCUGCGAAUUGUGUGACCGUUCCAUCCACACGUUCAUUAAAUGGAGCUACUACAUUUUCUACUCUUUUUAGAUUCUUACGAGUGUCGUUUCAGCAAGCAUGCCAAAUUAGUUCCAGCACCUAGAGUUGCUCCAAUUAUCUUCCGCGCACCACCCCCCCAGCCCCCCGGGGCCCCCCUCUCGCCCCUUGUCUUAAAAAAGUACAAAAAAAAAAAGAAGAAGAUAUAGUACCAGUAGUUGGUACCAUGUUGUCUUCAGACGAAUAAACUCUCUAUAGAGCAAUUGAUCUCUACGCUACCAAUUGCUACCAAAGCUGUAAUUAAUUACCCAUAACUUUGCUGCUAUUACACCAUAUGCCACAUUUUGCUGCUAUUCUAUCCUAUCGGUCACUUGGUGGCCUGGCAAUAAGUACCAUCAUUCAUGCACAUGAAAUCAAAGCCCUUUUUUUUUUUUUUCCUCCUCAUCUUUGAUACAGUAGUACUCCUAUAUGAGAGAAAUAAAUGAGAACCCCAAAAAAAAAAAAAAAUUCAAACCUAAAGUACUAUUACUACUACUACUACUUCUACUUAUAAAAUUAAAAAUAAAAUACAACUAGCAAAAGUUUCUCUCUCCUGCCAAACCUAAAGUACUCGUAGCUUUCUUUCUCUUUCACGACUCAAUCAGACAGAAGUCACCCUUGUCUUUCUCUCCUUCCAAGAACCUUCCGCUCUCUCUCCCUCUUGAGGCUCUUCUCAUUCUCUUCCCGUACUCGAUUUUCUCUCGCUUCCAUUUCCUUCCUCUCCCCUAAUUGUACUCCUCCAUUUCCCUCCCCCACCACCAUGGGAUGGGGCUGCCCUCUUUCUUGCAGAAACAACCCCCACGGUAACAAUUAACAACCCCAUCCACCCUGAUCACCCGCCCAAUAAACAAUUAUACCAGUUGCUCAAACACGAACCCCGCCCCCUCCCCUUCUUUCGUCCCAAGCCUUUCUUUUGCUAGAAAAAUUUUAGUACUACUACUUUCUAGUCCCAGAUUUUAUUUUGUAUUUUUCUCUGGGUUUUCCUUUUUUUCUUUUUAGGGGGUUCGUUUAUAGAAAUUCCAUUUCAUUUUUGUCAUCAAUCAAUAACCUAGACAUCUAUAUCUUCAACGAAAGACAACCCAAAACGAACACGGGUGAGGGGAUUUAUUCCGGACCAAUUGAAAACUGGGGGUGGGGUGGCAGUAUCCGUCCGUCCGUUUGUUUAUUGAUACAGUGCUAGUUUUUCCUCCUUUUUUUUUCGGGUGGAGAGGUUUUGGAGGGUGGUUUAGAUAAUCGAUCAGUCGGUCGGUCGGUCAGUCAAAUCAAUCCAAACACCUCUAGAGGAGAGCUAAUCAUGCGACCGAUUCAACCAUCGCCGCCAGCCGCCUCCUCCGCGGCUACCCCUCCCUCUUCCUCCUCUUCCUCCUCCUCCUCCUCCUCCUCCCCCGCAUCAAAUCGGAACCGCUCGCGGCGGCGCCCCGACCUUACUCUUCCGCUUCCCCAGCGAGACCCCAAGUUAGCUGUCCCCCUUCCCCUCCCGCCCACCUCCGCCCCAUCCUCCUCCACCUCCUCCUCCUGCUUUUCCCCUCCCCUAAACUUCUCCCAGCUGGAGAGGAUCAAUCGCAUCGGCAGCGGCAGCGGCGGCACCGUCUACAAAGUCCUCCACCGCCCCACCGGCAAACUCUACGCCCUCAAGGUCAUCUAUGGCUACCUCGAUGACUCUGUCCGCCUCCAGAUCUGCCGCGAGAUCGAGAUCCUCCGCGACGUCGACAACCCCAACGUGGUUAGAUGCCACGACAUGAACGACCACAACGGUGAAAUCCAAGUCCUCCUCGAGUACAUGGACAAGGGCUCCCUCGAGGGGAUCCACAUCCCCCACGAGCCCUCCCUUUCCGAUCUCACUCGCCAGAUUCUCUCCGGCUUGUACUAUCUCCACAAGCGUAAGAUCGUUCACCGGGAUAUUAAACCCUCCAACCUCCUCAUCAACGCCAAGAGGGCCGUUAAAAUCGCCGACUUCGGCGUCUCCAGAAUCCUAGCCCAGACUAUGGAUCCCUGCAAUUCCUCCGUCGGCACUAUUGCUUACAUGAGUCCCGAGAGAAUCAACACCGAUCUGAAUCAUGGCAAGUACGACGGCUAUGCGGGUGACAUAUGGAGCUUGGGCGUCAGCAUACUGGAAUUCUAUUUGGGAAGGUUUCCGUUUGCGGUCGGCAGGCAAGGUGAUUGGGCCACCCUCAUGUGCGCCAUUUGUAUGUCGGACCCUCCGGAGGUGCCGCAGACGGCGUCCAGAGAGUUUAGGGAUUUUAUUGCUUCUUGUCUCCAGAGGGACCCUGCUAAGCGGUGGACCGCCGCGCAGUUGUUGCGCCAUCCCUUCAUCCUUCAGUACAGUUCUCCCAGCUCCUCCUUGGCUAGUGCUAGCUCCGCCAAUAAUCAAACCCAGGUGCUUCAUCAGACCCACCAAUUAUUGCCUCCUCCACGUCCGCAUUUUUCUUCUUCUUGAUUUUUCUUGCCAGCCCCGAGGAAGAAAAGAAAAGUUUUUUUUUUUAAAUUUUACCCCCCCCCCCUCUCUCUCUCUUUUUUAUUGCGAGUUUCAUUGUGUAAGUCUAUUUUCAUGAAAUGGAGAAAAUUACUGUUGACUGAUGUGAUGGAAUGGAUAGUGGAUGAUGUAUUUUAGGCAAAAAGAGAAGGAAUAGAAAUUUGGCGAAAUGGGCAAAGUUUUAAUUUGAAAGGUUGUGUUUAGCUUAUGGUUCAGUAUCAAUCAUUCAAAUUUGCCUUUUGAUGAUGUUUUGCCAUAAGAGGAAAAUCUUUACUUUCGAGAUUAGCUUGAGCUUGCUGCUGUGCUAGUUCUUCUCAUUUGAGUAAGCAAUUUGAUGAUCCAUUGUAUUCCAGCGCUGCUGGAUGGAUACUUUUGGUACAUGGCAUUUUGUGCGUCAAUCGUGAGCACGAAUGAUUGAUGUGUAAAGUGGCAAAUAAUUCUGUACCGGGAAUCUUAGCUUGAGAAAAGAAUGGCAAGGUUGAUUCCUGUAGUUUGAUAAUUGUAGCUGGAAAUUGGUAUAUUUUUAUCAGUUUGACUUGGAACAUUCAGUUUUUAAGUCCUAUGUUGGGGCUAUGUUUGCAUGCAUAGCCCGGGAUUAGGUAGUGCAGAGCAUUGCUUGAGUUAGGUUUCAUUUGCCUUUUGAGAAUAUCUUGUAUGUGAAUGCGGAAGAACCUAUUACUUGGUGGUGGUGUAUCAAUUUCUCUUUUUAAGGGAGGACAAUUCCAAUAACGUGAAAAGUGAAACCUUUCUUUUUGUUUCCCAGACACGUGCAAAUUAGCUUUCCAUUUUUCCCCCCCUUGGUUUCCUAGUGAGAUCAGUGCGCAUGUUCAUAAUGCCUUUCCUUUACUUCUUAUGGUUUUCAUUUAUUGGUGACACAAAUUUUGUCUUCUGGUGUUGUCUCGUGUAUAACGGCUUUCUUACUGUUGUUUUGUAAUUCAUGCACUUGGAAGCUGGAUUACUCUUUUGGGUUUGGCAAGACUGGCUUCUUAAAAGUAGUCAUUUUAGUUCAAUUACUUGGUACUACUAUACUAGCAUCUGCUGGGACAUUCUUAAAUUAUAUGGAUCUUCAAGGUUCGUUCUUCUUUUUCUUUCUUGCGUUUAAGGCUGUUCUACUACUACCAUUAUUUUUCUUCUGGGAGGGAAGGAGGAAGGUGGGUAUUUUUUCGAUUUUUGAAUGGGGAGGGGGGAGUUUCCAACACUUUUCUGGUCUAGGGACCAGGAAAAGUCAUUUGGCCUUGGUUGGUGGGGAAUUGCUCAUAGAAACUAAAGUUGAACUGUUCUUCUGCUGUAAUAAGCAGUAUAUUGUUAUGAAAUUUUAGUGGGGAAUACGGAUCCCUUGUUUUAAGUUUAAUAAAAAAAAAAAAGAAGAAGAUUCUCAUUGGGCAUUAAUUAUGUAACGGGACAAAAUGAAAGCGGUAGGUAAAUGCCUAGCAGGUGAUUAAUGAAAGUUUUGAGAUUGCCGGAUUGUGUCCCUUGGAUGAAUGACCAAUUCAACAACACCAAGACUGAAGGCAGGGCAGCGUCAGACGUCCAUGAGCAGAAUAAGACGGUAAAACUCAUUGAUGGAAGUGCAGUGUCCCAACAAAUCAGAGAGAGAAAGCAUUCUAGCCUGGGAGCCAGUUCUGGGUCAACGUCGACAAAUAUUCCUGCGUCAACAUUAUGUAAAAGUGACUUCUAAACAGUGGCGGGGCCUGAAAAAAUUUUUGAUUGGGCAAAAGUAAUUCUAAAAUUUUUUACCUGCUAUUUUUUAAAUUUUUUAAGAAAAAAAAUUUACUAACAAGUACAAAUGAUAUAUAUAUAUUUCAUAAAAAAUAUCAAAAAAUAAAUUCAAAAUUAUUAAUGUAAUAAUAAUUUUAUUUUAAUAGUAAAUUAAAUUAUUUAUAAUUGUUCAUGACAAGUUUUCAUAUUUUGAUAACGGUUUACAACCUUUUAAUUUGAAACUUCACGAAAUAUAUAUAUUUUUAAUAUAAGUAAUUAAAUAAUUAUUAAUUCUAGGGUCUUUCAUUCUAUUUUGUAAUCGAUUUUUUACUGUAUUCAUCAUUGAAAAAAUCCUUUCUACGAUAACUGUAAUAACAGGUAAAAUCAAAGACAACUUUAAAAGCAUAUAAAUCAAUAGAUACAUAAAACUUCAGGGGGCAUACUUGAAAUUACAUCAAAUUUUUAUAGGUAUUAUAGAAAUUUAAGGGAGGCAGUGGGGUCUAUAAACCAAUAUAUACAUAAAACUUCAGGAGACCAGUUGAAAUUACAUCAAAUUUUUAUAGGUAUCAUAGAAAUUUAAGUUACAUCAAAUUUUCAUAGGUAUCAUAGAAAUUUAAGUGUAAAUCCGCCAUUGCUUCUGAAUGAUGAAUCCUCUUACUACUCCUGCAGUCUCCAGUUGUUGCAUUAUGAAAUGACACGUAAGUAUCAAAGGAACUAUCCAUGCAACUGUCAAAUCUUAUAUUUGAGGAGGAAGAGAGUAGGGCGUGGAGUGAUCAAACAUACGCACUAGUAGACAGUAGUACUUGUUUCCUCCUCCUGUUGAAGCAGAGAGCUCUGAAGGAGGAAGAAGCUAAUGAUCUUUUCUGACUGUCGAUUUUGACCGCUCGGAAUUCAAAAGUACCACGUGCCAUACGUUGAUGGAAUAAACCGUCCAAGACCGGGUUAUGUACCAUAAUAUUUCAAUUUUUUUAAUGUUUGACAGGCAAGUUUUUUGCUACAAGUUUUUUAAAAACUUUAACUACAAUAAUAUCAAAAACUUUUCAAAUUUUUUAAACUAUACACUUCAAAACAUUCAAAAAUUUACACAUUUCAAAAAUUUUGUAGAAAACUUCUAAAGUAAAGUUUUAGACAAACACCCAAAAAACUCACUUGUCAAACGGGGCCAUAAUAUAGACUGUGAUAAAACUGGCCGAGUUUCCAGAUGGUAGUGGUUUAUGACUUUGUGUUCGAACGAGAUGGUGGUUAAUCGCAGGGGCAUGUCCUCCGCAAUAUUUUGUAAAAGUUAAAAAAGGCCUGUUCUCUUUGUCGUUAAAUUUUGUGAAGUCAGAAACGAAUGAACUAGUACGAUUGUGGAACGUUGAGUUGGAUUAGGGCCUGUAUACUUUGCUUUAGCUUUUCUACCUUGAUUGUGACAAAGCCGUUUUUAAAAGGCCCAAAACAAACACACACACGGACUUCCAUACGGCCGACUGACUCACUUAUAAUAAUUGGGCUAAUAUGAAUGGACGAAGACAGAGAGCCCAACUUGUACUUUUCAACUUUCUGACCUUCGGUGAAGUUAAAGAGCAGAUAGAAAAUUUGGACCUGGGGCUUCAGUAAAUUGUAGGUGUGGAGAAUCCCGGACGAUGCAAAUCUGAGUGCCGAUUAUUAUUAAUCUGCAUAACUUGUAAAAAGUCUUGCAAUGCAUAUUAUUAUUAAGGAUUGAUUAUCGAGAUGACAAGCUCCAGUGCAGUACACGACUCGUGUUAAGUACUACUACUAGCAUUAGUUUUCAGAGUAGUGUGCGAUGCUGAUGGACAUGCACGCUCCGCCGUCAAUCAAAUCUAUUAAUUCCAACUUUGCUAAUGCACAUUACAGUGUAUGGAACUUGAAGUCACUCGUGACGCCAAAUCUCUCUGCCACUGUCUUUACAAGCGUCGAAUUUGGGGCGUAAACGGUGGUCAGCUCAAUCGUUCGUAUCGAUUUUUUGUCUAAUUUCACAAGAUGCACCUUACUUUCUUCGUGAUGUAAUUCACUUUUAACAAAAAGUAAUUAUAGAACCUAUUUUUGUGAACCCCGUACGUGACAUUAAAUAUGAUGAACAUGUAUUUAUUUUAGCCUUACAUUUUUUUUAUGACUAAUCUUGGCCAUUAACUGCUCAGGGACGGUCAUUCUAAUGUGUACUUUAUUAAGAUAUCUAUUAUCUCAAACUGGUGUCCCAUUUGACAAAUGAGUUUUUUAGAUAUUUGUCUAAAAUUUUGUUGUAACUAACUCCAGAAUUUGCAAGAAAACUUUUUCAAGCGUGUAAAAACUUUCCUUUUUUCUUUUUCCUUUCUUUCUUCUACUCUUCUUCUUCCCCAUCCCACCACUCUCUCGCCCCAAAACUGGCCGCCGUCGAUAGCCUUGUUUUUUCUUCCCUCUCUCUCCUCUCUCCCUUUUCCUCUUUCUCCUUUCUUAUAUCUUUCCUCUUUAUCCCCUCAUCUCCUCUCUCUUAUGCCGCUACCCUUUUCUUCCCCUUUCCUUUCACCCUGGUCGUAGGACUAGAUGUGGCAAGGUAAGGGAGAGGGGAGUGAGAGAGGGAGGGAGGAGGAAGAGGAAAGACGGUGGAGGAGGAAAAGAGGGAGAGAGAAAAAAAGAAAAUAAUGGUAGUGCUGGUACUGACAUCAACAAUGAUAAUAGUAGCUGAGGUGGGGAAUGGAAGAAGAAGAAAGAAAAAAAAUUGGAUAUUUAAAAAUAUGCAUUUUAAAAAUUUUGAAAAUGGUCACUAAACUAUUUAAAAUGGCACGAGUUAGUCAUUGAACUUCUUUUUUUUAGGCCAAAAAGUUCAUUCAACUCCCUAAAACGAGCCUUUAGGAUCACUUUAUGCUAAAUUAACCAAAUUUGCAAGUUUUCAGGGGCAAAAAUAUUUAAAUAAUGCCACAUUGCUCUCCUUACCAUCCCUGCCGCGAUAGCACCCUCUAUCAUCCUAUGAUUUAAAAUUUGAGCUGAUCUGACUGAUCGAAUCAAGAAAUCAAGCCAUUUGGUCUAAAUCUCUUUAAAAAAUCGAUAGUUAAAUACUCAGUCAAACUCGAUCAAAAUUUGGGCUUGAUUCGGAAUUGAUAAAUUUGAUUAGAACUGGGUUUUUUUGUCCCAAAAUUUCCAUUUUGAUGACUUUUUUUUUUUGGAAAAACAAGCACCAUGAAAUAGAUUAACCAGAAGCAAAGUAGCAUCAAGUAAAUGAGAAAGCAUAUUGUGUUUUGUGAGAAUCUAAUGCAAUAUCCUCUACACUAAAUUGAGGGAUUUUUUUAAAGUCACUGAGAAAGUGUAUAACUUCAAAAUAUCCAAACUAAAAAAAAAAAGAAGAAACCAAACUCAUUGCCAUCCUGACGACGUCUUCUUCUUCUUCACUUUUUUCCCCAUUCCUUUGAUCUUUGAACAACGCCAAGAAUUAGUGUCAAACAAAGUCAGAAACCUACAUUAGGAGAAAUUUUUCAUUCUCUAAAUUAACUAAGCCCGAUUUCAUGCAACUAAAUUUGAAAUAUUUGAAGUUAAAUAGGAGGAAAAAAUGGAAAAGAGCAAAGAAGGAAAGAGAACAAAGAGAAAGGAAAAAAGAAAAUAAUGAAGAAAAAGAUAGUUUUUAUAUGUAUUUGAUUUGUGUGGGAUAAAAGAAAAUAGGAGAGUUAUGGACCUUAUGGCGGAUGGAAAGAAGAAAAAACAAAGAAGAAGAAGCAAAUACAAGAUGAAAAGCAAAGGAAGGGGCGGCUAAGAAAACCAAGCAUUACGUUUAGUAUUUAUUAUCUUUAGAUGCCUUAAAAUUAUUUAAUAAAUUCAUUUUGACUCCACAUUGUUUUAAUAAAAUAUAAAAUUAACCUGUUAUAAUUUCUAAAUUACAUUUUUUACCUAUAGCUUUUAAAAUUUUUAAGUGAAAUGCUUCGGGUUAAGUUUAAACUCAUCAAACCUCUAUAUAAAGUUAUAAGACACCAAUUUCAGAAAUUUUUUUAUAUAUUAUACUGAUUAUAUAUUAUUUAUAUAUAUUUAUGAUAUACUCAUGAUGUCAUCCGAUUUGACAUCAAAGCUAAUGGAUUGAAUUCAUGAUCCCUAAAUGCUGAACGAGAAAAAUGCAACUUUUGUAUCCAAACUUUGGCCCAUGAGCAGUUUUAGUCUCCAAAUUUUGGAUAAAAAUAAAUUCGGUACCCAAUCUUUCAACUAUUGAGUACAUUUAGUAUUGUUGACGGAUUUUUUCCAAUUUUCUACCCAAAAAAGUCAUGUAAUAAUCAUAUGUUCGGCAACUAUUCUAUAAAAAAAGCCAAAAAAAAUGUAAAAAUAUCCUUUUUGACACUAAGUAUAAUGUAAAAUAUUCUUCUGAUACUAAGUACUUAGUUUAAAAACUAAUAAUUUUUUCAAGUAAAAUAUAUUUCUGACACUAAGUUUAAGGACUAAUAAUUUUAUCAAAAGGAUUUUACAUUUUUGGUAUUUUUUUAUACAAUAGUUGCCAGAUACGUGACUAUCAUGUGACUCUUUAUAAUAGCAAUUUGAAAAAAAAUUGUUAAGGGUAUUACAUGUAAUCAAAAGUUGAAAGUUUGAGUACCAAAUUUAUUUUUGUCCAAAAUUUGAGUACUAAAACUGCUUAUAUAUCAAAAUUUGGAUACCAAAUCUCUCUAUUUUUCUUGUGCUGAAUUCUGCCGAGUCAGCAGUCGGUGCUAGUUUCAAAACAUAAUAGCUGCCACCCCCUCAUGUUCUCUUUCCCCUCCACCAUUUCCCCUGCCACUUCCUUCUCUUCUUCCCGUCACCAUUCAUUAUCAAUGUCUCUUUUCAUUGGUUUUCUCCUUCUCCUUCCUAACCAUCGCCCCUUCCUCUUUUCUUUCCCUCCCUCCCUCCCUCUCUCCCAUCACUCGCACCCUUUCUCAUUCCAUCCCCUCUUUCCCUUUCAACAACCCCAAAGAGGAAAAGACGAAAGAAAGCAAUGUUUUAUCAAUAUCAUCAUUUUCACUAUUUCCUUGCAUCAAGAUCAUCAUCGUCAUGGGCAUCGCUUUCCUUUUUGUCUUCUUGUUUGAUAUGAGGCUGUGAUGACACUUCUCUUUCUCUCUGAGUUGUAAGUCGAGCAUGGAGGUCUUGUAACUUAACUAAGCAACCCCCUGUGUUGAAAUGGGCUCUCCAUGCUCAAAUACACUUGGGCAGCGAUAGCAACGCUCAUCCUCUUUGCCUGACUUUCUUGACAGAUUCGAGCCUUUCUUUUUUCUAUAUUUACUCGUAUAGUUUUAGCUUAACAGAAUGAAGUAGCCAAGAGAUGGGUUUUUGCUCCUUCUCUCUGCUUAGCUUGUGAUUUUCUUUAUUAUCUGGUUCAAGGAUUCUACCAGGUUUAUAUCCUAAAAUUCAGAUCUAGUCGCGGGGAUUGAGAGAGAUGAGGGGAUGGGAGGAGAGGAGAGAGAGUGCGGCGGUGGAGUCGUGCAAUAGCGGCGAAGAAGAAUGAGGACGGUGAAGAGGACAAUAAUUAAUGUUGUUGGUAUAUAUAUAAUUUUUUAUUAAUUGUAUUUACUUCCGAUGAAGUUUGGCCAAAAUACGUACUGAUUAGCUUCUAAAGUUUGGUUUUUCUUUUUUAAAGAAAAAUAGAGUAGUGUCAGACAAAAUAGGACAUUUUUACCCUUGAGAACUUACAAUAGCAGGUCAAGUUUGCCUCUUUUUUUUUUUUUUUCCUUCUGUUAGUUUACCGAUCAAAAUGAUUCUUUUAGGGAGGGAGUUGAGUGACCUUUUUAGUUAAAAUAAAAAAAAAAGAUUCUGUAACAAAUUCAGGCUAUUUUAAAUAAAUAGUUUUUACUCGAAAUUAUACCAAUAAAGAAUAAUCUCAUCAGGGACGCUGAAGCUGAUACGGGCUCUCGACCAAGGUGUACUUGAGCAAAACCAGCAGAGAGAAAUCGUACAAGUUUUUAGUGGUACGAUAAUGGAGUUGCCAAAAAAGAAAAUUAAUGACUACGGGCGGUUUGUGAUUGGUCAGGGUCUUCAACCCUUCGGCUCCACAUCUUGUGGUUUGUUUGGAUUGAGCAUUAUUUCUCCAAUUUUAUUUGCUUACAUCAUCGUUACAAUUUUUAAUAUACCUUUUUAUCUUCUCAAUUACCUUUUUAUCUCAUAUACAUCACAUCAUACAAAGUACUGCAGUAGAAAUAGGGAAAUUUGCCAAAUUGGUCCCUAACAUUUACCAAAAACACUUUUUUAGUCCCUAACAUAUAAAAUCAGCCAAAAUUGUCCUUCACAUUUAAAUUGUGAUCCAAUUUGGUCCUAAUGCUCGUUUUUACUCAUUUCUCCGGCUAAAAAUAGCACGCCCCUCUCACGUGGUCAUAUUUUCAUGGGCAAAAUUGGAAAACAAAAGCUUUCUUCUUUCUUCUUGUCCCCUGUUUCUUCUUCUCCAUCGCGACCGAGAGCCCUCAUCACCGCCGCCGCAUCCUCCGCCCCUCCAACCUCGCUUGUCCGCCGCCUCUCUCUACUGUCGCGCGAUCUCUGCUCCGCUGCCCUGCGCACUGCCCUCGUCUCUCUCUUUAGUCGACCGCAUCCUUCCACCAGCUCACCCGCGACCCCAGCGCACGCCGCCCGCUGCUCAGCGCGUCGCCACUGCGCGGCUCUCUUUCAUCCUCUGCCUGCCCCGACGCUGCAGCCCGCAUCCACGAGAAGCAGCCGCCGCCGCUGCUCGACGCCACUGGCGCGCGUCGCAUACCUCACCUCACCUUACUUCACUCCCUCUUUUGAUCACCUCCAAAUAUGCUUCUGUUCAGGUGAACUCAGUCACCGUUGUGGUGAACCUGUCCUUAGAGAAUCGAAGCAAGAUAAAGAUCGUGAGGUCAGGGAUCGUCCCCAGUGGAUCUGGGAUUUGUGUUUUCCAAUUUUGCCCUUGAAAAUAUGGCCACGUGAGAGAGGCGUGCUAUUUUUAGCCGGAGAAAGGAGCAAAAAUGAGCAUUAGGACCAAAUUGGAUCACAAUUUAAAUGUGAAGGACAAUUUUGGCUGAUUUUAUAUGUUAGAAACUAAAAAAGUGUUUUUGGUAAAUGUUAGGGAUCAAUUUGGCAAAUUUCCCGUAGAAAUAUCCCAAAUAACUUACCAUCCAAACAAACCCUGGUUUGGAUUGUCGGCGUACUAGUAGCAGGUACAGUAGUCUUUCUUUACCAAUAUACAGUCCUCAUUUUGCAGAGGUAGACAUUUUAGCACUAGGAUCUACGUAUCCGUCCGGAUUAUUUUCUCGUCCAUUGGCAAGUAGUAGUUACUACCAGUACUCUUAUCUUCAUUUUGAACUUUGAUGAGGAAGAGAGAUGAUCGGAUAAUUAUUAAUUCUCCUCCUCCUCCUGAAGUAUAUGGAGUACGUACUAUGUAUGCUACUUAGAUUGGUGGAUGCACAAUGAAGGACCAGGAUCCCAACAAAGUUCGUUCAUUUAUGGACAUUCAUUUUUAAAUAUUAUCAUGUCUGUAAACCAAAAAUUUAAAAGAAAAAAAGAAAAAGAAAAAACCCCCUUAUGAAUUGUUUACUAACUAAUCGUCUACAAGUUUGAAGAAGCUAAACUUCCCAGAAGCUUCGUCUACCUCAACCCAUUCCCCCUGCUACCCCUUGCCGGCCACUUAACGCCAUCCCCCAUUUCCUCUCUCUCUCUCAAUCUCUUCCGGAACAAGGAAAUUUACCGCAUUUUCCCUUCUUAUCCCUCUCCUUCUUCUCCCUCCUUCUCUCUUUUGUCUGUGGUUUAUACAAAUUUGAAUUUUUCUUCACCUACUACAUCUUGGGUUCAAGCUAGUUGCCCGAUUAGUUCAAGGAAACUGUGAAAUUAGAUUCUUCAUAAGAUUUUCGACCUAACCAGGUAAGAUUUUUGUAGAUAGUUAAACGAAUGUAAGUAUCUUUAUUGUCUUUUCUUCUUUCUAACUGCCACAUUUUUUGCUCUCUAGAAUCCUGAUCUGGGCUCCUCUAUGCUUCUCUUUUCAUUCAUAAUUAUCUUUUCUAUGCUGCUUCGAGCUUCAUUUUUUUUUAUCACAUAUGUUGGGUUGCGAUCUGCGUAGAUAAAGACGGGAUCUUUACAUUAAUCAUUGCUGGUGUGAGUUGACCCCAGUUUUGACUAGCUGGGUACUUAAGUUGCCUUCCUUAGGAUUUACCCACCUUUUCUCAUCCAUUCUGGUUUUUUUUUUAACCUCCUAGCUUAAGUAACUCAGAAAUCAGGAGGCACCCCACAACUCCUUGAUUGAAAUGUAGUUUUUGGUAAUUGCUUAACGGUAAAAAGUUAGAACUUGAUCAGAACAAAAUAGUUCCAGCGGUUCAUAUCUUACAGCAGUUUUCCGCUAACCGGUCCAUAUUUGGUCGUCCCAAAUUCCCAAUUGAGUAUUUCGCUAAUUGGAGAACUUUCUAUCCUUGUAGGGAUACUCUUGCUUUAUGGUUAAUUAUCAUUAGUUGAUUCACUGAGGUGAUUCAGGUGAGCCAUUGUACUGAUUUUGGUCUGUGCUGCUUAUUUGUUGAUAGCAUUUUGAAUCAAAGUUCUCUGCCUUUCUUUUGCUCUUUUUAGUGUCCGGAUUGGCAGUGGAGCUACCAUGGGAUCUGUAGAGAUGAGGUCGACGGAGGACAAGGUAGACCUUGAUUCUGAUGAGGAGAUUCCGUUUAGUUCGUCCCAUUCUGCAAUUAAAAUGCAGUCCACGGAUUGUGAGACAUCUCGGAUCACAUCUCCCAGACAUCUUUCCCAUCGAUGGGUGUUAAGAAAGAUAAACCAUAUCAGCCCCCUCAGGAGCAUUUACGUUGUUCUAAUUAAAGCAAAGAUCAAUAUGCUACUCCCUUUUGGACCACUUGCAAUACUGCUCCACUAUUUAACGGGAAAGCAGGUAAGGGACAUGAAAUUGUCUCCUCAAUCUCUCUUUUCAUUAGAUCUAAUAUGGAAGAGAGUGUGAUAAAAUUUAAAUUUGCAGUCGCAACUGUAUCAGACAUAGUACUUUGCUCAUACAUUUAUUUCUUGGACUGCUUCAUACUCAGGGAUGGGUUUUCUUCUUCAGCUUAGUGGGAAUUACACCUUUGGCUGAGCGUCUGGGGUAUGCAACUGAGUAAGUGUUGGCUUCUCCAGUUUCCAGCUUUCAGCUACUUUAGCUCCUUCUAUUUUCCAUAUCUUAAAGACAGUCACUGAAAUUGUAUUCCAUCAACUGCUGCUGCAGGCAACUAGCAUUCUAUACUGGGUCUACAGGUAAAGCUUUCUUUCUUGGUCUUCUUCUUCUUCUUCUUCUUCUUCUUGUUCUCAUCAUCAUCAUCAUCUCUGCAAUGAGGACUCUUUUGAUUAUAGUGAAGUCUGCUUUUGUUAGCUGUUAGCUGGUGGCUAAGCUUUUUUUUUGGGUCAGUUACAAAGGUUCUCCUAUGCGCCCAAGGGAAAACUAUGAAUCCAUGUCUUCACAUACAUACUCUGUUGCAUGCUAUGUUUUUCUUUAACCUGGUUCUUUAUCAGAAAUAAAUAAUAUUUGGGUGAAUAUGCAGUGGGAGGCCUUCUAAAUGCCACAUUUGGUAAUGCAACAGAAAUGAUAAUUUCCAUGUAUGCAUUGAAGAAUGGGAUGAUUAGAGUUGUUCAACAAUCACUACUUGGUUCUGUUUUGUCAAAUAUGCUACUAGUGCUUGGAUGCGCCUUCUUCUGUGGUGGCAUCGUUCAUCGCCAGAAAGACCAGGAAUUUAAUAAGGUGCACUUUUUAUUCAUAUCAAUGCAUAUCUACUGAGAAUGCUGCUAAUUCUUUGCUAGCACAUCAUCUUAUUUGAUGUAAUUAAUCAUGUGGUGGAGUUAGCAUAAAGAUCCAUGGUGAAAAACUGGAGUUUUUGGAUUGUUUUAGGCCACUGCCCUGGUGAAUUCAGGAUUAUUGCUGAUGGCUGUCAUGGGCUUACUGUUUCCAGCCGUUCUUCACUUUACCCACACAGAGCUGCAUUCUGGGAAGUCAGAACUUGCACUUUCCAGAUUUAGUAGCUGUAUAAUGCUGGUGGCAUAUGCUAGCUAUCUUUUUUUUCAGCUGAGAAGUCACAGGAACCUAUAUGAUAUUAUUGAUUCGGUGGGUACCUCUAUUGACUUAUUCUUUUGGUCUUUCCUUGAUAUUUUUGACCUUCUCUUUGUUGAACCAUCGCAUCUGUAUAGCUCAUGAUAUGCACACUAUGUAAAAUUUUGUUCAGUGAAAUGAUUUAUAAUUUGAUUACUAGACAAGUAGCAGCUGUGCAAUCCAAAAGCCUCAAACCAUUUUUCAAUGGGUAAAUUUUUCUGCCGUUCUUCAGGAGCAGGACAAUAAUGCAGAAGAUUCUAAUGAGGCUCCUGAAAUUAACCAGUGGGAAGCUAUUGGUUGGCUUGCAAUUUUGACUUUAUGGAUUUCUAUACUAUCGGGUUACCUUGUUGAUGCCAUUCAGGUAAUCUCAGCCGUUUCUUUUCAUUGCUGCUUCUCUUAUUCUUUUGUCCCUUGCUAAUUUGUUGGGCUUCUGUCUUAAACUUACCAUGUUUAGUGUUCCUAAAAUUUCAAAUACCUUUUUGGAUACCUGGUAGAGUUAAAUAUCGCUAGUUACGUUAUCUUGAAGAUGGUUUCUGGUCUACUGUUGGAUUACUAUAUGAGGUAUCGUAUACUUAUUAGAACUUGCUAUGUAAAUGGUAAUACCUAGACAGUUGAUGUUUUGUAUAUAUUCAAUUAAUUGGUAGAGUAACAAUGAUUUGGAAUGGAUACAAUCAUAGGCCAUAUAUAUCAAUAUCCAAGGCUUCAAUCCUUCAUCAGUUGUUAAGAUUUCUCCAGAAUUAUCUUUGUUUUCUGUUUAACUUUCUCUGGAAUAAAAGGAUGGAUCUGUCUAACAAGUGCCUGUUGGACACUUGUUAAGAUGUAGUUCGGGUGUUAAGUAUUUGAAAAUGUGAAGCUAAUGAUGGAAAGUGUAUAAAUGUAAUCGUUUAUUUUUUUUGGAUAUAAUUGGUUUCACUCAUUAAGAAACUGUUUGAAUUAAGUUGUUGGAGUUUUUAAUAGCUUACAUUUUACUAUUUUUUGUGUGACAUGUUGUAUAAACUGUUUGAUGAUUAGCUUCUAGACUGAAAGUGUUUGACUUGAUAGUAACUUGACUUUGUUAGACUAAGGAAUCUGUUGCUGGUUUUUCUUUUAGCAUUCCUUGGAUCCAAAUUGAUGUUUUAGUUUUUAAAACCUAUGCCAAGUGAAGGAGUUACAAGGCUAAAAACACAAUGCUAUGAGAUUUCCGUGAAGAGUUUCAAGUGUACAAGGCUACAUGGCUAUAACUAACAGUGAUUUCCUUAUACUCCUACUCAAUGUGUUGACAGAUGCUUAGAAUGUCAUGCUAAAACAUGAUUGCUUAUGACAUUAUACUUGAAUUUGUUGCUUAAUUUUUUCAGGGAGCAUCUGAUACCCUGAACCUACCUAUGGCUUUUAUUAGUGUCAUUUUGCUUCCAAUAGUUGGGAAUGCUGCAGAACAUGCAAGUGCUAUCAUGUUUGCAAUGAAAGAUAAGCUUGUGAGUUUUGAAAAAUUUUCUUGACUAGAUCUUAUUUGUUGCAAUGCAUGUCAAUUUAGAAUCUGUUUUUGCAGGACAUUACACUUGGAGUUGCCAUUGGAUCUUCUACUCAGAUAUCAAUGUUUGUGGUAAGACCUGUAUACCCAGUUAAUUAAACCCGAAUACCUUGACAUUUGUCAGGACUUCAGAACCUUAUUGAACUUCUUUUUAACCAAAUGUGAUAUUUUGCCAAGAAAGGGAGGACAAAAAGAAAAUCUGCUACCUUUUCUUGCCACGACCUCCUUGGAUACAAAAGUGAUGCCAUACAUGGAAAAUUUUUGUUACUAAAAUGGAUAUUCUUAUUUAAUUGCUGUAGCUAGCCUAUAAAAUCAUUGUAGCGUAUUAAUCUUAUUCUGCUGAUAAAUGCAGAUUCCAUUUUGUGUUGUUGUUGGUUGGUUUAUGGGGCAACGGAUGGACUUGAAUUUCCAACUGUUUGAAACUGCUACACUCUUCAUUACAGUGUUAGUGGUGGCAUUUAUGUUGCAGGUUUGCAUAUAUUAUUCUUUUGUAAUCUCCAUAUUUCCUGAUUGUUAUCUCAAUGUGAUUGGGGAAUCUAAAACAUAAACUCUGCUAGACGUUUUUUCUUGCUGAAACAUGUACAAAGUUAGAUUGAAUUGACUUGGACAAAAACUAUGGGGUAUAACAGUGAAAUGGUACAAUGGUGCAAGAUGAAAUUGACUGAUGCUAUUAUUUAAUAGUAUAUCAGAAAUGUCUUAUCUGUCUAUUAUCAUCAGUGGCAAUUAUGUGUAUCAGCGGAUAAUAAGAAAAUCACUUUAGUGGGACAGUAACGCUCCCUGAUGGAAAGUAGUUUUUAGGACCACUUGAUAACGUUUCUCUGGUAAUUGCAGGAAGGGACAUCAAACUAUUUUAAAGGAUUGAUGCUUAUUCUAUGCUACCUCAUUGUUGCUGCGAGUUUCUUUGUACAUGUUGAUAUCUCAAAUGGUAAGUCACGGAUGCUUAAUUUUGAGACAGUAAUAGUAUCUCGACACUGGUAAUAUUUAUCUCUGUGUUUUUUACAAAGCAAAAGCCGUGUUAACAGUGGACAAGGCAAAUUUAGGGACUAAAGCAAGGGAUGAGGUUUACUAAUAACAUCCUCUGGCCCGCCCAAUAAGUUGUGGAUUCCUGCACAUAGGCGCAAAACUAUGUUGAAGGCUAUCAAGAAAUUGCAACAUGCUUUGGUAGUUGGCUUAGUGUUUCAUUUACUCUUGCCUUCUUGGUCAUUAUAGGUCGUCUCCAACAGUUUUAUAGACUUGCCAAAGCUAAAAACGUGUUAGGAUGAAACUGUAGAAUCACUAGGCUUAGCAUGGAAUUUUGUAAUAAUUUCUGGCUGUGCAUCUUGUUGCAGAUGACAAUUAAAUAGGUAGCGAGGAAGGAUGUGACGCUCCAGGCAACAAUAUUGGUUCCUGGUUUUGGGAAAGCAUCAUCAUGGUCGUUGGUCAGUCCAUCGGCCUGUUUUAUGGCACGGGAUAUAGAUUUUGCAUACUCACUCGUACAUGUAUGCAGCUUCACGCUUCCAAAAGAGCAGUCGGCUCGGUGCGCCUGGAAAAAAAGGGUGGUAAAUAGUCAAUUCUUGUAUUUUCUGGCUUUGAUUGUAAUGAGAGAUUAGAAUUCUUUUCAAGCAGCAUUAGAUGAAGCUGGUUUUUGUUUUUUUUUUUGGGGGGGGGAGCUGAGAAGAAAAGAAAUCCCUUCUCAGUUGACAAAGUUUAGGUGUUCCAAAUCAAGAAGUGGAAGUUUUGCUGCUGUUCUUAUUUUGGAAGGCCAAAUUCAUUCAUAUCCUGUACAAUAAAUUGUGCUGUAUGGACCAAAAAUGACUACUGUUUGGUCAAAUACAAAACGCCUAAUUUCGGGCUCUUUUCUUAGCUUCCACCACCAUCAUUUCGGGCGCAUGGGGUCAAGAAACAAGCGCACUUCGACAUUAAUUGGUUCUUGGUCCAACAUUUUCUGAGUUCGCCCCGCUGAGCGGUAAGAGAUGCUGUACUUACUGAUCCCACUUUUUCUGUUCUCUAUUUUUAUCCGCUUUUGUGUUUUUCUUCAUUAGUACGUUUAAAAUUCACCUGAUUACCACGUGAACGUACGCGUUUACUGCACCCCUUUAUUUAGAUUAUUUUCUCGGAUCAAUUUUGCUCUUUAAACAAGAUUAAGGAGUGUUUAGUGGUUAGCGAUUAGCCAAAUCCUUUAAUUCUUCAAUGAGACUUUGUAUUGUACGCUUACUUUGUGUCUUGGCGCCGUUGCUCCUACAUUUGUUCACCAAAACCAUUUAAUAGGCUUCCUCUUCCUGUAAAGUACUAAUAGGAUAGAUUAAGUUACCAAAACAAUAAUAAUAAUAAUAAAAAGAAUAGACUAGCUGCAGUGUAUCUUUAAUCCAUGCAGAAGCUGGUAAACAAAUAGAAGAAUUCUAAUUGUUGUUUUUCCGUCUAAAUUUACAGCUUCAUAAAAGGGAUUUUCAUCCCAAAUAUCAAUGGGUUAAAUAGAAAAAAGAUCCCAACAAUGCCUAGAACCCCCAAAAAAAAAAAAUUUUUUUUUUCCCAAAAUGUUCCAUGACAAAUUAUUCCACAUUAUUUCUUGGUGGGGAAUGCAUUUCUACAACGUAGACCUGCGCAAUAUUGGUGAGGAAAUGGUCGAGUUGAGGUCAUCCAGACGAGGAUCUUGCCUUGAGAAACUUUCUGUCCUCUUGCUUGCUCUGUCCCCAUGCGGCUUUCAAUCAAUUAUAUACGUCAAAUGGGUUUGGAAGAAAUAGGGGGUUUGUCAGACUAAUAAUCCCUUUUGAUAAUAAUGUAGUACUUUUUCUUUUUUCUUUUUUUUUUUUUCCGAAAUAUUGUAUAACACACUCAAAUCAGAUUAAUGGGCAGCAAUUGCCCAGGUUCUGUCAAACAGCAUCUGAUCUGACCAGACCGGGUUGGGGGAGUUGGAUGUUAUGACCAAAGUACCAAGUGAGUGAUUUUUUUUGUGUUUGGUGUAGGAUGGUGGAGGUGAAGGGACGAAAUGGUCCCUCCCUCCGUUUCUUGAGUUCAAACAACAUUUUUUUUGGACGGAAGAGCCAAAUUCAUGCACAUCAACUUACGUUGUUCAGGGGCGGGCAAUUUACUCCUUGCAGGACAAUGACUUGGCUGCCUCCUCCUCAUUCAUCAGAUUAUAUGUUCUCUUUUCUGGACAACGACUUGCAAACCCAAAUGCUUACGAGUAAAGUAAUAUACCACGUCGUCAAAUAAGUUCUUGGAAAAUUUGACGUAUCAUAUAGUAACAGAAUGGACCGAAAACUGCCCCAGAUGAGAAUGAGUUACUUGCUACAGCUUUAAUUUUGCAUCCCGUAAAAAGAAAAGAAAAGAAGAGAGUUUCUCUUUUUCCUGGCUGGUCAACGGCUGCAAGUUUGAUUGAAUACGUUUGGACUUGGGGAAUAAAAUUUAGGUACAGAGAGAAGAAGAAGAGAAGACCAAAAUAUUCUAUUUGUAGUUGUACUACAAUUGACAUGACAUGUGCCCCUGGGUACCAUUUUACACUUUUACCCACCAUCCACCAAAUGUCAACCUCCUCCUCCUCAACCAUACAUCAGCACCCCAUCCCCCGCAGGCAAUAUACCACUAAACACUAAAUACUGCUACUACUACCAGUAAAAUACACCCAAUCUCGUGAUCCAUCUUCUCUACAGCAAUUUUCUACUAGUACUACUUGUUAUCUCUCCUGUUCUGUGAUCCCAAGAGCCAUUCAGCAGCUUUGAGCAUAUAAAAACUAGCAAAGGAGUCACACACACACACACCUCCCCUCUCCUUUUUCCCAAGGUGGUGGUGGUGGUGGGGGGAAUCAAGAUUCAAGAGACUAGUAGUAGAUUGCAAAAAUGAUUAUGUCAAAUAUUGCGAUGACAUCCGAGCGCAACCCGUGGUUAAAGUUAUUAAUCAAACGACAACAAGAUUGCUACUUGGGGUGAAUAUAAGGAUGAAUAUAAAUAUAUAUGUGUAUAAUAAUAUAGUAACAGCAACAAGUUGAUUGAUCAACUUGGGGUGGGAGCAUAAGAAUCCAGUUCAGUGCGACUUGAAAGAAGGUUUAGUUUAAUACAAGUAGUGCAGAGCCCACUAUAAUAUGUCCUUAUCCGGGCAAAGCAAAGUUCCAGAUACGCAGACGGAGCCUCUCUACGCUGCUAUUUAUCUCCCCCAUCCCAGGUUUCAACACAACAUUACCAUCCUACACGCUUUUACCUCAUUCCUCCAUCUUCCUUCCUAUACAAAUAUAUCAUAAUAUACAGAAAGUCCACCACCUAGCCAGCCGUCCCAAAAGUAAACGCUUUUUAACAAUUCAGACCACAGCUUUUUAAUAUUGCUCCAUGUCAACAUCAACCACUAUAUCCUCUCUCUCUCUCCCUCAUGGGGGGUAUGACUAAAGUCUGCACAAACUAAGAUGGAAGGGUUAGAAUACCCCCAUGAUUGAUUAAAACAGAGUAGUAUCUUUUGGCAUCUUCGACUGUCUUCUUCUUCUAAUAAUAAUAUGAUCAAAUAUGACAAGGAAACCUGCAGGCAAUCUCGGCUUUCUCCUCCUCCUCCUCAUCAUCAUCGCCAUCACAGGGCAGCCAUGCUCUUGUCCUCCUCUGUCCCUUCUUCCUCUCCUGCGUCUCACCUUACCACAGUCAAUCCCUUUGGCUCCCUCUUUUCGGAUGUGCUGCUGUCUCUACUUGUCAUAACCCUCUCUUGCUUUGCGACUGCCACCCAUGCCUCCUGCAAUCGCCUGGAUCGUGACUCUUUAUUAUCCUUUUCCACCAGCAUAGCCAGCCCCUCAUCUCCUUUGAAUUGGACUAUCUCGGUUGAUUGCUGCAUCUGGGAAGGCGUUCUUUGUGACAAAAGCGGUAGAGUCGCCAGUUUAAGGCUGCCAUCAAGAGGGCUUGUCGGAACCAUCUCUCCUUCACUGGCCAACCUCAGCAGUCUUUCUCAACUAAACCUCUCACGCAACUUCCUUUCUGGUCCUCUCCCAAAUGGAUUCUUCGUGUCCCUCAAUCACCUGCAGGCGAUUGAUUUGAGCUACAACCGACUCUCCGGACAAUUACCGCCUUCCGAUAAGUUUCCAACAACAAUCCAGCAAGUGGACUUCUCCAGCAACAAAUUUAAUGGAACCGUCCAAUUUACAUUUCUCCAGGAAGCAAUAAACUUGGCAAGUUUCAAUAUCAGCAACAACAGCUUUUUUGGGUCCAUUCCUUCAUUCAUCUGCAGCAUUUCACCCUCCAUUAGACUCCUUGAUUGCUCUUUCAAUCAUUUCAGUGGCUCGAUUCCCCAAGAUGUUAAAUAUUGUUCAAAUUUGGAGACUCUACGGGCAGGUUUCAAUUCUCUCUCGGGUCCUCUUCCUCAUGCUAUUUAUAGCGUGUUGACUCUGCAAGAGAUAUCUUUACCUGGAAACAAACUGAAUGGAUCAAUUAACCAAGAUAUUGCCGGACUCAACAAGCUCAGGAUUUUUGAACUCUAUGCUAACGAGAUUACAGGUACAAUCCCUCCAGAAAUAGGAAUGCUCUCCAACCUGGAAAAUCUACUCCUUCACAUAAACAAACUUCAUGGUACUCUGCCACCAUCUGUCACAAAUUGCACAAGACUCAAACUGCUCAACCUAAGAGUCAACUUACUUGUUGGUGAUCUUUCCAAAUUUGAUUUCUCCAAACUCACCCAACUUGUCACGAUUGACUUGGGGAAUAAUUUUUUCAAUGGUAGCCUGCCGGUAAGCCUUUUUUCGUGCAGAUCAUUGACAGCAGUUCGCCUGGCCACUAAUCACCUGACCGGAGAGAUCCCACCCCAGAUACAUGCACUACAAUCUCUGUCUUUUCUCUCAAUUUCCAAUAACACACUAACCAAUGUCACAAGUGCAAUCAGAAUUUUGACAGGUUGCAAGAAUCUCAGUACACUGAUUCUGUCAAAGAAUUUUUAUAAUGAAUCGUUGCCAGGUGAUGACGGUUUAGUCGAUUCUGAAGGAUUUCAGAAUCUCCAGAUCCUUGGUUUAGGUGGUUGCCAAUUCUCUGGUCAAGUUCCCAGUUGGCUGACUAAGCUGCAAAAGCUUGAGGUCCUCGACUUGUCAGUUAAUAACCUCACAGGCUUAGUUCCAAGUUGGCUUGGAAAUCUGCCAGACCUUUUUUACUUAGAUUUAUCUCAGAACCUCCUCUCAGGAAACUUCCCUGUAGAACUUACUGGACUCCCAAGACUAGUGAGGCAGCAGGGUACUGAUCAAGUGGAUCAGAGUUACUUAGAGUUGCCAGUCUUUGUUCAGCCUGAGAAUGUCUCCAGCUUACAGUACAAUCAGGUGUCUAACCUCCCCCCUGCUAUAUACCUGAAUGGGAAUAACCUCAGUGGCAACAUACCCAUUGAGAUUGGCCAAUUGAAGCGCAUUCAUGUCCUGGAUCUCAGUCACAACAAUUUUUCAGGCAGCAUUCCCAACACGAUAUCUUAUCUUACUAACUUGGAAAAGUUGGACCUUUCUGGAAACCAUUUUUCUGGUGAAAUUCCAGCUUCACUCGGGAACCUCCAUUUUCUGUCUUCUUUCAGCGUUGCAAACAACAAUCUUCAAGGCCCAAUACCCGCAGGAGGCCAGUUUGAUACCUUCCCCAAUGCCAGCUUUGAAGGAAAUUCAGGGUUGUGUGGCCGAUUUCUACGCCCUUGUAGCAAUCAAUCACCAACUACAAACCCCUCAGCAACAAGAAAAAGCCCAAAGAGGAAAAUAAUUAUUGGACUCAUACUUGGAAUCUGUUUUGGCAUUGGAUUCACUGUUUCUGUAGUGGCAUUUUGGAUAUUUUCCAAGAGAAGGAUCCUUCCUAAAGGCGAUGCUGAAAAAACUGAUCUGGAUACACUUUCCUACAACUCUAAUUCUGGACUGUCCACUGAGUUUGGAAAAGACACCAGCAUAGUUGUCUUGUUUCCUGAUAACACAAAGGAUGUUAAGGAUCUCACAGUAUCAGAGUUACUGAAAGCCACAGACAACUUCAACCAAGCAAACAUUGUUGGCUGUGGGGGUUUUGGUUUGGUUUACAAAGCAACUUUGACAAAUGGCACACAGCUGGCUAUUAAGAAGCUUUCAGGAGAUACAGGGUUGAUGGAAAGGGAAUUCAAAGCAGAGGUGGAAGCAUUAUCAACAGCCCAGCACGAGAACCUAGUUGCUUUGCAAGGUUACUGUGUGCACGGUGGGUUUAGAUUACUGAUAUAUUCGUAUAUGGAGAAUGGUAGUCUAGACUACUGGUUACAUGAGAAGCCCGAUGGAGCAGCCCAACUUGAUUGGCCAACCCGACUAAAAAUUGCCCAGGGUGCAAGUUGUGGCUUGGCAUACAUGCACCAGAUAUGUGAGCCACAUAUUGUGCAUCGCGACAUAAAAUCCAGUAACAUCCUGCUGGAUGAGAAUUUUAAAGCACAUGUGGCAGAUUUUGGAUUGUCUAGAUUGAUUCUUCCCUACCGAACACACGUAACCACUGAACUGGUAGGCACCCUAGGUUACAUCCCACCAGAGUAUAGUCAAUCAUGGAUAGCCACUUUGAGAGGGGAUGUUUACAGUUUUGGAGUUGUCAUACUUGAAUUACUGACGGGCAAGAGGCCUAUGGAGAUAUUCAAGCCUAAAGUGUCAAGAGAAUUGGUUGGAUGGGUGCAGCAAAUGAGAAAUGAUGGGAAACAAGAUGAAAUCUUUGAUCCAGUACUGUGCGGCAAGGGCUUUGAAGAAGAUAUGCUGCAAGUGCUUGAUGUUGCCUGCAUGUGUGUCAACCAAAAUCCUUUCAAGCGGCCAACCAUUACAGAAGUAGUUGAUUGGCUCCAUGACAUAGGGUCCAAGAGACAGGCACCAAAAGAAGGGCAAUUGUAUAAAUGAAUAGAGAAACUCCAGAAUUUGUUGUUAAUAUAAAACGUCAAUGGCAGUUUUUUUCCCUUUUUUUUUUUUACCCCCUUCUGAAACGAGAAAAAUAUACGUAAUGUUCAAGUGGAGGAUUGUAUAAAGCUAAAUGUUGCUACCAGUUAGUCAAGCAUACACUUCUAAUAUUGUCAACUAGAAGGAAUUGAUCGCUGUAGUUUCAUGCAGGAGUGUCUUCUUGAAGUCUAAAAGGACCGAUGAGUUCCUCUCUUUAACUAUGGUUUUGGCGAGUAAUGACGAAAAUGAGUAAGGUUUGUCAUAGUUUGGCUUACAGCUACAAGAUGACUUCUGGAAACUUGAAUUGAUUAUUCAGAUUCUCGCAUUUAAGCUAACAAGCAAAAGAACAACAGCCGCAACCUUCUGCUGCUCCAACGAAAAAUCAAGAGCUAAUUGUCGUCUGUACAAAAGUUUGUGAAGCAGCAGGGGCCGGGACAAGUAGAAUGUGGUUGAAAGGGUUUUGAUGAUUUAGCACGAGGUAUAGACUCUCAAAAUUAAAAAAAAAAAAAACCAGAAAAAUGUUAAGAUAGACAAAGCACCAUAAUUAACCAAAAAGGAAAAAAAAAAAGGUCUAUUUGUUCGUGUGUGUGAAUUGACAGGGAAGAAAGUAAAGAAAAGACUCAUCUCAUUCUCAUUCCGUAUUCGUACUUGUUAAAAUGCUGCUGCAUUUUGGUUUGGGCAUUUUCACCGGUACCUGGCGGCCUAUGGCGGCGGAUUUCAAUCCACAAACAGCUGCUCAUCCCACCCAGUAACUAUUACUAAGUAAUACUACUAACAAAUGCCUGCGGCUUGAGGUGGCGGCGGCGCUAACUCCUCCGUUUUUCUCCCGAUUUAUGGCGCCAAUCCUACAGUAUGAGAAAGUUGAAACCUUGCCCCAAGGCCUCGUUUGGACGGAAAUACUUGGAAAGAAAAUACUGACACAGUUACCAACUUUUAAUUGGAGGGGAAAUAAACGGUUAAAAUGCUUCUUUUUUUUUUUUUUUCAAAUGUUAAAGAGAUUGAGGAGGAAAAAUGAAAAAACCAAGGGAAACCAACCAACCAUUUUGGGAGUCUUCAUCAAUUUAGUCCUUUAUCUAUUAAAUUUAUCAAUUUAUUCUCUCAUCUUUAUGAAAUUAAAAAAAAUUCUCUAAUAGAAAAUUAAAUAAUUCUAUUGAAAUUGAUCAGCAGAUGGACAUUUGAAAAUGACCAUUUUAGUCUCGAAUCUUCAAGUCUCUUCAAUUUGGUCUCUUAUAUAUCAUUGUCUAUUAAUUUAUAUAUCAUUACCUAUUGAUUUUGUUUUGUGGAUUUGAGGAUUUAAAUUGAUAGAUGGUGACAUCUAAAUUGGAGACAACCUCGAAGGCAAAGGGAUGAGUUGGUCAUUUUAAAAGGUUCACAUGCCCAAUGACCAAUUUUGUUAGAAUUUUCUAAUUUUUCAUUACAGGUCCCAGAUUGACAUUAUUUUAUAAAGUUGAUGGAAUAAAAUGGUAAGAUUGAUAAAUAAUAAACUGGUAGGAUUGAUUGAUAAAGAACUAAAUUGGCUAAAAUUCUAAACACAGGGGGCCCAAAAUGAUCAUUUUCUCAAAGAAACAUGGCAUAGGAAAAAAAUAACAAUCAAAGGUUUCGUGAUACCAAGUUAGCAAGAAAUAUGCGUUGAGUAACAAGUGUCAAGUAGCAGUGUAAUAUGCAAUAAGUAUUAACCAUAUUCCACUUAUUUCUUCAAAUCCCAUUCAAGUUUGAUCUUCUUUUAAAGUUUUAGUGCGUAGGUUUAUUUUUUCCCUGGUUUCCCUUUUAUUGCUUUAUUUUAUUCAGAAAAUAUGUCAUCAAUAAAAUUUGCUUACAGUUCUAAAGGCAACUAAAUUCAACAAUAGGUGGGAGAGAGAUGAGUUGAAUGAUAAGCGGGGAAGGAAGUGUAAGUGAGAGGUUCUGAAUUCGAAAUCUCCUAUUUAUACUUUAAAAAAAAAAAUCCAACAACAACUAGAGGAAAUUUGAGUUGGGUUAGGUUAAGUAGUAAGACGAGGGAUCUCAAGUUUUAGACCUCAGUUACAGUAUAAAAAAAAAUUCCAACAAUAGUUAGAGGAGGGAUAGGUUGGGUUGGGCGGCAGAGUGGGAGAAAUUGUAAAUAAGAGGUCUUGAAUUCAAGAUAUUCAACUUAUCAAAAGUAUAUAUAUAUAUAUAUAUAUAUAUAUAUAUAUAUAUAUAUUCAAUGAUAGUUUUUUAUUUUCACAACAAAUAAUAACAAACCGAAAACCUUUAUGAUGAAACCCAUGUCGUCUCUUUCCAAUUUUUUAUACUAAAUGUGUGAAAUUAUUCCACUGUAGAAAAAAAGAAAAAAAAGAAAAAAGGGUGUUCGAAAGGUUACUGUCGGUAUUCCAUUUCUUUCGCACAAUGCACUACUUGAUUAAAGAGACAACUAGGUGGAAUUACUCUUUGCAGAGUCACGGGAAUUUGGUCGAACUCAAACACCGAAGUAUCGUUGGAAUCUUUUAAAUCUACUGUCAAUAAUAACAAGUGACUGAACAAAAACUAGUAUAAUUUUACAUGGAUCGAAAUUUACUCUACUGCAACAAAAUAUUCACUCUUGCAAAAAAAAAAAAAAAAAAAAAAAAAGGCAAACCUUCUCUUCAAGCUGUAAGUGUCUGUGGAAGCAACCAUAUAUAACCGAGGUAAAAGUUGUGAACAAUUCCACUCUUGAAGGGCUCAUGCAUUUUAAUACGUUACCUACUAGUAUUAGAGGUGUAGACAAUAAUAUGUUGCAAUUGAUUGCAUUCAAACUUGCAUGAUCCAAGUUUCAAGUUUGCUUAAUCAUUUUGAUGAUUUCAUUCAAAUUCAGUUUGUUUAUUUUUCGAGCAAAAGUAAAAUUAAUGUGUAUCAAACCGAUUCCUUAGAUAUAAAUUUCAAGUUUUAAUACUUAAGUUUGAAUGAAGUAGGAAAUGUUAGUAGUAGUAUAAAUUAAGGGCAUGGAUGUGUUUGGCAGCUAGGUUCCAAGGCAAGUAAUGGAUUUCAAUUUCAGCCAUACUCUUCUUUUUUUUUUUUUUCCAAGAUCAAUUGGAAUGAGUUUCAUAGAUGCUUCAAUUGGUAAACUGCUAAAGAGUAAGGUUUAAUAUUUUGAUAUUACUAAAAAUUUAUCUAUCGUUGCAAAGUUAUUUUUAUCACACUCGUUGUAUUAUUUAUUAUUCCUUAAUUUAUUUAUCAUACACACAACGAGAGUGAUUAUGCAAUAUGAACGAAACGGCAGUUAUGUUACACUUACUUGAUGAAUCCACUCAGACAUUGAAGAUGUUUUUUUUUUAUCAGUCGAGCAUUUUAAAUGCUACUAGCGGUAGGUAGUUUCGUAUGGUUUUCGUUUUUGGUGCGUUAAAUAAUGGGAAGGGGGUAAAAGUUGGGAGUAAUCCGAAGUCAAACAACGACCCAACAAAUAAAUAACUAAUAUGGAAGGCAAAAUAGAAUAUUUGUGCCUUUCUUUGGAAGGGAAAAAAAAGAAGAAAAGGAAUAGUGUGCUGCUUCUUCUUCUUCCAAGUUCCAAGUUCCAAGUAGUAUCAGCAUCAGCAGUGGAGUUAAACAAACUACGAAGUCCGAGUGGGAGUGAGCAAAAGAUCGUCGGGGAAAUGGGAAAGGAGAGGAGGUUGACGGUGUUUUUGAGCAUAAUUUGGGCUCUGACCAUUCUGUAUGGUGAGAUGUUUGCAUAUUGGGUGCCCUCUCUUUGGACUUGUUCUUGGCCUCAUCAUCUUCGCCACUCUUCUUCCUCCUCGGUAAUUAGUAAUAACCUCACCCACCCAACAUAAAGAAAAUUACUUCUUGAAACGUUAAACUCAUUUAACUUAGCUCUGAAAAAACGAUGACCCACAAGUUAUUUCUAGUGGCUGUUUUCGGAUUUUACUUAAUCUGUUGGAUCUUCUGUUCCAGCUAUUGAUAAAAAGAAAGAAAAAAAAAAUCGAAGUUUUCACUUGCCUUGAUUCGUUUUCUCUUUUCUUUAUUUUGGUUAAUAUGCACUUCGUUCGUUAAUCUGAUGGUAGUUUUUAGUUUAUUUCAUCUCUUUCUUUCCAUUUCUGAUGCGGCUCUUUUUUUGCUAGGGAUAUUGCCCAAAUUACUUUAUGGAUUAAUGACGUUGAAUCUAAUCGGCAUAUAAGAUGCCAAAAAAAAAAAGGAUAGAAUUUUGAUUUCAUAGGUGCCGCCUAGAAAUAUGUAUAAGUUGCGCUACGGUCAUCAUCUUUUCGACCAAGGAAGGGAGCGGAAAUGCUGAAUCAAUUACCAAAAUCUGACUCAUACAACUAACUCCAUUGAUGCAUCCGAACAUUUCAUUAGGUUUAGCAUUAUUAAGAGGAGGAGGAUACAGGUUGAUAAAAACAUUCCCGGUUAGGAUCUUCCUGGUUACCAUCAUUUCCUGCAAUUAGCUAAGUAUUUCUUUAGUCAUUACUGCAUGCUCUGAACCAUUGUCACUCUUUUAGGCAAUGCAAAAAGGCGGAAACAUUUUAACACAAGGUCACUCCCCUCGUUGUGCAUUGAUGAUUUACACAAAAGCAUUACAUUGUGGUAGUUGUUGCAAACUCGUAAAGACUCAUUAGCGCAAAAAAGUUUGUUUUUCAAUUGUUAAAUUUACAAAAUUUUCUCGUUUCUUCUUAUCUGUUAUGCUUCAGUAUUUUUGCAACCAAAUACAUGCAGAUUAUUGAAACCCAAACUUUUUUUUUUUUUUGGGUGGCGUGUGUCUCUCUGCCUGAUUGCAGGUGAAGAGACUCAAUGAUUCUGGUGAUUAUGUCAAAAUUGCCGUUCUGGCUGAUCCUCAGGUAAAUCUCCUCGGAAGUAGUUCCAUAAUUGUGUCCAAACAUAAAUACAGAUGUAUGAAAAUACAUGCCUUGGUGAGAUAUUUCAAUGAUUCUGCAAAGCAACUGCCAAUUGAGUACUUAUUUUCAACAGCUCAUGGAUAGGACCUCCCUUCAUCUUUCCCCAAAGUCACUGGCUCUCGAGAUUGCUCAGUUCUACACAGACUUGUUCAUGCGCAGGGCAUUCCUGUUGUCUGUCUUACGUUUCAAACCUGAUGUGCUUCUCUUUUUUGGUGAUUACUUUGAUGGGGGCCCUAUUCUGUCUGACAAUGAGUAAGCCAUUUAAUUUUAUAGGUUUUGUAUGAAAGUUUACACAGGCAUUUAUGCGGUUGAAUCUCUAUUAAAUGUGAAAAUGCAGCUAGACUGUUGCAACACACUCAAUUUUGAUACUGUUUAUCUGAACUUUGUCUUCACAACGACGCAUCCCAUUGUUGAACAGAUGGCAGGAAUCCUUGAGCCGCCUUAAACAUAUCUUUGAUCUGAAUGUGCUCCAGAAAACUAAAAAUAUGAAAGUGUAUUUCCUAUCCGGAAAUCAUGACAUUGGAUAUGAGGCUCUUUACUCCAAAACGCCAGAGGUAUGUUAAUGCAUUAUUCUCUAAAUCUCAUACUACUUGUCAGAAUAAAUCAUUUUCGUUUUCCAGGUCGCUGGAUUAAAUUUAGAUGCUUAACUUGUUCUGGUGAUAUAUCUGAUGCUACUUUCUUGGUAACGAGUGAUCACAAGACAAUUCGAGCUCAGAACCCUAAUAGCUCGUCCAUGAAUGUUCAUCUACAUAGGCAUAUAAGAAUUUGUUUUAUUUAUCUGUGUCAGUUUCUUCUUGAAGCAGUAUCCAUCUAUGGGGUUUUCUGAACAAGUACUGAUUAAUCACUAAUAAUGCAAUUUCUGACACUUCAAUAAUGCAACCCUCCCUCUGAUCAUCUCUCUGGCUUGUUAUCUCUGCAUCUACUUGUCUGCAGGUUAUCAGGCGUUAUGAGGAAGAAUUUGGAGCACGAAACUAUAAGUUUACACUUGGAAAAGUGGAUUUUAUUGCUAUUGACUCACAGACAUUAGAUGGUAAAAGCCAGUGAACACGUAUCUCCAUAUCAUCUGUAAUAGUAUAGUAUCACUUUACUGCAAAAAUUUCUGGAACUCUAACAGGUGCCCAGAUUAUAAUUUGGAGAUACCCAAAAGGUAGAUAAUUUACUGUAUUUCAUAGUGAUUGCCGUGAUCUCCUUGGACAACUAGUUAAUCAUUUUUCCUUGUAUAUUCAUUCUUUGCCAGGCAAAUCAAGGUGCAAUUUUAUGUUUUAUGCAGUCCAAGUUUACAUGAAAACUACAAGGAUAAAACAAGUUUCUUAUCUCAUUAAUUUGUUACUUUUCCCCCUUCAUCUGUUUGACAUGAAAGUGGCUCGUUUCUUUAAACUUCCUAGAUAUCUGUGCACUUGUUGUAUUUCUGCUGGUAAUAACAAAUGUAGUGUGUGUGAUGCUGGUGUAUUACAGAUGAUAUCUCUGACUAACUGAAGCUUAUAACUUGGACUUUAUACUCUGAAGUGUGUGUAAAGCUGCUGGAUACUUUAACUGGCUGUGUAUUUGUACUGCUCAUGACGACCUAGUCUUGUUGAUAAAAGUCAAAAAUCUUUUUCUACUAACUAAUCAAGACUUGGUUGACAUGUUAGACCUUAAGUUGCAAGUAGAUUGACGCUGUCACUUGCUGGACCACAUAAGGAUCUGUAUGGUUGCUAGAAUAAUGGUAUCUUUUCUUGGUCAAUCAAACUCAGUAGGACUGCUUUCCUAAGUUAGCUUUGUUUUGCAUGUCUCUUUAUGCAAUCAUGUGACUUUGCUGAACUACACAAGGAUAUCUGCAGUAGCUUCCUUCUCAUUUGUAUAUUAGAAUUAUUUUCUUUGCUUAAUCAUCUAUAGAUAAAUUUACCUUGUAAGUUGGCGAUACUAAGAGUUGAUGGCAAGAUUUUUGUCCACAGGGAAUUCACAGGGAAAUGUAACCUCUGCCACCUGGAAUUUUAUUGCAAAUGUCUCUCAGGGUAAUUGGCAGCGACUUCUAAGAAAAUCUAUCAUGUUAGAUAAUUACAAUACGGUAUGAAGUCCAUGACAUGCCUUAUGCAUCCAGAUUCCAGUUCAAUGACAAGGGUUCUAUUGACUCAUAUCCCAUUGUACCGGCCAGAUUGGACUCCAUGCGGUCCAUAUCGUUCUUCACCCAUUAUCAAUCAGGUUAAUAUUUUUCUCUCUGCAUUGAGUUAAAUGGCAAUCUUAGAAACAUGUUGGUGCAAGUUAUCACCUUGCAUACAUUUUGUUUAGCUAAAAAUUACUAUCUCUUACUCUGUUCCAGAGGAUUUUGCGUGCCCCAGAAAAUCAACAAAUAUUGUAAGCAUCUUAUUGUGUUCUGCUUCUUUGACUGUAUGUGGUGGAUUACAGUCCUUCAUGGAAUGGAUGUUGGGGUAUGACAUGAUACUUUUCCUCUGAUCUAUUAAUACAGGUAUCAAAAUUAUGUCACUGAGAAAUCGACAAAUAACUUACUGAACAUGAUUAGCCCAGUAUGUAAACUCUUCCCUCCUUAAUGAUCUAUCAGAGCUUUGGAAAAUCAGACUUCGAAAAAACUAAGCUACUUGAGGGAUUCAUUCUUGGCGGUACUAAUCUGCGUUUGUAAACUUCAGGCACUAAUCCUUUCAGGGCAUGAUCAUGAUCAGUGCAAAGUAACCCACAUCACUAAGCACGGUCCCGUGGAGGAGGUAAGCACUGCAUUAACUUGGCAAGAUAUACUUCCAGUAACAGUGCAACUUUUGAUUAUUUACAUCAUGCAGCAUACUAUAGGGACUAUCAGCUGGCAGCAGGGAAACUUGUUCCCUUCUUUUAUGCUGUUAUCUGCUAGUAAUCUCAGCUCUCCAGAUGGUUUGGCUCUAGAAGAUGUUGUAUACGCCCAUCUCUGCUUUCUACCUGUUCAAACAUACAUAUACAUAUGGUAAUUCAUAGUUAGUUAAUACUGCUGCCGUUGGCGUGUAAGUUUUUGUUGGCUUCAUUCUGAAACAUCAUCUGAUGAGAAUUUCAGGUAUAUGGUCCUGUUCAUCAUGACCCUUCUCAUUGUUCUCUUUUGGCCUGCAAAAGAGGAAUUAUUCUCCCAUUAUAUUGGCAAUUUCAAGCUAUGCUUCAGGAGUCUGUUCGAUGGUAGUGUGUUUGGCAGGGUAAUAAAAGAGAAAAAUGAAGAUGAGAACUUUGAGUACGAGAUGAUGUGGGAUGCCGAAGGAUCGAUGCACCUUAUCAAGAAAGCGUCAAAGUCCCCUCCUAAAAGUUCAGGUGACAACGCUUCGGUGGAAAGGUAUCAUGGGGCCUAGUUGAGGUGCUACGUAUUGUCAGUCUAUUUCUUACUGUGGGAUUAUGUUUUGUUAUGUUUGCAUUCAGCAUCUAUUAUAUCUAUGCCGGAGCAUCUUUUACUCUCUUUUAGAAACUGCAAACUGGCGUAUUUAAAAUUUUAGACUUUUUAGUAUUGCCCACUCUUGCACUCUAGGGAAUUUUGCAAAUAUUUCAUCUAACCCCAUUAUUUGCCUCCCAAAAUAAAUUUUAACAGCUGCCCCCUUCCCUUUCAUUUUCUCUACUUAACAUUGAACUUUUCUUAUAUGUUCACCAAAUUAUGAUCGAACCAAACGUUCAUUUGAUAUUUUGAUUGUGUAUAUUGUAUGCUUGUUGUCCACUUACAUCAAAUAGUAGUAGUUCAGGAUUCUGCAACUUACUGCAACUGUACUUAGGGGCAAUGCUGUUAUGCGGGCGAAAAGACAGACUGAACAGGAAGUAGAGGUCGCCGUGGCUUGUGAUGGGAAUGUGGAAUUUGACGCGAGGACACCAGGACCGGCUCGAAUGAAAACAUCCAUGACAAAAUUGGUGAUACGGAGACUAUUGCGAGGCAUCCGCGUGCUUAGCUUUGUUGCUGCAAUCAAUGUUCCUCUCUACAUGAUGCUGCUAUUCAAAGAUUGGGUGGAUAAAUGAUACUGCUACUACUUACAAAUACAAGUACCACUAACUCCUGCUUACUACUACUACUACUCAGUAUGACAAAAUAAUUUCGGAUUCUUGCACAUUUGACAUACAUUGCAUCUUCAACAUUUCUGAUUUCCAAAAAAAAAUUUUGGCGAGUGAUCGUCUAAAAUCCUCAUUGGCAUUACUUACUAGCGCUAGGGCUGCCUCAGUCGUUUAAUGUCACGACCAGAUUUACGAACUCAAGAGUUAGAUUCAUAUAGUGUCAUAACUCAUGAGAGGUAGCCAUAACGUGUAAAAUGGAAUGACCCCAUCUCAUACUGCUAAUCUCUUAAGUGGAAAGGACAAUAAGAAGAACAAAAUAGUAUCUGACGUUCGACUACUGCGAUUAAUUUAUAUGCUCCAUACGUCGAUGUAAAACGCACAACAGGUAUGUUAUAUGUAGAAGAAGAAGCAUUAAUAUUGUUAAAAAAAUAAAUAAAUAAAAUUUCAGAUUCUCAUAAUUAACGUAGUAGUCCAUUGAUUGAUGUUAAUUCAAGAACGGCUGCUUCGUACGGAGCAGAUUUAUUGUAAGGUACAACAUAGUACUGUGGAAGUCAAGUAAAAGUACGUACAUGGUCUUCUACAAGACAGCCACCACGACGAAGAUAGUACCGCAACAUUCACAUCCAUGAUCCAUCCCUUCUGUGUCUUAUUCCACAUUUAUUGUGCAUUAAUUAAUCAUGCUACCAUAUUUAUAUAUUUGAUGGUGUCUGCAUCGGCCAUAACACUAAAACAAUACCGCUUGAACAGAGGGGAGUUACAUACAUAGAUUACUGAAACACAUAAAUAAGUAAUGGCAGACCUUGCAAGCUUCCAUCCAUCCAUCCGAACUUGGCAGGGAUCCCCAUAUGUUGGCCUUGUCCGUGUCCUGAUCAUGUCCGGGCUGUCAAAAAGCACCAGCCUUGAUCUCUCAUGUGCCCAAAAAACCUAACAAUGGACUAUCACCAUUUAGGUUUACAAAAAAAUACAGGAUGACACACAUGAAGAAGAGGGCUGAUGACAACAAACAAGCCAGACCAGCAGCACCCUAUGGACAAAGCCAACAACAGGGAAACAAAGUGGCCGGGGGCGGCCAGGAGGACAUAUAAAUUUUGCUUCCACACGUUUGUAGAACAAAUCUUUACCGACAGGCAAUUGACGCCUAUCAGAAACACACUGCUGCUCGUGCUUGGUUCGAAAACAAGACAAAAGCUAAAGAAGAAAGUAAAGAGAAUAAGGCAGAAGAGGUUGGUGGUGCAUGGUAUCUUUAUAUAUUUUAUACGGAGGAUGAGGAUGGUUUUGGUAGCUCAAUCAUCUCCCUGGAUAUACCAGCAGAGGAGCAUGGUGGCACAGCGACGUAAGAUGUAAAUUCGCGCUCUUUGUUCUUUAACCAAAGAAGCGCACUUUCUUGUGAAGCCACCACUGUUCUUUCUCUUUGAACAAGUGUAGAGUACUCCACUUCUGUGCUGUUGCUUGAGCUCGGCCAUUGCUGAUGAUGAGUGUUGGUGGCUAACGAAUCAGAUGAUUGUCAGCUUUCUUGCAAGCGAAUCACAGGGAAAAACUGAAAGGACAAAAGAAAAGAAAAAAAAAAAAAGGAAGGAAUGCCAAGGGGAAAAAAAGCCCACGAAUUGGAGCUAGACCCUGAAGAGGAGAGUAAGUGGAAUCCCUGUAUUUAUACGAAGAAGGUGUUGAGUAGCUUUUGAAGUGGGGGAGUGAACAUGGUCAUCUUCGAGAACCGAGGGAUUUGCAUGGAAAGGUGUAGAUCAUCAGCCAACGGGUAAAGGGGCUGUAAACGUGGGGUUGGAUUUUUCUGGAUUAAAUAUUCAAGAUGAUCAGCACACUGCAAUGGGGUAGAAGGGAUGAUUGUUAACACUGGCGUGUAUUUGAGUGCACUUGGAUUAGAAAAAGGGGUAUAAGUAGCCAUGAGAAAAGGAGGAUUGCUUGAUGAGGACAAGGCAAAGUCGGAGAUAUGGGAACAUGGUGUCGGCCAAGUCAUAGGUGGCUUAUGGGGCAGAUUUAAUUGGUUCACAACUGUGGCUCGCAAUUCAAGGUCUCUUUCCAUUCACUUCAUUUUGCUUGCUAGUAUAAUAUACUCCCCGAGUCUUCCUAAUUUAUACAGCUUCAUGUUGAGCCACAAAUUUGUUCUGCCAGCCAUGCUAGCUGUUUUUCAUUCUUCAGCCUCGAGCCGUUGCAUUAGUACUGACGGAAGUUACCGGUCUACGGGCAUCUUGCAUGUACGUACAACUGGAAUUGCAUCAGCAAAUAAUUCAUUAUUCAGCUUCCAAGAACCAGUUGCAUUUCUGCGCCGUGGACAAGCAUCAUAUACUAAGCAACUGAAAUGCAGAUUCAGGCAAAUCUUAGCUGCAGUUUCAGAUGAUUUAGAUAUGAGUAGGACUUUGAAGUUCACAAGAUUGGGCAAAUUUUGGCAUGUGGAUAUAGAGAUUUGGUGACCCUUAUUUCUUAUCUUUGUCUGAUGAAGCCAUCUGUCACGUUCGGGGCAGGUCUUAGGACAACCUCAAUCUUCAUAGAUUCACUUGUUCAACCCUUUAAAAUUAAUCAAGGGACAUAUAUGGCUCAUCUCCCAUGAUUAAUUUAGGUUACAGCUGUAAGCUAAUCAUCACCAUUACAUUUUUAAUUGGCAGUUCGACCUAGCACAGGUUAACAAAUCAAAAUACUCUAAUAAUGAAAUAGUGGACAUCCAAUCCUUUCGAGUAAGAAAUGUUAAGCAAGCAUUUCUUGGUUUUUCGAAUUGACAUAAUUCAAUGGACGAUGGUUUAGCAAUUAGUAAUACACAACUCUUAUAGACUAAUAAAUUUUUUUUUUUUUUUUUUUUUGGGGUGGUUCGGAAGAUAGACUAUAGUUUUACUUGCUUUCCUCUCUCUGUCUCCAAAUUCCACCAACCAAUGAUCAAUAACUUGCAGGUUGCCAUGAAUGUUCUCAAUAACAGUGAAUCCCUGUAAUAACAGUGGCAAGGUGGAGCAAGUUGAGUCAUCUCCUUAGCCUCGUUAGCUUGUAAUUGAUAAUCGACAAGGAUACGUUGUACUAGUAGAACACAAAAAUUCGUGAAAAAACUGAUUUUUCUUUCUUGUGCGGUCGGUGAUUUGCAGUGUAUCCAUUGGUUCUUGAAAGACGAAACAGAAGUUGUAACAUCUGAUUGUGCCGUGUGUCACUAUCUCCAGGAUGCUAAUUAAAGAGGGCCGUACGUGCUUCGUUCUAACACUUUGGAUAUUGGUUUUGCAUCUCCGAAACCAUCCUUCAUAAGUGAUGAUCGAUCUUCUAAAUAUGAUUAAGAAUAGUGCUAAUUACACCUGUUGAUUGACUAAUCGCGUACGUACUAAAAGAAUAGGCUGUCAGUCAUGAUUCCCGAGAAGCUGGAGCACUGAACAAAGCCUAACAGGCUGGAAUUAACAAGUGCACAAUUGGGCCCAUAGGUCGGACAGGACAAAGGGAGCAGGAGCCUCCAAGCGUCCUAUCCGAUCUACGAACAUUCCCAUAUCUUUGGAUUCAUUCCCCCGUUUCAUCAGCUUCUCUCUUUUCUUUUCUUUUUUUUAAGUGUUGAUAAUGGUCCAAAUACAGCUAGUGUAUGUCGAAGCUCCAAAUUUGCAGCAAAAGCAAGCGCUCCUAAUCUGACGCUUUAAGCAAGCAGCUGUCAACGGCUGAAUGGAGGACUUGAAUGGCCCCCCACAAGUACAACGCGGUGUUCUUGACUGAGUUGCCUUGGUCAUUUUGCAGAGAAGGAACACUUCCAUGUAAGCACAGUUUUAAAAACCCAGUUUACAACUUACUUAUUCUCUCAAUUCGUUUUGCUGCCCGGUUGAAAUAAGUAAAUGAAUGGACAAAAGUUGCCCGCAGAAUUACUUCCACUUUUCAUUGAGCUGAUUAUCUAUUGAAAUCUCAUCUAUGGUUGCGAUUCUUUUGCCCUGGUGGUCAUCACCAAAUAUUAUUGCUUAUUCUUACAUCCUACAUCAAGGGGAUUAAACACGAAGGUAUUAGCAUACGAGUCCAAAGGAUCUUAAGCCAUAAAUAUCAUAUUAUCACAUUGCAGUUAUCAUAUUACCACUAGAUUAGAGCAAAACAUUGCAGCAACUUCAUGAUUUAAGUCUUUAUUUUUAUUUCCUCAUUAAACUAUUUACUUUUAGUCUCAUUGAAUCUUAUGUGACCAUCCACCUUUUGGUUGAGUGAUGAUUGGCAUUAAACUAUGAGGUAAAGAUGCAAAAGUUGUAUUUAUAGAGAGAAAAAUAUAAGAAUGACUUGUUUUAUUUUAUGACGUGACACCGCUUCCAAAUAAAGACAAUGGCCUGUGCGAAUAUUCGCACAGGGUUGAAUCUAAUUUGUGAUAUAUUAUCAGCCUGCCCCAGUCACCUAUCCACUUUUCCCAGUAUACUUGUCGAAGAAUAUCGCCCCAAUUAUCAGCUUUUGUAUUUGUCAGGCAGUGCUUGCCUCGGGUACCCUCUUCUCAAUGCGGGCAAGAAGCAACUCACUAUCCUGCAAAACAUACAGGUAUUGCAUGGUUUAAAAGGUCGGCGGAGAGAGACAGAAAAGCAUAUUACUCACUAUCCUGCAAAACAUACAGGUAUUGCAUGGUUUAAAAGGUCGGCAGAGAGAGACAGAAAAGCAUAUUAAUUUAAAGCAGUAAGGCAUCCCUUUCUUCCAUUCUUUGCUUCUGCUCCAUGUUUCGAUACUCCCUCCAAACACGAUUAAUUUCUAGUAGUCAAUUCACAAAAUUCAGGCACUUCAUAAGCUUCCUCUCGAUUAUGCUAGAACGAAAAAUAUGUUAACCACGCCAUAUAGAUGAAACAAGCCCAUCCCCACCAGACAGAUAGCAGUAAGCAAGCAUUUGUGCAAUAUUCAAUAAUAUUCAGGAUUUUAGUUCUGCUGGAACUGUUGAUCAUGCUUGAUAUUCCUUUCUCCAGAGAUUACUAGAAACCCACCUCACUUCCUCGAUCCAAAUGUCACAAAUUUGACUGUAACAAUGGCCAAGACAAAGGUAAUUCAUAAUGGUGGUUGACUUGGUGGCUUCCUCAGGCCAUUGUAAGUUGUAUAAAACAAGGGGGAUGGGAUGUUCAAUAUCCCGAGUCACACACCUGAUGCUUUGAACUCUAGAUAGAGCAUAAUAAUUCUCUGACUACCUCAAGCUGCAGAUAUCACAGCAUAACCUAAAAUUUGCAUGAUGUAGGUACUCUAUCAUGCCAUACAACAGUGUGUGCAUCACUGCAGGUAUAUAUAUUGGACCAGUGAAAUAUCACCUGUACAAUUGCUUGUGCACAAAGCUUUCCUGAAAGAACGGCACCUUCCAUUGAAGCCAAAUACUUCUGUUUUGUAUAGUCACCAGCUAAAUAGAACCCUUGAACUGGAGAUCUUUGCAACGGACGAGAGGGUUCAGUUCCGGGCACAGUUUUAUAAACUGACCUAGAAAAAGAAAAGCUCCAUUUUCAUUUUCAGAGGUCAAUAAUAAAAUGACUGCAGAAUUCUGAAUCUCAAUGAAAUUCAAAUUUCAGGUGCUUUAUAGGUUGACAAGGCAUAAAAUGAAUUUUGAGGUACGGUGAGCCAAAUUGUUAUGAAAAGUUAUUGCUACAAAGCUAUAUUUCAUGGACAUGAUCCAGCGCAUUACCAUUACAAAGAGGACCGUUCACAUUCUCAACAUUCCAGCGGACUUGAGCAAAACGUAUUAUAUCAUUGUUUCCAAUUUUCUAUAAUAGCAAGGAAUAGAAAGACAAAAAAGUCACCUUGGAGUUUUUACAAUAUGGUAUUUCAAGAGUUUUGCUUUGCUCUGAUCAGCAGCAAUUUCAUCAGGAAAUAAUUUUGCAAGUUCCUUCAUUGUAGCAUCAAUAAUUUCCUCAUCACUUUGUGAUAUCCAUUCUUCUGCAGGUGCAAAAACUAGCUCCAACAUUGAUUGGUUUGGACUGUAAUAUUCCUGCAUAAAUUUUACUUUUGUGUUUAAGGGUAGCUUAAAGAUAGCUCCUCUGACCAUAGUCGUCACAAAUUGUUGUGAACAAAGCAUAUCAAGUUGCAGCCCAAAGAUACAACUUCCCAAGCACCGAUAUACAAAUAAAUAAAUAAAUAAAGAGAGGCUAGAAUAAUUAAUAGCAACAAGAACCAGUUUCUAACUGAAACUGUUUAGAUGCGCUAAAAGCUUCCAACAAUUUGAGAUGAAUUUUUGACUUUGAGUAGAAUUUGCUUUAGCCCAAUGAUUUAACUCUAGGGUACCUGCCUUAAAAGAACUCUGGGUCAUACCCGGACUUUCUUUCUCUAAACUAUUACAUGGUGAGGUAUGCCAACUUGCUUAUUUUUCAGUGUAAUAUACCUUACAUCCAUGCACAAAAUAAGAUUUCUCUGUCAUGUGAUUUGGAAAUUUUAAGCAAAUGACUUUGCUGCCUUGCUGAUGGGAGGAAGAAAAAAAAAAAAAACUAAAUUGAGAGCCAAUACAAGUAUAUUACAUUAUGAAUCUUAAACAGUGUACAGGGAAUACCUUACACGUCACAGACAUGUCGGCAUACACACUAAGAAGUGGACUUCUGCAAGAGAAAGAAGGUUGGUUCAGGAAACAAGUCAUAUAGCAUAGGAUGGGACUUGAAACUGGGGCAACGUUACUUUUCCCUCUUCAAGCCCCAUUAGGGAACAGGGAAAAAGGAAAAAACAACUCAUGAUUGUACACAAAAUGGUUCAAAUUGUCUUAUGCUUCAUUGUUUCAGUAACAGAAAAUCAACACAUUAGAGUAAUGCAUAUAAGAUCUUAAGACACUAUAUUUUUCCAAAUUGCAGAUAGUGUAAGCAUAGUUGUUCUGAUUUUGUGUUAAGAGAUCUGUUAAGACAAAAACAUUCAAAGAUAGGAAUACACAAUAAAAUUUUGUUCACUGAUGGUACGAGUAUGGAAAAGACCUGCUAAAAAGAAGAUGAUCAUAUGUGUUCCUGAGCUUCCUGUCAAACCUGCAAUUGAAGUCAAUUAUAUCAAUAUCACUGAGCUAAGAUAUUAUAGGAAUUUGUGACAACAUAUAGGAUUGUUCACUUAUACAAGAUGAUAUUCCUGUAGGGAACCACAUUCUAAGUGUUAUUUUGUGUAGUUACAGGAGGAAUCCAUAAAAUCUUACUCCUGAUUAAUCCAAUGAACGUCAGGAACAGAUUGUCAUUUUGAAAUGAUACAGAAAGCAUAUCAGGUGUUAAUUCAUAACUAGUGAAGAUUUGACCAACAAGGAUAGUCAAUUGCAUCAUUUCGACCACAAAAUAGCACUCACCUUUGCAGGUCAAACUUAUCCUUUAAAGGUCAUACACUUUGUAUAUUAUGAUAACUUUAAGUAGUUUUAUAUCGCAUAAUGUAAAUGUAUAUAUUAGAAAUAAUCAUCUAGAUAAAACCUUUAUAGCGAAAAGGACAACUGUUGAGUAAUAUCUUUAGAAUUGCUGAAAACUAAAUCACUAACCAUAUGUGCACAUUUAUAACAGGAACUCCAACUAAUUUCUCCAACUUUCUGAAGUAUGGCAUCUCUUUCCAAUCCUCAGGCAAAAGAAGCUUCAGGAUAUCAACUGUUAUCGUCACAUCAAACUAGCAAUCUUAAGAUAGUUCACCAAAAACUGGGGAACAUGUAUGAUUUCUUAGAUUAAUAAAGACUCUACCUGGAGUGGCAAAUACAUAAGCAUCUCCUCUAAUCACAGUUCCAUUAUUCAGCAAGAAGUUUUCAACACUUCCGGCAUCAUUGAGCUCAAUUUUCUGAAUUCUUGAGUUAAGGUGUACUCUGCCUCCUCGUGACUCAAUGUGCUCAACAAUCGGCAUGCAAAGUCUCUCUGGAGGGUUACCAUCUAAAAAUGCCAUUUUGGAUCCAUGCUUCUCCUGUUGAUCGAUUCUAAAAUUCUUUCAAACAGCUAAUACGAUAGAAAGAAAUCUCUAUCACAUCCUUCUAAUUUACAUAUGAAAGUGGCAAGAACUUUAUUAAGAAAACGGAGGUAUAAAUUGUAAAGGAAGCCAGAAGUAGAUUAAGAACUGCAAAGCACCCCGUGCCUUAAAGAAAACUUCAAAACCCUAAAAACAUAAUCUAUCUUUUCUCUUUUUUUUGUCAAAAAAAAAAAACUAAUCCAUCUGCCUUCUAAAGAUUGAGAAACUUCAAUCCAUAAAGUCCUACUCCUUAAAGACAUUGCAUGUACUCCCGUGUGCUCAAGAGAUCUAUAUGUUCAGACUGUGGGUAAUUAACCUGCUUUCAAUUUUCUGGUCAAGGAAAAAAAAAAAAAAAGAAACAAGGAACUAAAGAACAGCAAUGAACUGCACAGAGACUACUGUUUCUUAGUGUUGCUCUGUGUGUUGGAGCAGUACGAAGGGCACUACAGAAUAAAGGCCUGGAUUUUAAAAAAUUUAUCCCAAAAAGAAAUACUCAAUUGUGGAUAAAAAAUUUCACUAUAGAUGGAAGAUUCAUGGCAUUAGGCACUGGGACCUGGUUUUAACAAAUGAAAAUAAGUGAUCUUCCUUGGUCAUAGAGUGAGUAAGAAAUGUCCACUACGUGCAAAAGUAAGUCAUUCAAUUUGUAUAUACUUCAUGAGGAAGUCUAUUAAAUGCAGGUGAUACAUUUUAUUUAGGUGAUUAUUUGAAUGAAAAUCCUAGCAUCUCACUAUAAGUUAGAGAUGUUAUCAAAAACACACACACACAGAGACACAGAGAGAGGAAUGGAUCCAACCUGAAGAAAUCGGUUCAAAGCUAUUAAAAUGCACUGCAUUGAAAGUUCAUCUGGAUUUAUGAAGUUCAGUGCCUUUGACAUGGCAAAGAAUACUUCAUCAGUCACCCGAUCUGGUAUGCCCUAAAAUACAGUCAAAGAUUACACCAUAUUCUUCUAGAAAAAUGCACUAAUAUAACUUCUCAACAGAAGCAAAGGAAAUACAGAAAGGAAAGAAAAGUUCAACUUUGUAGUGAAGCUUAGGUAAGCAUUAACUUGGCAUGGCAGUGGGUCGUUAAACUUGCUAACUUAACAUUCUACUGAAAAUGGUUGCAUACUUGCUUUCUCAUCCAGUCUUUGACAGUUAUACCAUCUUGUGCCUCAACAUAAGACUGUCCACCCAGAAUUGCUGGCAAGAGUCCAAUUGCAAAUUUGACUUUCUCUGGCCAAGUAAGCAUGUCAUUAUUCUUCAAGAUGGCCCAUAUUCCUGCAAGACCAAUUUGAAAACAAUAUCCACAUAAAAACAAGUUACUUCAUUUGAAAUUUGGCUGCACAAAUUAGCUCACCAUUUAAUGGUGCUGGUAGCACCUCAGGAAAAUCAAAUCGACUGAACUCUCCAGGCUUAUUUGGCAUUGCAAAUAUCAUUGAAUGCUCCUUCCACUGCAACCGAUCAUUAAUUCCUAGUUCUCCAAACAGGUUCUGCAUAUUUGGGUAAGCCCCAACUUAAGGUGGAUCAAGAAUCAAUGUCACAAGUUAUUUGCUGCAUCAUAAUGUAUCUUAAAAAGAAACAAGAAGAAUCAUCUACAUUCAUGCUUAUAAGAAAUUCAAAAAAGCACGGAACAAGAUAAGGCAAAUACGAAAAUCAAGAAAAUUUGACAAAACAACAUCCCAUGAUAUUUGGAGGUUAAUUAAAAUAACCUCUUUACGAUCAAUCACCUUUACAAGAACCUUAACUGAUUUUACUGAGAAAAAGACAAUGUUGUCCAUUAAUGCUAACCUGGUGCAACUUGUAAGAUAUUUGCUCAACAAUGUUUAAGUAAAUGUUUAAGUACUGUGGUUCGUACCCUUUGUUAUCCUAACAGCAGUAAAGUUGGAUUUGAAAAAUUUAGAAAAAUCCAAUGUAAUUUCACAAAACAGAAGAGAUGUCUCCAUAAGAAUUAUAAAACUUAUAAGAGAUCAGCGUAGCUUGCCUUAAUAUCAAAGACUAACAGUUUUCCAGAGGACAAUAUGGGCAAGAGAGCAUUUGAAAAGAGCAUGAUUAAAGCAAUCCUUCCAGUAGCAGUCAUCAUUACAAGGUUUAAGUAAAUCGUUACAUUUCUUCCUUAUACUUACAGAAUACGUGCAGGCCAGUCUCAUACCAGUCUCCAUCAUCAUCUUUCCAUGCAGCAACCUAGGUACAGACAAAUGAUUUUCAGAAGAGGAAAAGUAUUCCUUAGAUAAAGAGGUUAAUAGACCAUAUUCCUCUACACAUCAAUUUGCAUAAGUAAAUGAUGGAAGCUAGUUUUAGAAGUCUAACCAAUAAUUGCAACAAUAUUGUUCUGUCUUCCCUUAACAUACCAACCACAGAUUUUACCAAUAUAACACUGUGUGCAAUGCACAUACAGAAACUUGGAUAUCAAAAAGUUUACACAUUAUGCACACAUAUAGACCAACUCCCACAUCCAUAUACUGGAAAAUUUUGAAAGACUUUCCUUGAACUUUGACACAGUCCAUUAUGCCACAAGGAAUUCAUGAACACUAAUGAGUAAUAAUUUGGCUACCUUUCCUCCCAGAACAUCCCUAGCUUCCAACACUAUAGGUUUAUGACCUGCAUCGGCCAAAUACUUUGCAGUAGACAAACCAGCCAAACCUGAAAGUAUAAAACUUAAUCAAGUAAGUGGAAAUUUAUUUCAUAACAGACUUUGUUCUGUAUGUCAUACCUUGACUUAUUUUCAGAAGCAAUUGACUUAUAACAUCCGAUGUUACAAAUUUAUGACAAAAUACUAAAAUAAGACAACAUAGGUUCUAAUGGAGGCUAAAACAUAUAAAAUAUCAGCUAUAAAAAGUGAUCCGUCUUGCAAACCAGAUAAUCAUCUGAUAGGACUCCUAAAUAAGACAGCCCCAAAUUCAUUCACAAGCCUACCUAUGCAUGUACAGUGACGAAACCUUUCAGAACUUAACCAAUCAUGAGGAGCACCUAAAUUAUGUGGAGGAAAGUGGAUAGGAAAGCUCAUGCAUAAUGAAGUCAAAUUAUUCUGCCAAAAAUUAUUAAACACUGUUCUUAGCUACAAAAGCGAGUGUGUGGCUGCCAGAGCUUAUGAACCAAAAGCACGGAAUAAUACUAAAACGAGGCAUGUUUGAAAAGUGAAAAACUAUAAUCUAAAUGGAUACCAUAGCACAGCUUAUGAGUUCACUGGAAAUAAGAUUUACUUUCGAAAUAAAAUGGCAGAAAAGUAUAAUUAAAGAUUGAGUGUGAUAUUUCCACCUGCACCGGCGAUCACCACCUCUAAUGGUUUAUUUGGAUGAGGAGAAGUACGGAAUGUUGAUGAUAAAUAAGCAGCUUCCAAAUAGUUGACGGCAUUUUCAAGCUCUGGCCUUGGAUAGUCAAUACAAGCUACCUGCAUGAUGAAGCAAAGAGUAAAUUGGAUUAGUUUCCCUUCUUUUGUUAUUGUUUGUCGUCCUUGAUAUUGAUGAUCAUCAGAUACAUUUUUACCUUUAAAGGGCCUGCAUCCUCCGCCCUUGAUCUCAUGACAACCGAAUUUGCAACUUGAACUUUCAAUUUAUCUCCCAUAGAAUCACCACCUCCAAAUGAAAGUGAGGUCAUUUGCCCAGAACCAAAACAAAGGCCACACUUCCAAGCAGAAUGAGGGCUCCGAACAUUAAUCACACUAGUUUGCCUGGUCAGGCUUAGUGCAGAAACAUGUCCAAGUUGAGACAUUUCUCCAAAUUGGGCACAAAAUUGAGUUUGCUUUUAGACUUCUCAACGGACCAACGUCACAGUGCAAUCAAUUUGGAACUUUUCCUAAAUCAAAUGGUUCAUUAAUACAAUUAAAACCAAGAGAUUAAGCUGUGCUGACUAUAAUUAGGUAACAUUCCCCGACCCCCCACCCCCACACGGGCCAAAAAAAAAAGCAACAGCCAACAACUCUCCUCCAUACAUGUAGCCACGAAGCAGCUAUACAGGAAAUGACUUAACCCACACAGGUAUAAGGGUACAAUAAUUUAUUUUUCGUUACGAAAAGAGCAACAAACAGAAGACAAAAGAAGGAAAAUUGUCGAAUUCAACCUGAGUGCAAAUGGGAUCAGAUAUCAUGACAAGGAAAAGAAGCAAAUCAAGUAAACCAACAAGAAAUAAAUAGACAGAGUAGCAAAGACUUGAGCGUCUCAAAUUUUGAGCAGCUGCAAAAUUUAACCCAAAAAGAACUGGAAUUGAGGGUGGGAAAGAAAGGUGCAAAAUUCCCGGUGCAAACUACAAAGACCCACUAUGACCCAACCAAUUGAUUAAUUUCCUCAAUUUGGUCCUUGGCAGCUCUAAUUUUACAACUUUUCAGUUUGAGGUGGUAAGCUUGAUUACCUCUAGGCGAGCAAAGAAUAGUCCAAGGAAACUCCUUUUUAGCUGCGAGUUCUUUAAGAGUGAGAUAAGGGAGAAGCAAGAAAGGAAGGCAGGCAGGAUUGCAGAGUAAAGGCCAUCAGAAAUCCUCCUUCCAGUUGCAGCUAGGAGGUAUAGCAGUUACUACCACUGACUGGAUACGCACAAAAAUACACACAAGAGGUGACAAGGGAAAAGAUAAAAAGGCAAACACGAAAGGUAGUAGUGUAAUAAUUAUUAUAUAGCAAUGGUUUUGUGAGGGAAGCGUGAUGUAAUUUGGUGGGUUUUGGCCGCAUUUGUUAUUGGGACACAUUUGUUAUGGCUUAGAAUAUUCUAUCCAUCUUUUACUUCACUUACAUGAGGACGGAACUUACUUUUCACCUUCCACUGUAUUUUACCUUUGUGCCAAAGCUCCACCAGGCUCCGCCUCCGUCCAUCCAUUUUCCUUCUGUUUCCUGCUUCUCUCUCUCUGUCUCUCUGAACUUUUCAUUCGGCACCGGUCCCUGUCAUUGUCCUCACAGUAGUUCCAUGAGCAGUAGUUGUAGUAGUAGUAGCGUACAUCAUCAUUCAUUCAUUCUCCCUUGCUAUUUUCUUGUAUGGUCGCGAUACACUAGCAGUCUAUACAGUUAGCCCUCUCUUAGUAACAAUUCUGAUCCGCUACCUAACCCACCAUUAAUAUUACUCCUUGUUGGACCACUAAAAUUAUCCUAUCCUAUGCACCACCAAACCAAAUUUAUCAGCAUUAGGCGAAGAUCCAAUUUACACAUCCAUUUACGUCUAAUAUCCUCAAUGAAUCAUCUUCAUCAUCAUCAUAAUUUAAAAAAAAAAAAAAAAAAAAAAAAAACUAAACUAAAAUGAACUCCCCAGCCUGCUAACAUAUUCUCAUAUGUGGAUAUGGGACGCAUCCAUAAUCCUCAUGGACGUCAAAAGUACACUUGUAGUAACACAAUUGGAUUCUUGGUCCAUUCCUGUGAGCCACCUUUUCUUUUUUUUUUUGGGAGUUCUCACCUGAAAAGUCUGGACCCAAUACCAAGAUCAAAUGUCUUGUCCCCAGGCCCAAAUAAGACAGGCCAUCCAAAAAGCCUCCACCUGGGCUUCCAAGGACACCCGCACCGAACACCAAGUCAACUCUUUUUGGACCAACAUGUACGAGAAAUAGCUCGCCAAAGUCGAAUGUGUUGUGUUUACCAGUUGUUUGUUUUUUUUUUUUUUUUUCAGCUGUUUACCAAAGUCGCCUGAAAGGCUUGGACCAAAAAAUAAAUAAUUUAAUAAAAACAACUAAUAAUAAAAACAGAAGGGGCAAGAAACUUGGAUGGCCGUAGAACUUUUAAGCCGGCAAUUUUUAGUCCCUCAACUAUUAAGUAAACACUUUUAGCCACCGAACUUAUUAAAGGGUCAAUUGUUGACCCUUUUGGCCAGUUUAUCCAGUUUUGCAACUGGCAAGAUCAUCUGUGCGACGCAACUCUUAAAUUUGAAAGUCCUUUUUGUCCACUCAAAGAUAAAAAAUCAAACAAAGCCCUCAAAGAACCUAAAUCUGACCAUUAUUCUUCACUUCAACAUCCUCAUCGUUCUCAUUUGAAGUAAGAAGGAAGUGGGGUGCAAUUGGAUAUGGCUAGGCAAACUUGCAAUUGGACAUGGCUAAGCAGACAAAAUAUAUUUCCUUCUUACUUCAAAUGAGAACGAUAAGGACGUUGAAAUGAAGAAUAAGGGCCAAAUUUAGAUACUUUAAAGGUUUUGUUCGAUUUCUUAUCUCUGGCAGACAAAAAGACCUUUCAAAUUUGGGGGUUGCGUCUCAUGUGAUGCAACCAACUAAACUGGCUCAAAGGGUCAACAAUUGAUCAUUUUGUAAGUUCAAAAACUAAAAGUAUUUGCUUAACAGUUGAGGAGUUAAAAGCUACCCAACUUAAAAAUUUGAGAUCUAUCCAAAUUUUUUGCCCAAGCAGAAAUCCAACCUCAGGUUUAGAGAUAAGAAUGCAUCCAUAUCAUAUGUAUUUAGUGCUCAAAAGUUCAAUUUUUUUGCCCAAAUAGAAAUCCAACCCCAGGUUUGGAGAUAAGAAUGCCUCCAUAUCACUGUAUUUAGCGCUCAUAAGAAGAAUUUUCUCAUACGUCGUGGGCCAAAAACUCUACAAGCCAAUCUCAUCGAGAGAGAGAGAGAGGUCACACUAGCAUUUGACAUACUAGACUCUGUCUGAUAACUCAAUUUAAUAAUUAAAUUUAAUUGAUUCAGGUGUUAAUAUAUUCAAAUACGUUUCAUAAUCAAAAGUUGAAUAUUUGAAUUAAUUAAGGGGUGCUGGAUUUUUUAGACAAAAUUUGUUCCAAUAUUCACUUACCACUUAAUGUGAUAUACACUCAAACGUACUGUAUCAGUUUUAGUAUUUAACAAUUCAAUAAUUUAAUAGAUUCAAAUUUCAAAUUUCAGAAUUCAAUCUUCAAACUUUAAACCUAAAAUUUUCCAAUCCCAUAAAAUUACCAGAAAUCGGAAUUAAAAAAAAAAUAGAAGAAGAAGAAGUAGUUACACGUAAUCAGUUGAACAAUGCGAAUUGUGAUGUGAAAAAAAAAAAAAAAAAAAAAGUCAUCCAAAAUUGUCCGCUUAAUAAAUUAGCUGAGCUGUCCUCCGGAAAGCGUCUGCUGGUCGUGCGUCUUACAAGUAAGUUACUUGCGACUUACAACCACCGAACUACCUUUCAAUCAAAACAAAACAAACGUGUUGACUUGGCGGGAGAUCUGAGAUAACGGAGCCGAAAAUUGUAAGAAGACCGUUAGGUUUGAAAGUCCUGCAGAUUUGACUGUCAGUUAAAAUACCUGCCCUUCUUCCUCUCCUCCUCAAUUCUGAAUUUCAGUCCAUUUUGAACCUUCCUUCCUUGUGAAUUUUUUCUUUUGGGGCCCCCCUUCAAUCUCCAUCAUCAUUUUCUCUUUGUCCUCAAACCUCCUGCUGUAUAGGGUGCUACCAGAUCAUCAGCGCCUGCUGCUUCUACGCUAGCACACUACUGAGGCCCUUUAUAGUUUAUAGCUCCACCCAUCCUUCCGUCCAUUCAAAUUCCCCCAACUGAUUAUUGUCCUAAUCCCACUACAAUUCAGUGAACAUCUCAUUACUUACUUGAGGAGGACCGACCCCUUCUGCUAUCUUUUGGAGGCAGCAAAAAUACAAAAAGUAAAUGCAUCUGCAUAACGGAAGUCCUCCAUCUAUGUUUUAGUCUGUUCUCUGUCAUGUUCGCUGUGCUCUGUGUAUGUUCAAUCUUGAAUGAUUAAGUUGUCUUUGGGCCUACCUAGUAGACAUGGCAAUGAAAAAUCACUUCCUGAAUCAUUAUUUAUUUCGGUAAAUUAUCUUCUUCUGUUCCGGGACAUUUAGACAAAUCUUGCUGAGAUCCUAUUAUAUGCCUGAUAUCUAUCUCCUUUGAAUUGAAAUCUACAAGGGUGUCAUUGCAGUUGCCUCUUUUUGCAUUUAAAGGUUUAGGCCUGUUCAAGCCCCCAUAGCUUCAAGUUUCAAGCGUCAGCAUUGGAAAAUUAUAUCAUAGUCUGUUUUUCACUUUUCUAAGUGAUGAACUUCCUGUAGGGAAAAAUUGUCAUUCUUUUCCCAUCCUAAUCGCUUCCACAGCCAAUCAACUUCUUUAUGUACUUUCUCAUCUGACAGCCUGGACAUUUAGAGCAAAUGUCCCCAGCAUAUCAAGAUCCUAAUAAUUCAUAAGUUCGAAUUUUUAGGGUAGUGUGGACUGUGGAGGAUAUGAUGUGAAUACAGCUACUGGCUGAUAUAUAUGUCUAUAGAUUUUAAAGGAACAAUUUUGGUUUAUGAUGUAUUGCUCUAGAGGUUCAAAGGAAUUUUAGAGACAUGCUGCUCAUUUAUCUCCUCUGAUGUAACUGGCAUUUGUUAUUUGCCAUCACAUUUCCAACUAAAAACAAAAUUUCACGUUUAGAUUUCAUCAUUGAAAAAUUUAAACCAAGAUUCCAUUUUUGUUUCUUGUUUUUGGCCCUAGACUUGAAACAUGGCAGAAGAUAUGAAUAAACCAUUGCUAGCUCCUGAAAAGUUUAGUAGAGAUGGAAUUGAUCUGGUAAGCUUUUACAACAUUAUCAUUCAAGUUUAACAUCAGAAAACUUCUGCUCAAGGCGUAUGAUAUCACCGUCUAUAUGGCUUCAACAGGAACACAUACCACUGGAAGAAGUGUUUGAACAACUGAGAACUUCACAAGCUGGACUUUCAUCCGAAGAUGCAGAAGUUCGAUUGCAGAUAUUUGGCCCAAAUAAACUUGAAGAGAAGCGGGUAAGUUUCCCAUUCAUAAAAGUAGAUUAUUAGUCAACAGUCCAAUGAAAGAAAGAGUGCCAUCAUUAAUUUCGCAGCACUAAAAUACAAGGUUCUGCCGAUUUGCUUAAAUGGGCAUCACCAUACUCCUGUAGAAAGCUCAUAUUGAUGACAUGCUUUCUUUGCAAAGAUGAGGGUGUUCAGGGUGGAACAGGCGCAGAAAAGCAACCAGUGAAUAGAUACUUCUGAUUAUAUAUUCCUAAUGAUGUGCUAUGUUCUAAUACAGUUUACACUGCAUCGUACUUUAAUUAUUGCAGCACACUUGUGAAGCUCUCUGCUCAUGGAUUUCAUUAGAUCUUGCAUAUUCUUGUAGUUCGUUUGUCUUCUCAAAAGUUGUUUUCGGUCUCCAGGAAAAUAAGAUUUUGAAGUUUCUUAGUUUCAUGUGGAAUCCCUUGUCAUGGGUCAUGGAAGCUGCAGCGGUGAUGGCAAUUGUUCUUGCUAAUGGUGGAGUGAGUUUAAUGAACCUUUUCAUUUCCUUUCUCACUAUUCGUGUCAAUUAAUCGUCUGGAAUGCAUCAUUUACUGGGCUUUUAUUUUCUUCCUUGUACCGGUCUCUUAACGUGUAAAAAAAAAUGGUGCACUUCAGGGGGAGGGUCCUGACUGGCAAGACUUUUUGGGGAUUAUUUGCCUGUUGCUGAUAAAUUCAACAAUUAGCUUUAUUGAGGAAAACAAUGCUGGAAAUGCUGCUGCAGCCCUUAUGGCACGUUUAGCUCCAAAAUCUAAGGUUUGUAUUUUCAAUACUCCUCUGAAAAUCAGCACCAUCCUCUAAAUUUAUUUGACUAAUAACUAACUCCGUUCCAGUCAACUGACCAAGGACUCGAACAUUGUCCAGAAACUCAAAGAGGCUUCUGCUUCCUGGAGUGUUCAAUCUUCACGAGAGAUGAAUAAGGAUGCAAGUUUAUCACAGAAGAGAAAAAUCAAUCGGACCUCAUUCUUAACAUGUCACCGCAAUCUUUUGUUUUAUUCAUGCAUGAUGCAUCUGUUAGAUACACAAAAAUGAUAAAAGUCAUUCAUUUUGCGUUUCACAGACUGACUGAUAAACCGCUCAUUUUUCCCUUUCUAGUUCUAAUACAACUUUCCAAGAUUCAAGCUGAGUCUAUUCAAACAUUACCUUCGUCUUUAUUUGAAAAGAUACGUACUAAAACAUCAAACGGUGGUCUUCUUCUGCAGGUCCUAAGAGAUGGAAUAUGGCAAGAGCAAGAUGCAGCUAUUCUAGUACCAGGAGAUAUUAUUAGCAUUAAGCUUGGAGACAUCAUCCCUGCAGAUGCUCGCCUACUCGAGGGAGACCCCUUAAAAAUUGACCAGGUAACUUAAUUUGAAUAUUACUUGCCAAAUUCAUGUAAAAGAAUUAAAGAAUUCCUCGACAUGGGGCAAAAUCAUGGAUUUAUCUGCAGUCAGCUCUUACUGGAGAAUCCCUACCUGUCACCAAGCGGACAGGUGAUGAAGUUUAUUCUGGAUCUACUUGUAAACAAGGAGAAGUUGAAGCUGUAGUAAUAGCUACAGGGGUUCACUCCUUUUUCGGCAAAGCUGCACAUCUAGUUGACUCGACUGAAGUUGUUGGUCAUUUCCAGAAGGUGACUAAUUUAUACUUCACAGAAAUAGUUUAGCUUUACCCUAUUUCCAAAACUAAAUCACAUAGAUACUGAAUAGAAUAGGUAGAUUGAACUUUAGGAGUCUCUGAUCAUGUCUGAUAUUGUAUUUAUUGGUGAAUUUGCUCUUUUGGUUUGAUUAGCUACAAACAUACUGAAGUCAGUAAAUUGCUUCUUCCUUCCCUUGUAUACCAAUGUUUAUCCUUUUAUGGUAAAAAUAGACUUCCACGACAGGAGGCCCUGUCUCUAAUCCAUAAUCAGGGCCCGGAAACGUUAUUACUAAAAUUUUCAAGUUCUCAGUCGAAUUGAAGUCUGUUUAGGAUUGGAACUUUGAAGAAAGGGACAUCUCUUUGCCGCAGGUCCUUACAGCAAUUGGGAACUUCUGCAUUUGCUCUAUAGCUGUAGGAAUGAUACUGGAAAUCAUUGUCAUGUUCCCAGUACAGCACCGCUCGUACAGAAGUGGAAUCAACAACCUUCUUGUGCUUUUAAUUGGAGGAAUACCAAUAGCUAUGCCAACAGUUUUAUCUGUAACACUUGCAAUUGGUUCUCAUCGUCUCUCUCAACAGGUAUAACUCUUAUGCAAAUUCUGGAACUAGCAGGAGUGUUAUGGUUGUGUUUUAUUUCUUGAAAAGUAAUUAAUGUGAAUGGCAAAUGCUUACAAGAUAGGUUUGAUCAGUCGGACCAUGUAGUCAGCAAUGUAGUUCUCAUUUCUUUUUGUGUUCCUUUCUUAUCCCUUUCAUUCAUCUCUUCAGGGUGCCAUUACAAAGAGGAUGACAGCAAUUGAAGAGAUGGCUGGAAUGGAUGUUCUUUGCAGUGAUAAAACAGGAACACUUACUCUGAAUCGCCUCACUGUUGAUCGGAACCUCAUUGAGGUACAAAAGCAGCUUGACUGACUUCAUAUUUGUCAAUACAAACAUGUUGCUUUUUGCUAGGUAGGGAUUUAAUUGGCUUAUACUUUGGAACAUUGGUCAGCUAAUACCUCAGAAAACCAGAAAUGAAACAUUUGUCAGUUUGGACUCGAAACUUUGGAGUAGGAUAUAAGCAUUCUGAACUUUCCAGUUUCUGGCUUUUAGCCUGACACCAGACUCACUUUUGUUGUGCUAGCAAGUUCCUAAUGGAGAGAAAAGAGCUCUUAGAAGUGUCUUUCACUCCAUAUAUUCAUUCUCUUAAGAUCUAAAGCUUUUGAACAGUUCUCUAUUUGACGUGCAUCUAUGUGAUGCAUGAUCGAUGCAAGUUAUAUCAUGAUUCCUUCUUAAAUGGUUUCUGAUCUUAAUCAAUCUUCUGCAGCGUCCAGGUUCCUAAUCACUACUAAUGUAAACAAUUAGUCAAUCUGAUGUCUGUUUACUUGGGUCAACCGAAAUUCUUAUAGGCAUAUAAGAUCGUUUUGUCGUUUCCUGUGCUCAGAAAAUGUAAAUUUCCUAUUCUAACAGGUAUUUAACAAUGAUAUGGACAAAGACAUGGUCAUCCUCCUUGCCGCAAGAGCAGCAAGAAUCGAAAAUCAAGAUGCAAUUGAUGCAGCAAUUGUUAACAUGCUUGGAGAUCCAAAGGAGGUAGACUCAAAAACUAGAUUCACAGAGUUUCAUUAGUCUCCUUUACAUUUAAGUACCAUGAUACACAAGGAGGAAGAUACUUGCGUUGAACUGAAUCCGGCUUCUGCUACAGGCCCGAGCUAAUAUCAAGGAAGUGCAUUUCCUUCCAUUCAAUCCUGUAGAUAAGCGUACAGCAAUCACAUACAUCGACAUUGAUGGCAAUUGGUACAAAGCCACAAAAGGAGCGCCUGAACAGGUAGCGAUCUCUUUUGGAAAAACCAUAUCUGAAUAUAGCUUGCCAGAAGGCAUUUGAACUUAACGGCUGAAGAAGGAUUUAGAAACUUUAUUCUUGCAGACACAUAUUCCAAAAAAAAAAAAAGUGGAAUAUAGAAUUUGAUUUUAUUAGGAAAUGGAACGGGGCAUAAUAUUUCAGUCAGACUAACACUCUUGUCGUUCCGUGAAACUUCAGAUAUUGAAUUUGUGCCAAGAGAAAAUAAAAAUAGAGAGGAAGGUGAAUACCGUUAUUGACAAGUUUGCUGAGAGGGGAUUACGCUCUCUUGCAGUUGCCUAUCAGGUAAAAUUUUAGCUCAGGUAAAUGAGGUAGAAGCCAUUUAAACUUAAGCAGUGAAUAGAAUUAGACAGAAUUAAACAAACUUUAAAAUUCAAAUGACCUACUUUGUCUGGCAGGGACUGUACGCUAAUGCAUUUCUGAACAUCAUUUCAGGAAGUUCCGGAAAAAUCGAAGGAGAGUCCUGGAGGGCCUUGGGUAUUCUGUGGGCUGCUGCCCUUGUUCGAUCCUCCUAGGCACGACAGCGCUGAAACCAUCCGCAGAGCACUUAAUCUUGGGGUUUGUGUUAAGAUGAUCACAGGUAACAGGGUCUAUCUGUGGUCUGGAUUAUCUCCAGAAUGAAAAUUAAGUGAGAGUCAUAGAAAGAUAAUCAUUGAAAGCCUACGGGUUGUCUAAAAUUUUCUACUUGAGCUACACAUAUGAGCACUUCAUUAUAACUUAUAAUCCUGGCAGAUAUAUUCAAUGAAUGUGAACUCAUCAACGACUGGUGCUGUUUCCUAGAUAUUUCAAAGGGAUACAUAAAGGAUUUUUUGGCUCUUUUCUACUGAAACAGGAGAUCAGUUGGCGAUUGCAAAGGAGACUGGUCGACGGCUUGGCAUGGGUACAAAUAUGUACCCUUCUUCCUCAUUGUUGGGUCGUGAUAGGGAUGAGAAUGAAGCUCUUCCAGUUGAAGAGCUCAUUGAAAAAGCUGAUGGCUUUGCCGGUGUAUUCCCUGGUAAUUAAAUCAGAAGCCGCCCCUGGUAUUGUUGCAUUUUAUGUGCUUCAGAUAGUAUCCUCUUUCUAACUAUUAGAAAAUUUUUUUCUUUAAUCUGUUAUUUAGAUAUGAUGAAACCAAAGACUCGAUUUCAACCACCAAGAGAUUAAAUUUCAAGAAUUGUAUCUUGGAUUGGGUAAAGAAAGGGUGAUUACAUGAGCUAACUAAACUUUUUAUAGCUGCCAAAGCGCAUCCAAAAGAAAGAAUGCUCUUGAUCACUUUACAUUCAUAGGUUCUGGACUUUUGCUGACAGCAACUCUUUCUUUCUGCUGAUCAAUCUCCGAAGUGCGCAGUUCUGAAUUCAGAUCAGUUUAGUUUGCAAUACUUAUUUGGCAUAGAUAGCUUAACCUUUUGCACCAAAAAAAAAAGCUCCAAGGUGUAAUUUUCAGUUGGGUCCUCCAGCUCAAGUAGAUUUACAUGUAUCAACUGAAAAUUUCUGAUAGGAAUACCAUCAGAAAUUAGAAGAAAAUUGGCAGUCUGAUAGUAUUCUCAGGUGCAAAAACUAUAAAAUUCUCAAAAAAUGACAGAAAAUUGUGGCUAUAAACUGAACUGUCGCGUUGAUCAGAAUUUUUUAGUUUUUGUAUCUGAGAAUAAAUGCACAUUGCGGCUAUCCUACGUGAACUUCUAUGUCUGCCUCAUCUAUUUUUUAGAGUUUCGUGUUUAUUUCCAAUUCGCAUAACAUGAUAAUUUUGAAAUCAUCAUUUGUUAGAAACUGUUUCGUUCUUUUAAUGGAACUUAUUUUACUACUGGUUCUGCACGAUACACGUCUGUGGCAGCACUUUCCGACUAUUGUUUUCUGUCUCCACUCUCCACCUUCUUGUGUCCUGAUUCAUUUUUCUGAAAUAUAAUUGUCAGAACACAAGUAUGAGAUUGUUAAAAUACUACAAGAAAAGAAGCAUGUAUGUGGAAUGACUGGAGAUGGUGUAAAUGAUGCACCUGCGCUUAAAAAGGCAGACAUUGGCAUAGCAGUUUCUGAUUCUACGGAUGCUGCUAGGGGCGCUGCUGAUCUUGUCUUGACAGAACCCGGUUUAAGCGUGAUCAUCAGUGCUGUUUUAACUAGCAGGUCUAUAUUCCAAAGAAUGAAGAAUUAUACAGUUAAGUCCCAUUUCCUACAGAAAUGAACCGAUUGUUCAUAGAUUAGUACUGCUCGUCUUUCUCAAUUAGUAAAAGGAAUUUUCAGAUAUAUUGUCUAUUUUAUAUCCAGGCCCAAUGUGAAUGGGCACAGAAGAAUGGGACACUUAAAGACAUCAUUUUGUUGGUGUCACUCACGUCUCAAUGCUAGGGUCUCUGUUUCUUUUCAUCCAUGAAAAUGCUCUCCCUGAACUAAAUGCUAAUCUAUGAUGAUGUAUGCAGAUAUAUGCUGUCUCCAUAACUAUCCGUAUUGUGGUAAGCUUGGCAAUCAAUUAACAACAUCUCAUUUCUUGAACCAUCUGAAUUCAUAUUUACAUUUCCUGUAGUAAAUGACAAAUCUAAGUGACAUUUUAUGUUUUUCUGCAGCUUGGUUUCACGCUUCUAGCAUUGAUAUGGAAAUAUGACUUCCCUCCAUUCAUGGUUCUGAUAAUAGCUAUACUGAAUGACGGUAAUGGCAUAUGAUUUGUUACUUCGCUUUCAAUCAACAGAAAGUUGAAUUUUGUCACUUCCAGUUAGCAUGAAGCAGACAAUGUCUGUCGAUGUUUAGAAUAAGCUGCAAGUUGAAAGAAGAGCACAAAAGUGUAUUUGGCUGUGCUGAUUGUAUAGGAUGAUUUAUUUGAUCGUCUGCAAUGAAUCUUUACCAAAUAUCUGUCUACUUCACUUUACCUUUUAGCAUCUUUUCAUUUAAGAUAUUUUUAAUGUUCCAAGUGCAUGUUCUUGAUUGUACCCUUAGAAGGAACAGUAAUAUGAAAUAGGUUUUUCUUCUUCAAAUGCUAUAGCUGUACAACAACUGAUUCUUUUCAUAUUACUAAUAGGCAUCUGAUUUUGUUCAUUUCCACUUCCAGCCAGAUAAUAGGAAAAGGUUUGGAAGAUUGAAAAGUUCUCCACCAUGGUAAAUUGUAAAUCAUCUGAAAGCUUUUCUUAAGAUCUAACAGUUUACUGCAUGUUGAGGGUAAAUAAUUAGAUCAAUGUGAAUUGUGAAGAAGUUUAUAUUUCCUCGCUGCUUCUUAACCUCAGCUGAUUUAGUCACUCGUAACAGUGGAACACCGCAUUCAAUGGUAAUUUAUGCAGAAUCAUGCCCAAUCAUGUUUUUUUUUUCCCUCCAACAGGUACCAUAAUGACUAUAUCACAGGAUCGGGUGAGACCAUCUCCCAUACCAGAUAGUUGGAAGCUCAAUGAGAUUUUUGCGACUGGCAUUGUCAUUGGAACUUAUCUUGCUAUAGUCACUGUACUAUUUUACUGGACCGUAAUCCGUACCGACUUUUUUGAGGUGCUAAUGCUUUCCCUAUUGUUUUCAGUUGGAUAUUCACGUCUCAGUCACAUGACGUCUCACGUCAUUUGAUUGAGGCUUUGGAAAUGGAAUUAGGAUGAACUGUCCGUAUUAGUUUGGAUUAGGCUUCCGUAUUCAAUGUUGAUCCACACACACUGUCUACCAUUGCAUCAGAACUUCUUAAAUUCUACCUUCGCUUUUUUUGGUUUUUGACCUGCAGACUCACUUCCAUGUGAAGUCUUUAUCCGGCAACACUGAAGAAAUAUCAUCAGCCAUCUACCUACAAGUUAGUAUCAUCAGCCAAGCGCUCAUUUUUGUUACCCGCAGUCAGGGUUGGUCAUUUCUAGAGAGGCCUGGGACUCUAUUGAUGUGUGCAUUUGUGGUGGCUCAACUGGUAAGAAUUACCAAAAUCAGCUUCAGAUUCUGUUUCAUGUUUCUUCACAUAGAAAUUCAUUGCAGUCCCUUUAUUCCUCUCCUUCUAUAGGCUGCUACGCUGAUUUCGGUGUAUGCCCAUAUUAGCUUUGCUUCCAUUAGAGGCAUCGGUUGGCGUUGGGCGGGUGUGAUAUGGUUAUACAGUCUAGUGUUUUAUGUUCCCCUGGACGUGAUCAAAUUCACCGUACGCUAUGCUUUGAGUGGAGAUGCCUGGAAUCUGGUCUUCGACAGGAAGGUUUGUGCAAUUUCUUGUUUCAUGUUAAAUUUAUCAACUUCUCACUUCUUGUGGAUGCAUAUGAAUAGCCAGCUCCUCCUGAUUCGUCCAUUUCUAAAUCAAUUUCUGGGAUGAGCAGACAGCUUUCACAUCUAAGAAGGAUUAUGGAAAGGAAGACAGAGAGGCCAAGUGGGUGGUUUCACAGAGGACAUUGCAUGGCUAUAACUCCGGGGAGUUUGAUUCCAGUGGAAAGAGAUCAUCUUUGAUUGCUGAACAAGCAAGGCGGCGUGCUGAAAUAGCCAGGUGUUUGGACUUUCUCAACAAGCUACUUUUCCCCUUUUUCUCGUAGAUUUUCCUGUCAGAUGAUUUACUAUAAUGGCUUACGAAUCCUCAUCUUUCAAAAUUGCUUCUUAAAGAAGGCUGACACAGACUCCUCAUACUUGCAGACUUGGAGAAUUGCAUACUUUCAGGGGACAUAUGGAAUCAGUUGCAAGGCUUAAAAAUUUGAAUCUCAGCAACAUCCGUUCAUCCCAUACUGUUUGACAUGAAAACCUUGUGAGACAAUCUUUGCUGCGGUGACAGUGAUGCCAAAGUUACUGGAAAUGCAGCUGAUAAAGGGUUAUAGAAUCAUGUUCAAGAUUCCGACCUCAAGGAUACCUUUCUCAUAUUAUUCGUGUUUUUCACAUCUACUUUCUUCCCUUUCUUCUAUAGUUUUGGAAGUAUUUCGUCAUUGUACGCCAUACAUUCUUUCGUAGAAGACAGUGACAUCCAUUUUCACAGAACAACCGACGAGCAAAUAAACAGUUUUUCCAGGCUAAACAGGUGUUUUGCGCAUACCGCUGACAAAAUUUGAGUAAAUUGACUGGAAUCGGAUGCGGUUCCUCUUCCUGGUCCUUUCUAUUAAAUAAGAAUUCAUGUACAAUCUAUUUUUGGUAAACCCCUAUAUAUACUUGAUUGAUUGACCUAAUAUACAGCUAUGGUAACUGAUUUUCUAUUCUAGGUAAGAAAUAUAUACAGAUUUUAGCCAUGAUGUCUGUCAUAAUCUGCCAUAAUCUUUCCCAUAACCUCUGCCGUAUAAUUUGCCAUAAUCUUUCCCAUAAUAUCUGCCACAAUCUUUCCCAUAACCUCUGCCACAAUCUCUGCCAUUGAUACCAUUGAUAUCCCCCCUCAAAUUGAUGUUGGCUGAUCAACAAGCAUCAAUUUAUCAACAAGAAAGUGAUGACGAUUUUUGGAGAGAGCUUUAGUAAACACAUCCGCAAUCUGGAGAUCAGUGGGGAUAUGCGGAAGAGAGAUGACCUGAGCAUCAUAUGAUUCACGAAUAGAGUGACAAUCCACUUCAAUGUGUUUGGUACGCUCGUGAAAUACUAGAUUAGCCGCAAUUUGAAUUGCACUAGUGUUGUCGGCAUGAAGCGGUGUAGACCCUUUUUGAGGAAACCCGAGCUCACCUAACAAUCCACGGAGCCAAACAAUUUCAGAGCAUGGAGAAGACAUAGCACGAUACUCAGACUCCGUAGAAGACUUAGACACCCUGUCUUGCUUCUUGCUUUUCCAGGAAACGAGAGAAGUACCAAGGAACAUGCACCAACCAGUAACUGAACGUCUAGUAUCAGAGCAACCAGUCCAAUCAGCAUUACUAUAUGCAAUCAGGCGAAUAGGAGAGUUUGCUGGAAAGAAAAGACCACGAGAAGAAGUGCCUUUCAAAUAGCGAACAAUGCGGCGAACAGCUGCCAAAUGAAGGUGCCGAGGUGCUUGCAUAAACUGACUAACUUGUUGAACAGCAAAAGAGAUAUCAGGACGAGUAAUAGUCAGGUAGUUUAGACUACCCACCAGCUGUCGAUAUAAAGACGGAUCAGAGAUAAGAUCACUUUCAUCAUGACGAUACUUAACAUUCACUUCCAAAGGGGUAUCAACGGAUCGACCAUCUUGAAGACCAGCCAAAGCAAUUAACUCCCGAAUGUAUUUGUGCUGAGUUAAGAAAAUACCGGUGGAACUAGAAUAUACCUCAAGACCUAAAAAAUACUGUAAAGAACCCAGGUCCUUCAUAUGGAAACAACGUUGAAGAUAGUCUUGAAGUUGAGAAAUCAAUGCAUAAUCAGUCCCGGUAAUAACAAUAUCAUCAACAUAUACAAGAAGUAUGACAAUGCCUUUAGAUGUCUUGCAAAGAAACAAAGAGGAAUCAUACUGGCUUUGGACAAAGGAGAAACCAAGAAGUGUGGAACGAAAUUUAUCAAACCAAGCACGUGGAGCUUGUUUCAAACCAUAGAGUGAUCGUUUCAACUUACAAACAUCACCUGAAGGUGUGGAGAAUAACCCUGGUGGUGGAGUCAUAUAAAUGUCUUCUUUCAGAUCUCCAUGUAAAAAGGCAUUCUUAACGUCCAUCUGUCACAGUGACCAUCCCUUAGAAGCAGCAAUGGCAAGAACAAGUCGUACCGUAGUCAUCUUUGCUACAGGAGCAAAUGUCUCCUCAUAAUUGAUUCAAUAUUCCUGUCGAUUACCAAGGGCCACCAAUCUCGCUUUAUGUCUAUCAAGCGUUCCAUCGGACCGUAGUUUAAUGGAAUAGACCCAUUUACAGCCAAUGGGUUUUACACCAGUAGGACAAGGUACGAUGUCCCAAGUAUGAUUCUCCAAAAGAGCUUGAAGUUCUUCGUCCAUAGCUUUUACCCAACAUGCAUGUUUAGUUGCUUGAGAAUAAGAGGAAUGUACUGCAGUGUCAACUAAAGCGGUAGAGAAACCAUACCUAUCAGGAGGUUUGCUGAUACGGGAAGAUCGUCGCAGAGUCACAGAAUCAUCAGAAGUGGUAGGCAGUGGAGCAGGAUCGGGAAGGAUUUCUACUGAUGGAGGUCGUCGACGUUGAUAGACAAUGCCAGGUCUAAAUCGUUGAAUUGGUGGAGAGAUAUCAUCAAAGCUAGGAAGAACAACAUUGUUGGAAGGAAAAGUGUGCUGCGAAAAAUAGUACUCAUGCUCAAAGAAAAUGACAUGUCGAGAGACACGCAAACGAUUAGCAACAGCAUCAUAACAUAAGAAUCCUUUUUGAGUGGUGCUAUAUCCCAUAAAGGCACACCGAACUGACUGAGCUGCAAGCUUGUGGCGCUCAUGAGGUGGUAGGUGAACAAAACAAACACAACCAAAUGUGUGUAGCAUGUGAUAAUUAGGAUGUACACCAAAAAGACGAUAAUAAGGAGAAUCAAAACCCAAUUGUUGAGAAGGCAAUCGAUUAAUCAAAUACACAGCAGUUGACAAAGCUUCAACCCAAAAUCUAGGGGGUACAGAAGAUUGCAAGAGUAAUGUUCGAACCAUAUCCAACAAAUGGCGGUUUUUGCGUUCAGCCACCCCAUUUUGUUGAGGGGUAUAAGGACAUGAUCUCUGAGAUACAAUCCCUUUGCGUUGCAAGUAGGCUUGGAAGUCAUGUGACACAUAUUCCCCACCAUUAUCAGACCGUAAGAUCUUAAUACAAGUGGAAAAUUGUGUCUCAAUGUAAGCCACAAAGGUUUGAAAAAUAGUAAACACCUCAGCUUUAGUGCGCAGGAAAUAUAUCCAUGUGAACCGACUAUAGUCAUCAAUGAAUGUCACAAAGUAUUUAUACUGCGCAUGUGAAAUGACAGGAGUAAUACCCCAAACAUCACUAUGUAUUAUCUCAAAGCAUGCACUAGCACAACCAACAGAAGUAGGAAAAGGUAACAUCUUACUCUUCCCCAAUUUACACACAGAACAAUCAAGAGAUGAUGCAUGAGCAAAACCUUGAUCUUUAGCACCAAGAAAACCACGCUUUAUUAAAUCAGAUAAAAUGACAUUAUUUGGAUGACCCAAUCGUCUAUGCCAAAUUUCAGCCUUAUUGUCAACAAUCAUAGAGGCUAAAGAUAAAGUUCUAGGAACAGUAAAUUGCAAUGGAAAUAAUCUUCCCACUCUAGGCCCCUUCGCGAUUACCUUCCCCGACAUCUGGUCCUGCACAAGACAACCACCACGAGAGAAAUGUACAUCACAAUGAUUCUCCACUAGCUGUCCAACAGAGAUUAAAUUAGUAGACAACUUAGGAGCAACAAAUACAUGGCGAAAAGAAUGUCCAAUAUCACCAAUAGCUGUAAUUGGAAGAUUACUACCAUUAGCAAUCUGAAUAUUUUGGCAACCAGUAUAUGGCCGCAAAUUUUGUAAAAAAUCAGAUGAACCAGUCAUAUGAUUGGUCGCUCCUGAGUCGAUAAGCCAAGUAGAUGAAGCUGGCUUACCUUGACCUUGAAGUCCAAGGGCAGAAAAUGCAGUAAGAAUCAUCUGUGGGACCAUUUCUGGGGUCAGAACAGUCUGGCUGGUGGUAGAUGUAGGACCAAUAACAGGAGCAUCUGGAACAGUAGCUUGAAAAGCUUGGGCUCGCCUGUUUUCCGGACGUGUAGGACAUUCCUUGAGAAUAUGUCCACUUUGCUUACAGUAACUGCAGAAUUUCUUACCACAAUUGCGAGCAAUAUGGCCAAACUCCUUGCAGCUGUAGCACUGCAUUUGUCCCUUUCCUCUAUUCCUUCCUUGUGCAGCAUAAGCAACAUUGACAACCUCUGAUGUCCCACCAGCUGCACUUAGAAUUGACUGUGUAGCCAAUCUUUGUUCUUCCCGUAACAAUUCACCAACACACACAUCCAAAGAAGGAACUGGAUUUCGAUUCAGCAAUCCACCCCGAGCAGUCUCAAAUUCUGGUCUCAGUUUCAUCAAAAACUGAUCACGCAUGCUAACUUGAUGAACUUUUUGAAAGCUUGCUAAGGCCUCCUUAGGUAUCUCAAAGUAGAUGAUAUCAGAAUAUUCACCCCACAGAUUUAGAAAUGCAGAAUAAUAUUGCUCAAUAGAGAGAUUACCUUGACUGAACUUACUGAUAUCAAGUUCAAGCUGAAAUCGUCUUGCAGUGUUGUGUUGAUGAUAUAUGCGUUUCAGAAAAUUUCAUAUCUCCUUUGCAGUAUUAAAUGAACGUAAGCUGUUCACCAUAUGAGGUUCAAUGGAUGCUAAAAUCCAUGAAAUAAUUCGUGAAUCAUUUGAUUCCCAUUGACUUAUUUCUUUCUCAGUUCCAGAAGCAGUAGAAGACCCAUCAAUGUGACCCCAAAGCUCCUUCCCUUUCAGAAACAUUCUGAACUGAAAUUCCCAUGUUGCAUAAUUCUUCCCUGUAAGUCUGAUACCCAAAGUCUCUGCAGAUUGUCUUCCAAAAGAAUUCUCAGCAGCCAUUCUUAACAAAACUCAAAUGCAAAUCCGAAAUCACAGAUUGAUAAACUAAGAAAUAUCAAAACCAGAAUGUUGAUUAGAAAUCAACCCAAAAAGCUAUAGAAAAAAAAUACUCAAAAUAUCUUAUAGAUUCAAAAGGUAGGCUGUGAUACCAUGACAAAAUUUGAGUAAAUUGACUGGAAUCGGAUGCGGUUCCUCUUCCUGGUCCUUUCUAUUAAAUAAGAAUUCAUGUACAAUCUAUUUUUGGUAAACCCCUAUAUAUACUUGAUUGAUUGACCUAAUAUACAGCUAUGGUAACUGAUUUUCUAUUCUAGGUAAGAAAUAUAUACAGAUUUUAGCCAUAAUGUCUGUCAUAAUCUGCCAUAAUAUUUCCCAUAACCUCUGCCAUAUAAUCUGCCAUAAUCUUUCCCAUAAUAUCUGCCACAAUCUUUCCCAUAACCUCUGCCACAAUCUCUGCCAUUGAUACCAUUGAUAACCGCUUGGCGCCCCAGAACCAAACAGCAUUGCUGCAAUGGCAACUCAUCAGAAAUCCGAUUUGCCAGCCAGCAUAAUGCAACUUUUUGGCAAGCAGGAACAACUCAGCAGAGUCGUGUUCCAUGUAAGCAAGCAAAACCUCUUUAUCAUCUUGCAGCAGCUAUGGUAGCUUCUCUUAGACUUAUGUUUUGGAAACAGGCUGCGGUGUAUGAGCGUCUUACAUAAUUUGACUUGUUUGGAUUGUAAGUUAUUUGGGAUUAUUUGAGAUAUUUUUACUGUAGCACUUUUUAUGAUGUGAUGUAUGUGAGAUAAAAAGGUAAUUGGGAAGAUAAAAAGGUGUAUUGGAAAUUGUAAUGAUGAUGUAAGCAAAUAAAACUGGGUAAAUAAUGCUCAAUCCAAACAAACCUUUAACACACGGUGCGUAAAUCCUGUUUCACACAAAUUAAUUGUAGCAUUACAAUAUGUUGGGCUAUUUGAAUUUUACAGGCAAGCAGGGUAACGAAAGUGAGAAAUUAUGGCUAUAAAAGAAAAACUCGAUUCAGACACCAUAAGAUGAUCUGGAAUACAAGUCAAAAACCGCAACAUCAAGCAACAACUCGAUGGCAAUACAAAACUGACAUAUCCUCAACUGAUAAACAGUCAAAGGAAGCAUUUGAUUACUUGUCAAGUUUCCAUUUUCUUGAUGACUGCAUUAUUACUUAUUUAAAACUUUGACAAAUAAUUGGAAUAACAGCCUUCUAUAAGGACGACAUCUGGAUUCUCUCCCUUCCGAGUCUUACAGAGUUAACAUAGUCCAGUGGGCUGUGAGCGGAAAUGCCAGGGAUGACAAGUCCGACAACCCUGGCCAGUGUGGAUACCCAACCUUCCUUGUACUCUGGCCCAUAUGCAUAACCCGCCAGAAAGCUUCUAGUUAGCUCCCACAUAGCGUUCAAAUACUCUGGAAUCAGAAAUCUGAUCCCAAAGUAGUUCCUGUUUGGCUCCUCAUCUACUUUCUUCGAUGACAAACAGAAGUGAAAGAUCAUCAGCCAUAAAAAUAACAGGAAAUCAACUUUUGUUAUUUCUGAAGUAAGUUUCUUCCACAGGUUUGAUCAUUUUAAAGAUAGGGUAUGGAGUGAAACAAAACCGCAAAGUUUUUAGCAAAACUUUGGGAACGUAAUAUGUUCUUUUAACUGUUCGGUAUGCAUUCUUAGCAGACAAUGAUACUCUUCUGAUUAGUUUCACAUCUUAUCAUCCAGACCUUGCAUGUUUAAGACAAAAAUGGCAGCGGCAAAGUGAAUGGAAAAAAACCCAUGUGAAAAGAGUCUGUAGCUCAGUGCUGGAGAUAUUACCUCGUAAGAUACAACUUUAUAACCAGUGCUACCAAACCAUAGGUAGACUAUACACCAAUCUAGGAUGUGAACACAAGAAAAAUAGAAUAAGAAUCUUACUUGUUCGAUGUAGAGGCUGUUGUAAUACAGGCACGCUCCAAAAUGCUUGUACAGGAAGGUUUUGUUAUCAUAUGGCAAUCUUGGAACAAGGUCAUUACAGUAGACCACCCUGAAGUAUUUGGGGACUGGAUGAUCCAGAUGUGCUUCCAUGAACCUUCCCAAUUGCCUGUUCCCCACCCUGGGCUGUCCAUAUGUGUACACAGACAGCAACCUUUGCAAGACCUCCUCUUCCUUAUGCAGCACUAGAACAACUGGGAAUAGUAUAGCCAGGGCCCCUCCUAGGCUAUGCCCAGUGACAACAAAUUUUGCAUUUUUAUGCUCUUGAAGUAAGUCCUUAAGCUUGCUUCUCACAGCAUAGUAAGCAGUCUUCUCUCCCAUUUGAGGAAAGAAUUUCUCCUUGCUUACCUUUGCGGGCUGCUCAGAAUAAAAGGACUGUUCUGAUCCACCUUGCGAAUCAGAAUCACCAAAUGACGAAGAUAAUUCAGAAGCAGAGGUUCUCACAUCAAUACCGUUCAUGUUGGUAGAUUUUUUGUUCAUUAUUCCUAGAUUUUCUUGAAAUGUAGAUGCAUUAACUCUGUUUCCCAAACCUAAAGCCUCUAAGAACCCCAUGUGUACCUUUCCAAGUUUGGGGAUCUCAUACCAGGAAUAGUCAAAAUCAGUACUCCAAUCAUCAGCAUCAAAUGGCUCUGUUCCCCGGAAGCUGACUAAUAUCAAGUUUGCAUCUUUUGGUUUAUCACAUAGAAUGAAAACUUGAGUGGAGUUAUCCUUCUGGAAAUCUAUCAAUAGAGAUAAAAUUCCAUAUUAACAAAAUGUAAGAAACAAAAAUACAUGUUAGGGAUUUAAAAUUCCCCAGAGAAGAGUGAAGCACAACGGAGGACACAGGUUUACGCAUUGUAGUCUGAGGAUUCUCGAAAGACUCUUUCUUUUUCAAUUUUUGCCUAAUAUUUUUUCCUCCAAUGAGCACGGAGGGAAAUUGGUUAAUUAUCACUAAUACUGUUUGAUGUACAUGCCACAUGAGUAGCAAGUCGAGUCUCACCAUUCCAGCAGUUAUAGAAGUCCACGAAGUGCAUCUGCUCUUCCAAAACAAAAGAAAUUAAUCACCAUUUAAAGAAUGUCUAACUAUCUGUGAACUGAAAAGGAGGACAUGGCAUACAAGUAAAGGGGCUUACCUUCCAAUGAAGAUUUACAACAUUCCUGACAACCAACUCAUUCUCGUAGGCUAACUUGGAAGCCAUAAUGCAUAGAUCCAUAAGAGUCCUGCUUCCUGUCUCUACUUCAACAACUCUUUCCAGGGAUUCAGGUUCACCAACUGCUCUAGUAAUUGUCUCGCUCUUGUGCAGAUAUAUGCGUCCAUCAAGAUGCCCAAUUGCACUAAUGAAAGUCUCAGAGCCUCUAUUUGGCAGCACUAUCUUUCCUAUUUUGUCAUCGGCAUUGAUUAGUGAAGAACACAGCUGAACAGAUAAUAGCAGCACUUCUUGCAAUAGCAACAUAGGUAGUUCAAAAUUUAGUAACGGUUCCCUUUGACUGAAACGAAAGACCAAGACAAGCAUACAUAUCAGAACCGAACACCAAAUUCACACAGCCACCUGCUCGAAGGGAAAUUGCAAAAAAAAAAAAGAAUAUAGAAUAAACUACGAACUCUUUUCAAAUCCCCUAAACAAUUCUUAAAUCUUUAGAAGCAGAAUCGCAAACUGAAAAGGGCAUUAUCAUUUAUUGAAUUGAAUACAUAUAGGGCCAAUAACAUUGUUUUGUAAGAGUGCAAAAAGCAUAUUGUCUGACAACAUGCCGAGAUUCAGACAGUAACGCGUACAUGCAAGAGAUGACAGUCAGUGCUUGUGUAUGCAUUCAUGUUAUUUCAAGAUAAGGCUACAUUAGAAAUUUUCUGAUUGAAUCCUGUUUGAUCAUUUAGUCCAAUAGGAUUUAUUUCAAAAUGAGUGUAGAUGAGUGCAACUCCAAUCAUGUAGGUCCGUCAAAUUGCAAAGGAUAAACGCAAUCUUUGGGAAGAAAUUAAGGACUUCACCGUGCAGGAUGUUGUAUAGCAAACCGAGAAAGCUGCCAUUGACAGUGAAAAAGUUGAGGAAGAACUCCACGAGAUAACCAGUCCAUUCCAUGGGUUUCCUGAAAAUGCCUAUGAUUUUUCUGACUAAGAUAGACACAAAUAUAACCCAUCUGUGAUCAGGGGUUUCUCCGUCGUCAUCAUCGCCAUGCGCAGCGCCACCUAACUCUUCCUCAAGAACCCCUUCAUCAGAACUUUCCAGAAAUUUUGCACCGCUCGCUUUAUCUUUCUUCAUGAAGAACCGUGCUAGGUCUGGGAAUCCACCGUUGUGAGGAUUAACAAUCAAGUACCUGAAAUUUCCAGAAUUGGGCUUGUUGCUGUCAUCUUCGCUAUUAGCCAUUGGAGGCUUCGACGAGGUACAGCUAAAGAGAAGCUUCGGCUGCUAAGUUAGGAGCAGUAACAAGAGGGAUACUCCAAGUCCAGGAAGCGAAAGCCGAGUAAACUGGGGAAUAGACAGAUGAAUUAAAUGCCGAUCGAUAUGUGUGCCUGUCGGUCCCAGAUAAGGCAGGGGCGGUCGCGUGUACUAGGUAGGUAUAGCUGAUAAAAGAGUGCAAAUAAAUAGUACGCGGUGCGGCGGUUAAGUUAAGGUCGGAACCUUGGAGGUAACAGGUCAACGAACGUUAGGAUGAUCAGAAAACGAACGUUGUGGCUGCCCGAUGACAACAAAGAUGAUAUCAUGAUGCUGCUUUUGUUCAAUCUUCAAAACGACAUCCUCCCGGUCCGUCCUAGGCAGGCUAAUCUCAUCCCAUCCAUAUCCGGGUAGGAAUUUCUUGGGAUUCUGGGCAACAAUGAAUAAAAGAUGGCGGGCUACCCAUAACGAGUAAAGCAAAUGUACCUUGCCUUGCUGAUGACCCAUACAUAAUGGCAGCAGCCAAUGUACACAAGCGUUCAAUCUGCAUUUGCGUCAGCAAGUGCAGUUAGUGCCAUGCCAUGCCAUGCUCGUUUGUAAUCAAUUAUUACUAGUGAGUUACUCAACAGUUAUCACCGCCAAGUUUGCUUUUACUAAUACCUUAAGGAGAUCCUUUUUUGAAAAAAAAAAUAAAAAUUUCUUCUUAAGGAGAUCUAUUCAUUUCAGGAGAAUACAAAAUUUUUGGGUUAGAGGAAUGUGGAGGCCAAUUGUGGAUUUGUCCACCUCGACAACCCCUCACCUCGGCAACCGUCUUGGGGAGCAGGACGCCUGGACUCCCUGGUGGUCAAGAGGGUGUUGGGAUGGUACCGGGAGGGGCCUCCCCAGGAUUCGAACCCUUGACCUUAAAGGUCUUUGGAUUGAAUGCCUGGUACCCAUUGGACUACUGUACCAUCCCAACACAGCCCAAUGGGUACCAGGCAUUCAAUCCAAAGACCUUUAAGGUCAAGGGUUCGAAUCCUGGGAAGGUCCUCCCGGUACCAUCCCAACACCCUCUUGACCACCAGGGAGUCCAGGCGUCCUGCUCCCCAAGACGGUUGCCGAGAUGAGGGAUUGGCGAGGUGGACAAAUCCACAAUUGGCCUCCACAAGGAACAUGUUAUAAUGUCCAAUCUAUGUUCACUUAAUAAUCAUAGGAUAUGAAUGCUGUUUGCUGGAUUCACUUAUGCUAAGUACUUUCGGUUGAAUGAGGGUGCUCACAGAUGUUGUAAAGAUUAACACGUACUAGCAUCUAGAAUAAAAAACUUUCUUCUGAUUUCUAGACGGUAUGACGAAUGUUUGUUUGUAGACGAUAAUCCAUGACUGUUCUGCUCUCCAUUGCUUUUUUGGGUUAUGGAUGGAUGGAUCCAAACAACAAACGGAAUUGAAAUCCAUAACCAAAUAACGAACGGAAACUGAAGCGAAGUGACGAUUAUGGCCCAUUCCAUAUCAAAUUUGAAGACAAACAUAAAUAACCUCCUUCUUCUUUUUGUAGUUCAUUCCGCAUAAUAGGAACCCGAACAUGGGAGUCAUGACGUGACGAAAUCGAAGAAGAAAAGGGGGAAUUUAUAACCCAAACAAGCAACAAUAAUAAAAGUCUAUUGAUUGAUUGAUUUGCCUUGAAAAAAAAAACUCUAUUGAUUUAGUAUUUAAUUGAUCGUCCAUUAAUGUGAUUUUGAAAGUGAAGGAAAACGGAAGGUCAUGACGUGUCCCCGUGUAAUGUACACAAAAUGCCAUAGUCCCCCCCACCCACCAAUGCCAUAACCUCCUUGGUCCUCAGGCUCAGCAAGCACCAAUCACCACCACCGCCCAACCACCCAAAGACACACACACACUACUAACUGGUCUCUCUCUCUCUCUCUCUCUCUGCGUUUUGGUCCUUUGCAUCACCAUCACAAAAAUUGUUCACUUUUUCUACAACCAGCCGCAGCAGGGAGGACUAGGAGGAUGGGAUAAAUCUAAACUCGGGACCUGUAUUUGUAAUUAUCAGUUAAAUAUGAAUCAUACUUCUUUCUUUUUUUUUUUUUAAUCAUGUGUUACUUUACAGCUCCCGUUAUCCGGUUGAGCCGUGGAAAAUUCCUUUUGCUUCUCCUAUAUGCUGCUAGUAGUCCGUACUACAGAGUCGGGAAACUGCUUUCAUUUCCAUUUGUUUGGAUACGUCAAUCAAUGAGCUUUUCUGCUACUCAUAGUUACUUAAAAAUUUUAUAUUGCUACUAUUAACUACGCACAUUUAAUACUGAGAUAAGGGACAUACUCCCUCCCUUUUUUUAUAACUGACGUUUAAGGUUUUGCACACCAAUUAAGAAAAGUUUUUCAUUGUUUAAAUCUAUACACUACUUUCCUUUUGUACCCUCAUUAAUUGUCCAAUUCACCCAUGUUUUCUCUUACUAGAGUACUAAAUGGUGCUGUUUUACUAGACCAAAAGCAAUGCAAACUAACUCCCACCAAACUAGGAGUAGUAAUUAAGAACCCUGUAUUGGAAAAGAGAGAUAAAAGGGUAAAAUUGUGAAAAAAUAAUUAAUGCUGCAUGGGGAUAAUACAACGACAGGUAAAAGUACUUAAAAGCAAAAUUCUUAAACGUCAGUUAUAAAAAAAGGGAGGGAGUAACUUAUAAGCCGCAUCCCCUCCCUCUCCUCUGUCUCUUCUCUGUGUGUGUGUGUGGUAGUAUACACUACAGCAGCACGAGUAUAAUUUAAUGUUGAAGGUUAGAUUAGAUGGUAAUCAUCAGCUGCUGAGGAGUUUUGGGCUUUGGGCCUAUCCUCUUCAUUGUCUCAAACAAAAUAACGCAAUGAAUGGAGUGCGUGUAUUAUAUAUAAUGUAUGUACAUAUAAAUAGGUAUUAGUACAAAAACUGACGAGGUCUUUUGUUCGAGAUGGAAGAAACCAUUAUUAUUACUUAAAGAAAGCGAAAUUAGUACAUACCUAAUUUUGUUCAUAUUCUUCAAGCCAAAUUUAUAGAGUAGCAUAUAUAUAUAUAUAUAUUUAUAUAUAUAUAGCUGUUAGUGGCGUCAGCGUUUUGGACCUUUGGUUUGUUUCCUAGCUUAGCACCUUGGAAACAAAAGCAAUAGUACAGUUUUUGUCGCAUUAUUCAGGUAAAAGUUUGGUCGCAUGGAAUCCUUUCGACCCAAAGUCAAAUACAAAUACUCCCUAUCAAUGUCGCUUAAUUGUUUGCUUAAUUUGAAAAUGAAGAAAUGUCUUGAUACCAUUUUUUUUUACCACACAAACCGAAAAAAAAAAAAAAGGUGGUUGUCUUGUCAUCAACUCGUGAUGAUUGAGUUAGAGAACCUGAUCCCUCUCUCUCUCUCUCCCUUUUUUUUUGGGGUGUUCGGUUUCCCAAUAUUACGUCAAAUCUCUUCUAGGACCCAAGUGUGCUUGAAAAAGACAGUUAAAUACGAAGCACUAUAAAAAUAGCAAAUGCUUUCAUUUAAGAAGAAAUAUAAUAUUAUGAUUGAUUGAUGGUAUAUGAGUAGUAAUUAGAGAAGAGUAAACACACCAGCGCUGUAUAAAAGUGGUCCAACAACUCUAAAUCAGCCCUCGCCCCAAACACACACACAUAUAUAUAUAUAUAUAAAGAGAGUAAAGGAAAAGACUAAAACUAAAGCGAAUAACAAGCAAAAUACGUUGGUAAAAGAAAGGAGGAAUGCUGUACGAGUGCUGGAUGCCGGAAACUUGUCGUCCAUCGGAAGUUGGGACUCGAGAGCAACAAUUGAUGAAUUGAGUUUAACCAGUUGGAUUCCAGUUGCAUGCCUCCCCUUUAUCAACGUCUCCUUUUUAUUCUACCCUUCAUCAUCAUUACAACAAUUCACUAGCAUUACUACUCUCUUUUCUUCAAUCUUGUCAACGUUAAUGAUAACUGAUCUCACAUGACCAACCACCAAGACUGAUGGAGUGUUUGGAUCUCAAAUAAUAUUUCGCUUGUAUCGUAAACACAUUUUCUAACCCAUCUUUUUAUAUUCUCAAUCAACUUUUUAUAUCUCAUACAUCACAUCACAAAAAGUGCUACAGUAAUUAUUUCAAAUAAUAUCCUAUCCAAACAAACCAGCCCCGUUCAAAUUUUGUCUAAUCAUGUAAAUUAGUACAUAGAUUGAUAUAAUUUUGAUAUCAUCGUGAGUAGGGGUGGCAAUUCGGGUCCAAUCAGGUUGGCGGGUCGGGUCAAGCCAAAAAAUCUGUUGACCCGAACCCGAAAAAUUUGGGUUGGCGGGUCGAUCCGAAAUGACCCGAAAAUUAAUUUUAAUUUAUUAAUUUAUCACUGUAAAUUCUAAUAAAAUCAAUUUCUCACAAAAUUAAUUACACCAUCAAAUAAUAAAAAUUUAAAUUAAUAAUUUCAAAUCAAAUCCAAAAUAAAUUAAACACUGUAAAAGUGUUUUAUUCCAAACCAAAUAUAAAAUAAAUUAAAACGAAUUAUAUUAUUUGUCCAAAUAUAAUAAUUUUAACUUCAUACAAGGUAAAUAAAUUCAUUUAGGAUUAAGUAAUUAAUACCUUUGAGAAAAAAGAAUGAUUUAGUUUAGUUAGAUAAAAUAAUUUAAAUAAUUUAAAUGUUUAUUAAAUUAUUUUUAAUUUGUAAACGGGUCAUAUCGGGUCAUAUCAGGUCACCACGGGUUGACCCGAAAUUGACCUGUUUUCUUUUCGGGUUCAUCGGGUUCGACCCGAUUCUGACCCGAACCCCCAAAACUUCAACCCAAACCCAUUAAUUUCGUGUUAGGUUCGUAUCGUGUUUUCAAGUCGUGUCAGAAAUUGCCACCCCUAAUCAUGAGCUUUGCAUACAAAUUUAUAUACUUUUUUAUCGAACAUGAUUGAACAAAAUUGAAACUGAGGAGGUCUCGUUUUCCGACUGAUUGAUAUAAUUAGUACAAGUUAAUACCAUAACUUUGAUAUCAUCGCGAGUUUUACAUUAAUUCAAAACAAAUUUGCGUUUUCAUAUCAAAAUUAUAUACUUUUAUAUUGAUGAAUGUUAAAACCUAUUACAUAACCGAACAGACUGAGGAGGUCCAUUUCCGAUUGAGAGACAUAGAGAGUCAGGUUUGGUAAAUCGGACCACCACUUUAUGGGAGCCAUUCUCGCUUUGGUUUGUGAACGCUACGGCUGGUUGGUGGUUUGGUGACUUUGGUCCCUUCAGCCUUAAGUCCAAGCUACAAGCUGGUAGUAGCUAUCAAAGCCAUUGCCUUACGCCGGAGAAAUCUCCACACAUCUAUUAAGUUCAAUCGAAGACUUUUUUUAAUUAUUACUUACUAUGUUAAAAAACUCUCAUCAUGAUCUAAAAGCCAUAGACAGAAAAAGAAGGAAAGAGAUAAAGGCACCUAAUUUCGUCCACAAGGAAAUUUAUUGUGCUGGUUAGCUCUUAAUAGUUGAUACUCGAAUAAGAACUGGUCACAUCCCCAUUAUUAAGUACACUUGACAGCAGCUUUACUCCUUUCCUUUGGUAGAUCACAGUGAAAACGUGGACUGUUUAGAAGAGAAGACAAUUGAUUUGAUGAAAUUACCAAAACCGAGGGAUAGAAAGAAGAGCAGUCAUCAUGGGCCUGCCUGAGGUCUGCUUUAAUUUUUCACCAGGCAGAAAGUCAGAAGAAGAGCGUCUUAGAUCGUGUCACAGUAACAACGGAGGUUGGUGCAAGUGAAAUGGGCUUGCAUCCCUUAAUUAUGAGAUUUUCGGAUUCAAAAUUCAUGAAAAUAAAAAAAAGAGAGCUUCCCUUCACAGAGGAUUCGAUAUCGCUUGAACAGAAUUAAUCAUAAACAGUAAAAUGGAUAGGGACACCUUGGGUUACAUCUAAAAAAAAAAAGAAAAGAAAGAUCGUGUAACAGUAAGAAAAUAAAAUGAUGGUAUCCAAGAAAGCAAUCAUGCCGGUGAAAGCUACAUCUCCAAGAUUUUCCCUUUGAUUCAGUCAAUAAAUUUCACCUGUGACAAUAUACUCUCUAUUAUUGUCAUUAUUCCGAUCUACACUCUACAGUUCUCAGUCCACGGGCCUCCUAAUAAUUGAAUCAUACCAUCAAAAGUAUGCUACUUUAAUCAAAUUUAAUCAAUCUGUCUCGUCUCCCUUCAAACCGCGUCUUUAUCUAUUUAUCCCUCCUCUUCUUACUACGACUACAGAUACAUUUUAGGAAAAGAUUUAUACCCAAUUUUUUAUUUUUUUGUAUUUAUGAAUUAAUGAAUCAUUACUAGCAGUACUCUUCUUCUACUCCUACUUCCCCUGCAUAUUUCCAUUUUCCUAGUAGUACACUACUAUUAUACUACUACGUAUUAUAGAAACAAUUCUUUACUCUGACAAAGGAAAGUUAACGAGAAAGAAUUCUGUGGCUUUGGAUCCUUGUGGCAGAUCGUGGCUGCCAGCUUUACUUGGAAUGGGAACAGAAAAAGUAUAAACGCUACCCUGUUUUAAGCUAAAUAUAUAAAUUAUUCAUCCUGGGAUACCAGCACCUGUAUUGCUAAAAUUUCUUGCAGGAUUACACAUAAAAUAAAUUAUUCUGAAAAAGAGGUCCCAUAAAGCCUUUUCGGUCCUAAGCUGGAGGUGGCUCUUGGGUUCUGGUGAGGAUUGAGAGAAAAGGGAAAAAGAGAUGAGGGAGGUGGAGCUAGCUGCGGCGGUCGCGCUACUGGGCUGCAUUCUGCUGUUGGGGCCAAGCUUCACCAAUGCCGACACAGAUCCAAAUGAUGGUCACUAUUCUUUUCUUGCUUUCCCCCUGUCUUUGCAUGUCUGUAUAUUUCUAAAAAUCUUAUCUUUUUUCAUUUUCUGUGGUUUCAAGUGAAUAUCUGCAUUUCUUUGUAUCUUUGCUUGGUUUUAUGGGUUUAUGCUUCUUCGUGUAGUUAAAAGUAGGAAUUGCUCAUGGGUUUUUUCAGUUUCUCAAGAUGGAAAUGGGAUUUGGAGAUGCAAGGAUGAGUAUAAAUGAAUUUUUUAAAUCUUUUUUUUUAUUAUAAACAUUUUCAACCAUUUACAAAUAUCUUUGUUGAACAUCUUUCAUUCUUCUUUAUCUUGGAAUUUCUUUUCGGCUCUGUCCUGAUUUUUUUUUUGUUUCUCAGUUCACUCCCGUGGUGGAAGCUGACUUUUUUACACAAUUUAAGGAUACUUUGCAUAUUUUAUGAAUAUUUACCUGAAUAAGUCAAUGUGAGGGUGCAUUACCUGUGAUGGACUUGAUGAUCUAUCUGAUGGGUGGGUGAUCAGUGGAACAUUACCAAAUCAAAGCGAAUUCAUUAUUGGGUGAUACAUUUUGUGUCUUGUAUAUUUCUCUUCCAAUGCAUCGAGUAAUCAAAGCUAUUACAGGUUGGUUCCAGUUCUCAUGUUUGAAAACUUAGUUGAAGAAAUCUUUGUUUGCGCUUCGUCAAUUUUUUGCCUUGUGGGGUUGUGAGGGAUCUUUAGAUAGGCAAGUAUUAGGCACUUAGAGAUGCGGGGUUAGAAUCAAGUAGUCUGCUGCAUAAUAAAGCAAAUAUGUAAUUUUGCUGCAGUGACACUUGGAAACCAAUCCUUGAGGAAAUGCAUGUUCAGCCAGUUCAGUUAAGAAGGCAUGUGGAAUUCCACUUGUUUGGUUGUGUUGUAAAGUGUGUUCAAGUGUAGUGUUUGUUGUCAUAGUUAUGGAAAUACAUUCUUGGUGUACAUGCUACUAAUGAUUUUUUUUAUUAUCGAUACUCCGAAGCCAAUAGUAAAAUUUAUUCUCAAAAUUUUGGACAUACAGCUGGUGUUCUUUACGACCUAUACAAGAGUUUGAAUUCUCCAUCCCAACUGACCAAAUGGAACCCAAAUGGUGGUGAUCCUUGUAUAGAAAACUGGAAAGGCAUUACUUGCUCUGGCUCAAGAGUCACAGAAAUGUAAUUUUUAACUCUGAAACUUGCUUUCUCAUGAUCAUUGUCUCAUACUUGUCACUCAUAACUCUAACUUUAGGAUCCUAUUUACAUUUUCAGAAAAUUAUCAGGUCUUGGGUUAACUGGGUCAAUGGGUUUCGAGCUGGACAAGUUGAAAUCUGUAACCAACUUGUGAGUCCAAUGAUCUUUUACAUUAUCUUCAUUUAUCUUAUUUUUACUUUUUGUGGCUUUUUGAUCAAUGUGGUGUUUCGAUUUGUUUCUGCAGUGAUAUAAGCAAUAAUAACCUUGGCAACCAGUUACCUUUCCAACUUCCGCAAAAUGUGCAGCAACUGUAUGUUAAACAUCUGUUUUUGGCCAUUUCUAUUUGUCCCAGUCUUUUCUUUUCUGUCUUUUUCUCGUGAUUCAUCUUUAACUGUACAGAAAUCUAGCUGGUAAUGGAUUCAAUGGUGGCCUUCCCUACUCCGUCUCGCAGAUGACCUCUCUUAAGUACCUGUAGGUUAAACAAAUGCUUGUGAAUAGUUUUCCUGAUCAACUAAGAGUUUGACCUCAAAGUUUUCAUGAAUCUUUUCUUCUUCUUAUAUUUGUAGAAAUGUCAGUCACAACCAAUUUCAGGGCCAGCUAGGUGAUAUGUUUGCAUCUCUUACUAGCCUCUCCACUCUGUAAGACAUGCCUCCUUACCCCCUUCAAGUUCUAAAAAAUCUUGUACAUGUGACUUGGUUGAGAUUGAUUCGGACUUCUAACCUAAUUUUCCUGCUGCUUCACUUUUAUCCUGAAAUGAUAUGUUUCUCAUAGAAGCGUAAGCAAUUUACCUCAAUUCCAGUAAUUUUUUUCAACUCUUCUCAAUAGCCUUACUCUAAUCAUUUGAAUAUCCUGUUUACAUCUUAAAUUGAUAAUUGAAAUGAAAUACAUUAGUGUUCUCGCUGGGUUCUAAUUAUCUGUUACAUUCUUCAGGGACUUCUCUUUUAAUGUAAUGUCAGGUGACCUUCCUAAAAGUUUCAGUUCAUGCACCAGUAUGACUGAUAUGUAAGUGCAUUAUCUUGACCUCUUGCAAUAGCAACGAAGGAAGUCUUAAAAUACUAAUGAUUACUUAUUGUCAUGCAGGAAUUUGCAGAACAAUCAGUUUACGGGCACUAUUGAUGUCCUUGCAAAUCUUCCUCUUGAUAAUUUGUAAGUUAGUACUUUUGAUAGCUCAGUAAUAGAAUAAUCUUGUUGGUUUUUAAGGGGAAGUCAUUGCGCUGGUUCACAUUUUAUGCUGUCAGGAAUGUCGAGAACAACCAUUUCAGUGGUUGGAUCCCUGAUCAGUUGAAAGACAUAAAUCUGCAGUAAGCACCUCAUAGUAUUAAUCAUUAUUUGCACUUUAAAUCAUCUAGAUACGACGUUUUGUAGAUCUAUAUUAAGAUCUUCUAUUCUCUAACAGAACUGGCGGUAAUUCAUGGACCUCGGGUCCUGCACCUCCUCCUCCACCUGGCACACCUCCUGCUAGCAGACCUAACAAAAAUCACAAGUCUGGAGGCAAUAGCAAGUCUGAUGGUGGUAGUAGUGGGAGUAACUCUGGCAUAAGUGGUGGAGCUGUUGCAGGAAUUGUUAUUUCCAUUUUAGUUGUGGGAGCCAUUGUAGCUUUCUUUAUUGUGAAACGAAGAUCAAGGAGGCCAUCCAAAGAUAUAGAGAAGCUUGACAAUCAACCUUUUGAUCCACUUGUUUCGCAUGAAGUACAAGGUGCUUAACCUUCAUGCUUUGCCUUGAUAUACUAAUGGUUACUAGCCAUAUCCAGUAGGGUGGGAUUUACUUCCUGAGGUUUUGAAUUUUAUCAUAUGAUGCAUGCACUACUCGGCAUGAAAGUAUUAUUCUAUUUGACCAUUGUUAGAUAGUUGCCUGUCUCAUGUUUUAAUCUAAUAUUGAAUAUUUACCUAGAAGAAAAUACUGUUAGAAGAAUGUUGGUUUUGUUCUUCGUUUGCAAUGGCCUGCACAAUUACUUGGUUUUUUGUGAUAAUUCUUCUGCAGAGAUGAAGUCUAUUCAACCUUCUUCCACAACUAGCACCAUAUCAUUUGAAACUCCUACAUCAAUAAAUCUCAAACCUCCACCUGUUGACCGCAACAAAUCAUUCGAUGAGGAUGAUACCUCAAUGAAACCCAUUAUCCCUCCUAAAAAAGCCGUUACAACUCCAAUAGAGGCAAAACAAUAUUCAGUGGCUGACCUACAGAUGGCUACAGAUAGUUUCAGUGUCGAAAACCUAAUUGGUGAGGGAUCCAUUGGACGUGUCUAUCGAGCUGAAUUUGAUGAUGGCAAGGUAUUCAAGUUUUAUGGCUGAUUAUUUAUUUCCUUUUCAUUUCAGGGUUUAGGAACCUAGUUUUUAAGAGCCAUUUUGAGAAUAGUAUGUAAUAUGAAUUCACAAUUAUGCAGAUUUUGGCUCAAUUUUUUCCUGUUUCCCAUGGACAUUACAAAUGUUUAUCUAUGAAUUCAUGAGAUGUUUAAAAUUUUCAUGACAUGUUCAAUUUUGUCAAUCCUAUGAUUUGAUGCUCGUGAAGAGUCCCUUGUUGAUAUAAUGACUUCUGGUCUUUUCAAAUCUUUGUUUAACCUGAAGGUUCUAGCUGUGAAAAAGAUAAAAUCGUCUGUACUUCCCCAUGCUGAAGAUUUCCUGGAAAUAGUUGCUGAGAUAUCACGCCUCCACCAUCCAAAUGUGACUGAGUUGGUGGGAUACUGUUCAGAGCAUGGACAGCACCUGCUAGUUUAUGAGUUCCAUAAAAACGGUUCGCUGAAUGAGCUCUUGCAUCUAUCUGAUGAAUAUAGCAAACCGCUAACAUGGAAUAGCCGGGUCAAGAUUGCACUGGGGACUGCGCGUGCACUAGAGUUAAGUCUGGUAUUUAAUUUGAUUGAUAUUUCUUUUGAACAACCUGGUAGAUGAUAUCAUUUGGGGAUAUGGCAGUUUUUUACUUUGUUUCCUGAAUUUCUGGAUUAUUACUGCCUGCACUGGAGGCUGAAUGCUUUCACACUUUUAUUUUCAAUAUGGUACUUCAGUCCUUGUUGUCUAGUCAAAAGAAAAUGACUGUCUUUUAAAUUCAAUCAAGAAAACUUUAGGGUCUCCAAGUUUUGCUGAAGAAUUCUUGAUUUCAUGGCAGUUUUUUUCUUUGUUUUCUGAAUUGCUGGACUAUUACUGUCUGCAGUAGAGGCUGAAUGCUUUCACACUUUAUUUUCAAUACGGUACUUCAGUCCUUGUUGUCAAGUCAAAAGAAAAUUACUGUCUGUUUAAAUUCAAUCGAGAAAACUUUAGGGUCUCCAAGUUCUGCUGAAAUUCUUGAUUUCUUGAAUGUAACAGCAUACUUCAUCAUUUGAGGUCCAUGGCCUAUUGUAUCGUGGUAAAAGAGGAAUAGUUGGUCACUAUGUUUGAUGGAUUUUGAUUAAUGAAUGGAAAAUGGAAGUCCAACUAAAGUUUCUUGCUAGGACGCAAUUUGCAAUCAAUUUGAAUAUUUUUUGUGGAGAGUUUGCUUAUGCAAAUGUUUUUUGCAGGUAUCUGCAUGAAGUUUGUUCACCUUCAGUUAUUCAUAAAAAUUUUAAAUCGGCUAAUAUUUUACUUGACAUGGAACUUAAUCCUCACCUUUCUGACUGCGGAUUGGCAAGCCUUGUCCAUGACAUCGAUCAGGUAAGCUUAACCUUCACAAGCUCUUAUGUUUACUUCGCAAGAAUAGUGUGUUACUUGUUUUGCUGGUCCUACCGGCCAUGCGCAGCAUAUUUUUAAUGAGGAACUCGAAAAGAAAUAUGUUAAUCCACUGUGAUACUGAUUUCCAUUUGUUUGGAGCUGUAUAGGAGAAACUCAACGUGUGGAUAGUGGCGGUCCUUUUCCUGUUUUUCUCAACCCAAGUAAAUCAAGAGAUAAGCAUCACAGGGUCAUCAGAAGUAGAGAGAUAUUAGGUUGACAUACACAGCCAGCUAGAAACUAUUAGCCUAAGAGGAUAGCACUGGACUCCAAGCAUUCUUCAUUGUAAUUGAGUUUAGAUAUAUAUUGCAUUGUGGAACCAGUCGGAUGACUUGAGCUGUGUUUGUUUUUCUUUUGUUUCUUAUUUGGUCCUUUUGUAGGCAUUAAACCAAAAUGCAGGGUCUGGAUACGGUGCACCUGAGGUUUCCAUGUCUGGUCAAUAUACCAUCAAAAGUGAUGUAUACAGUUUCGGAGUGGUCAUGUUGGAACUACUUACUGGACGUCAACCUUUCGAUAGGUAAAGUUUCUGAAGCAUCCGUGGUAUUCUAAUAGUUCUUUGUACAAUGGUAAAGCUAUUUAGUAAAUCACCAUGACUACAUUUGUUCUGAACAGCUCCAGGGCAAGAUCCGAACAAUCGUUAGUUCGAUGGGCAACCCCUCAACUCCAUGACAUCGAUGCAUUGGCUAAGAUGGUUGAUCCAGCACUCAAAGGGCUAUAUCCAGUUAAAUCUCUUUCCCGGUUUGCUGAUGUUAUUGCUCUGUGUGUCCAGGUAGCAAAUCUUAAAUUAAUAUAUGAUGUCCCAUGUGCAUUUAAAGACUGGAGUACAUCAAAUAAUUCUGGAUUUAACCUGAUAUUCCUUGUUGCUGCAGCCGGAGCCUGAGUUUCGACCGCCAAUGUCAGAAGUGGUUCAAGCACUGGUGAGGUUAGUGCAACGUGCAAACAUGAGCAGGAGAACACUUGGGAAUGAUCAGGGGUCCUCUGUACGAUCAAAUAACUCAGAUGAUCAAGACUAGUAGACAAAUAUGAAGCAACUGUUGGAGAGUUUCUUCUUUUUUUUUUUUUUUGACUAAGAUACUUGUGAUUUCCUUCCCAAUUCUUUGCUUUUGGGAAAUCACCCGUGGCUGUGAUCAUCUACACCUUUAGUUUUAGGUUCUUCUUGGUUGCGAUCUAAGCUUUCUGUUGUCCAUACCAAAGGAUUCUUUUCGAGUCUUUUCCUGGCCUUUUCAAUGUAUUCAAAUAGGAAACAAUUGCCACGUGUCUGCCGCAAAUGGUUUGUCAUUGUAACAUUUCCCUCGUAUGUAUGUAUGUAAUGCAUUUCCCAACCUUGAAUUAAAUGGAUAAGACAAACUCAUUCCAUAAAUAUCUCUAAGUAUCUGCUUUAUUGUUUUUACCUAUGUGAAGAAAUGUUCACAAUUUUCUUCAAACUUCAUUGGAUUUCUUUGUUCAUCCCUGUUGCUUUUUUUUUUUUUUUUUUUGGCCCUUGAGAAUAAUCUUUAUCAGAUCUAAAAUGUAUUAAGCCCUCCUCCCAGCCACCGCAAGAGAGUGCUUGAUUGUCAUUUUGCCCUAUUUAAACUUUGCUUCGUGUAUAACUUGCUAUUUAUGGCUUGAAUCUGUAAAUAUAAAAGGGAUAAUUUCAGAAACCUACCCUGAGGUUUCUGACACUUUCACUGACAUCCCCUGAGGUUCUCAAAAUUUCACUUACCUCCCUUGCUUUUGAUUUUGUGGUAACAAUCCAGUUCAAAUCAGAUUAAAAUAUUAUUUUCAUGUGUGAGAAGGUAUUUUUAUUCCAUAGCUACCCUUUGCAGAAGUUGUAUUAGUAGAAGAUUCAAAGAAGAAUAAAUGAUUUGGACUAAUUAGUAAAGUUGAGGGGGGGUAAGUGCAAUACAAAAAAUUGCAUGCACCAGAUGUGCCAUGCAACAGUUAUUUGGCAGAUUUUGCAACGGCUAGCUGCAAAUUGCAACGGCCAGAAGGUUUGCUGUUUCAGUAGCAAUAGCAUAUAAAGCAAAGCAACUUAACUACCUCUGAGGUUUCAAGCUAUUAACAUUCUUUGCUACUAAUUUGGAGUGAUAACAAGUGCAUUUGCUGUGCUACAAUUAGAGCUCUGAGUAAAAAGUUUUAGCUGCAACCAUGGCCUCUUCAAGCCAUAGGGGAGAAUCAUGGAAUUCACCUACAUCUUUCUCCAUUAAAAACAGGUUUUGCCGCUGUAAUCGCAAAGCAACCGUAAUGAUAUCAGAGAGUGAAAGGAAUCCAGACAAGUUGUAUUUCUAUUGAGAAAUUUCCAACUUUGUGAUGAAUUUUAAAAAAAUUCUACAAAAAGGGUGAUUUUGGGUUUAAUUUCCGUCAGGGGGGUCUUCGCAUUUGUGAAUUUCACAAAUGCGAGCUUACAAGAGCUCGCAUUCGUGGAAUGCGAGCUCUGGUUAUUGAGCUCGCAUUCCACGAAUGCGAGCUCUUCUCAAUUUUUUUUUUUUCCCUUUUUUAAGAGCUAGGGAAUUAUUUCUAGGAAGCAAAUGCGAGCUCUUAUCUUUUUUAUUUUGGUAUUUUUUGAGAGGUAGGGAAUUAUUUGCAGAAAGCUUCUAAUUUUUGUUUUAAAAAAUGUUGCAAAUAUUUAAAAUUUUGCAAAUAGCUCGCAUUUGUUAAAUUUGACCUGCAAAAAUUGUAUUUAACUUUUUUGUUAGAUUUCGCAUUUAUAAGUAUGACUUGUAGAAAAUUAGAUUCAAAUUUAGAUGUAUUAGGGUUUUAAAAAUAUUAUAUAAGUGAUAAAAAUUUUAUAAAUUGUAAAAAUAAAAUCAAAUUUAAAUAAUUAAAUGUUAUAUUUGCAUAAGAAAUAAUACAAUAAUCAUAAUAAUGAUAAUACAAUAAUAUUGGUGUAAUAGAACUGCCAUUAAUUUAAAUAUUUACUUAUAAUGCCCAAAGAGCCUAAUUACCAAUUUUUUCUUCUCGCGCUCAAAUAUAACAUUAACUCGCAUGCGAGCUAACCUUGAAAUAGAAAAAACACAGAAUCCCGCUUGCGGGUUUCAGGAGUAUUCGGAUAUUCUCAUAUGCACCUAUGCAAAUCGAACCAACCGGAUAUCUUAUCCGUAUCCCAUUUUUUUAAAUAAAAAUCUUAUAAAUUUGAAAAAUAAAAUCAAAUUUAGAUGUAUUAGGGUUUUAAAAAUAUUAUAUAAGUGAUAAAAAUUUUAUAAAUUGUAAAAAUAAAAUCAAACUGCUUGGAUAAUUAAAUGUUAUAUUUGCAUAAGAAAUAAUACAAUAAUCAUAAUAAUGAUAAUACAAUAAUAUUGGUGUAAUAAAACUGCCAUUAAUUUAAAUAUUUACUUAUAAUGCCCAAAGAGCCUAAUUACCAAUUUUUUCUUCUCGCGCUCAAAUAUAACAUUAACCCGCAUGCGAGCUAACCUUGAAAUAGAAAAAACACAGAAUCCCGCUUGCGGGUUUCAACGUUAUUCUGCGCUUCGUGUGUUUGCUUUUGUUUUGCUUUUGUCUUUUUUUUUUCGAAAUGGAGGGUUGGCGGUGGAGCUUAGUAACAAUUAAUUCUUCACUUUGUUGCCGCUACUCCAGUGCAUAUUAGGACCACUGGUUUGAUCACAAUUUCCUUUCCAUUUUUGUUCUUGUUAUUUCCUCUGUUUCUUUUCCUAUAUCCAGAAUGUCGUAUAAGACCACAUAUAAGUGAUCUUAUAUGUGAUCUUGUUAUUUCCUCUUGUCAAAUCACACCAGGCACAAAAAAUGGCGCCAAUAUUGCAGCUCAAUUGGCGCCUUACUCCCAAAAUGACUGGAUUAAUUCAUGUAUCAGGAAUCAAGUUUCUAUUAUUGUUGUUAAGCUUAAUUAAUCAUAUCAGAUGCCAUUAUGUAACUAAACGGUAGUAAUUAACCCCAACUACUUGGGAUAUAUCUGUAAUUUUGGCCCUGAUGACGUCAGAAAAGGGGCCCAAUUUUUUAUCAAGGGAGGUAAGUGAAAUUUUGAGAACCUCAGGGGAUGUCAGUGAAAGUGUCAGAAACCUCAGGGGAGGUUUCUGAAAUUAUCCCAAUAUAAAACCAUGCUGCGAAAGACCGACAGAAAUGACCUACAGUUAAGCCCUUAUUUUCAGUAAUUUCUCAAUGUUUUAAAUCCAAGCCCAAAUUGAACCGGUUGAACUGUCGAUGGCCUUUUUUCCAAUCAAGGUUCGAUUAAAAAAUCAAUUAGUAUCAAUUUAUAUUUAAAUAAGUUGAACCGUUGAUUCAAAACGGUUUUAUAAGAACUGGUCGGUUCAAUAUCCAACUUUAAUUAAUCUAACAAUUUUGAAUUUGAUCAACCAAUCUCAUUAAUAAGAUUUCAAAUUUAAUAUUUUACCAAUUACCUAUGCGUAAUUAUGUCCAAUUAAUUAGACAAUAACAAUGAUUGCCUUGUUCUACUCAUUUUUCUCUCUUCUCCAUAACUACAUAUUAACUCUUAUUUAACAUUUAUGACAUAUAAUUGACUAUUUUGUUUUUUUUUAAAAAAUCUUAAAUGCAUUUCAUUUGUUUGUUAAUGCCUUUUUAAGUGUUUCAAUUUUUAUCAUAUAAACUAGUACUCAUAUAAUUUAGGAAAAUUAAAAAUAUAUGAAAUAAUACUAUUUAAAAUCCUUUAACUUAUAAAAGCCAUUUUUGAGUCUCAGACAAAUAAUGCUACUUAGAAUAAUACAAUGAGAAUUGAAGUGAUUACAUUUAAGAAUAUGACUUGAGUUUCUGCGAACAUUUGUUUGUUUUUUGGAUGUUUAAUAUUUAUUAAUAAUAUUUAUAACAUCACAGAUUAAUGACGAUAGCCCAACAGCGAACCAACAACCCUUGAUCCAUUCAUUUUUCUGGGUCAAUGAUCGGUCUAGGUUUCAAAACCUAUAAUUUGGGUUUCACAAUUUCAAGCUAAAACUCACACAAGGAUCAUUCGUAAAUUACACACACACAAACCCCAGAUUUAAUUCACAAGCCGUGUUUAACUGACACCAACACCGGCAGGGUACAGCAAAUACGUUUUUAAUACUCGAAAUCCCUACGGGUAUAUCUUUCACAAUAGCUACAAAUUUAGCUCAAACCACCUCUGAUUCCUUUUCUCCCCACCAAUUUCAGGCCAGGAAAGCAACUCCGCCAGAGAAAACAAAAAAAAAGCAGUUUUAUAAGAAAUGACUCGAACCCCAUAACCCAUUCAAGCAAAAUAUAAGACCAACCAAAUCCAUCAUUACUGAAAAUGUAUCACAAAAAGACAACUGGUGACCAUGUAUAAAUGGAAGGAUUUCUUGGUGAUUUAGCUGUAACAAGAGAAGCAGUUUGAAGUACCAAUACAAAUAACCAUAAAACGGCAGAUCAAUUAAACUGCUUGUUCCAAGUUUUAACUGGUGCAACAACAAUAACUUUUCUGAAGGAGGGUGGGCAAUCAUUCAAUUAUAGACCAUAUACUUUGGUGUUGCACUGAAUUUCUGAUACCCCUUGAUCACUUUAUUCACGGCAUCUAGAAAAUCCUUCUCAGUA
rnacentral:lncRNA from 1 species